rnacentral:lncRNA from 1 species
UUUUUUUUGUGGUAAAAAUUCUUUUUCUCAUAAUUCUUAUUUUAGAAUUUUUAUUUUUAUGUUUUUUGUCAUAAAUUUUGAGUUUUAUAAUUAAGAGUGUUUUAAAAAACAGUUUUCAAAAAUAAUUUUUAUAAUCACUUUUCAAUUAGUAUAUUAAAAUUUAAAUGUACCAUAAAUCUCUAAAGUAUUUUAUACUUUUUAUUUUUAAAAUAUUUUACAAAAAAAUUAAAAACACUUUAAAUUAUUUUCAUAAAGAAGAUUCUUUAAGAAUAAAUUUAAAAAAUAUACUAUUUUAAUUAAAAUUAAUUAUUAUAUAUUUUAUUAAAAAAUGUUUUCAUUUGGAAAGAGAGGGUGAACACAACUUUCUAUUUUUAUUGUAAGUUAUUAAAAAUAUUUUAAAUUUUAAAAAUAUUUUUUAUUAUGUGUAAUAAUAUAUUGGAUAUGUUUGAAAAGUGUUUUUGAAAAGAGUUUAUAUUGUUUGGAUAAAAAAAAUUGAAUUAGAAACAAAUCAAAAGUAUUUUUAAUUGUUUUUUAGUGUACGUUGAAUGUAAAAAUGAUAAUUUUGUAUAUAGUAAAUAAUAAGUUAAAAAUAUAUAUUUUUUAUAUCUAGAUUUUUAAACAUAAUUUUACUUUUAAAAAUAAUUAAUAAUAUAUUAAUUUUGAAAACAUUGCCAAAAAAAUCAUAUUUGUUCUAUAAAUCUUUGCAAUUUUUUUUAUUUUUUUGAGCAUAUGAUUGAAUAUUUAAAAAUAAAUUGCAUUUUUAGUAAUAUUGGAUUGGGAAAAUUUAAUUUUAAUUUCGGGAAAAAAUGUCAUUAUUUUAAUUCUAUUUAUAUAUAUAUGGUAAUAUCCUUGGAUUCUUUCCUUUCUUGGACAAAAGAUAUAUGACGUCACUAUUUCAACUCACCAAGCAAUCUAAGACCGUAUUGAAUAAUUUUCAUCCGGUAUAUUAAUUUUAAAAUAAUUUCUCUUUAAAGUUGAAAAUUUUAAAAUAAAAUAUAUAAAAAAAAGGUAAAUGAAUAUUUUUUUAAUUUAAAAAAUAAAUAAAUAUGCUUUUUGAAAUUUUUUUAUCUUUCAUACAAAUCUUACCAAAUUUAAAAAUAUUAUACUUUAUUUUUAUUUUUUUAUUGUUUGGAUUCAAUAUUAGUUAUUCAGAUUAAAAUUUAUUUUUUUAUUUUUAUUAAUUUUUAUUUUUAUCCGAUUUAUGAGCAUGACGUACGAGAAAAGGAAAAUGAUACGAAAACGACGUCGUUUUUUUAAUAACCACGUGGCCCUUUUGAAUCUACUCACUGCCCUGAUUCUGACACGCCCAAGCGAUGAUUACGAGAGCACCGCUUUGGCAAUUUAAGUGUGUAAAUACCUAACUACCCCUGUGAUUUCUACAAAUUACAGCGUAUGGGUUCGGUUGUCGACUUUGGCAAGUGUAAUGUGUGAACGCUGACGUGUUGGCUUUUGACAUUUCCAAGAGGCGUAGGCCGCCCAAAAGACACGUAUCCGAGUUCCCUAUGGAAAGUCUUAUUUAGCCUCAGUUGCUUUGUUUUAUCAAUGUCGUGACUUCUUCGGACUAGUAAGGAUAUUUUAGACAUUUUAUCAAUGAUUUUUUUUGGGUGUUUGAAUAGUUUCUCCAUAAUAUCUUUGAUAUUUUAUUUAUAAGUAGGAAAAAAAUAUAUGGAAAAGGUAAUUUAUUUUUAUAAUAAAUAAAAGUUGGAUGUAUUUUUUUUUUAAUUCGAAAAUUUUUCAAAAAUAUGCCUUUUCUUUUUAAAAUAAUAUCCAAAAAAAAUAAAUGAAAAUAAUCAUGUUUAUAAAAAAUAAAUAUUAAAAAAAUGGAUGCAAGCACUAUUAAGUUGAAAAUAUGAAUUAUAUGUACAAAUUUUAAGAGUAAAAAAGAUAUUAAAAAUGAUAAUUAAAACUUUGAAUAAAUGUGUUAUGAUAAAAUUAUUUAUAAUAUAACAUAUAAAUGAUUAUUUUUAAAACAAUGUCGAUAUUAUUUCCAAAAUUUAUCGUAAAAGAAUCUCGUAACCAAAUUUAUCAAUAGAUUCGGGAUAUUAUAAUCAUCCCAUAUGUGAAAAAGGGAAGAAUGGAUCAUCUAUCUCUUAAUCAAAGAUAUCGUAAUCAUCUUAUAUACAAAUAUAAAAGUUUGGUGACAAAUUCUUAUAUAAGAUAAUGUGUAAAAUUGUCUUCUAAUAUGAUUUUUAAUGGUUUUCAUUAAAAUAAUUUAUGGCCUGUUUCACAUGUGGCCCACCACCGAAUAUACAGAUAUUACAAUUCAUAUCAUUUAGUGGCCCUCAUACAUGGGCCCCGGGAAGAAAGUGGAUAAUUUGUGGCAAAAACGGAAUUUAAACCUUUUGAUUAGCUCAUAUUUGUGUAAUGAUGUCGUAAGAUGUGUAGAGCGUAAUUAUUAUCACAAUAGUAAGAGUAUGUUAAGUUAAGGUAUUUCGGGGAUUUUACACAUACGUGGUUACCUAUUUACACAUACGGGGAUUUUGCAGCAAUUUUUUCCAGCAAUUUUUUUUUUUUAUAAAAGGUAAAAUAUUAAGAUAUGUAUAUUAAAUUAAGUUUUUUAAUAAAUUAACAUAAAUAUAACACAAUAAUAUUAGAUAAUAAAGGAAUAUGAACUGAGAUUAAUGUAAGGAAAACGUGUUUCCACUUUCCAUACAUUAUAAAAAAAAUUAUAAAAAAAAAUUAUAAAAUAAUAACUUAAGUUUAUAAAAUAUAAAUUUUAAGUCGGUACCCCGACAUAAUUGGUAUUUCAUACACUUUUUUGACCAAAUGUAUUACCUUUGACCAUUGAAGUGUUACAUUUUAAUAGUAUAAAUACUACCUUUAACUAUCUUAAAUAUUAACUUUUAAAGAGUAUGAAACUUAAAUUAUUUUUAAAGGGUUUCAAUUUUAUGAUUAUUUAUAGAUGAGUGUGUAGAAACAUACUUUUGGAAAAGCGAUUAAAUAUAUUAUUUAUAAAUGACAUUUUUAUAUGCAUAUGUUUGAUCAAAUCGGAGAAUCAAUGAAUGUUUAUGUAAAAUUAAAAAUUAUUGUUCAACGAUCUAUUUAAAUACUUAAAAGUCAAUGAAGAGAGAUGGGCCAGGCCUUAAAAAAAAUUCAAGCCCAUGAUCUACACCAUUGGACAUAGGCCCAUACUACCAAGCCCGUAGACCCAUACUGCCAACUCCUCAAACCCAAACAAAAUGAAUCCUACUAAAUAGACGAUCCAUACAAAUACCCUCGAUUUCAUGAAAAAUUAUACCCUAAUUUUAGACUGGUUGUAUGGAAGUGAUAAGAAAAAAAAGUAUUAAGAAAAAUGAUUUUUUUUAUUUUGUUUUUUUAUGGAAAAUAUUUAAAAUAUAUAUAUAUAUAUAUAUAUAUAUAUAUAUAUAUAUAUAAUUAAAAUUAAGUAAAAAUGUAUAUAUUUCCAAAUUAUUUAAUUUUGAUACAAAAGGGAAAAUUAAUGUAUUAAAUUUGAAAAAAUAUAUAAAAAUAUUUAUUAAUAUUAAUUUUUUUUAUUCUAAUUUUUUCUCUAUUUCCUUUUCCUUCCAUCAUUCCUCAAAUUUUUUAAAAGCUAAAUAUAGAGUAAGCCUUAAUACAUUCUGCAAUCAUGUUUAAACUCAUUUAUCUAUUUUUAUUUUUUUCGUAAAAGUCAAAUAAUUUGAAAAUAUGUAAUUUUUAAAAUAUGAAAAAAAAAAUUCUUAAUAAUUUUUUCUUUAGUAUUUUUUUAUGAAUCAAAUAUAUUUUUAUUUUCCUUUACCUUUUAUUUUUUUAUUUUUUUUUCCCUUCAAAAUUUUAAAGAAAAAUUAGUCAUGGUUGGUUUAUGGUUGAAUCAAAAUUGAGCUUUUAUUAAUGAAAAUAUUGAAUCUAAGCAAGCUUAUUCAAAGUAUGUUUAAUACUAAAAUUAGAAAACAUUUAUAAUAUUUCUAACAUUUGAAUGAUAAAAAAUUUUAAGUAUUAAAAAUGUUAAAUACGUUUCAUAAAAUCAAUGAUUAAUCAGUGAAAGUUAAUUGAAGUCUUAAAUUCAAUUGUUUUAAAAAUCUACUUGAAUUUGAACUUUAAAACACAUUUAAAAUUUAUAACUCAUAAUAUAAUUAAUACAUUUAAGAAUUUAUUUCACUAUAACAUAACAACAACCAAUUACUUCAAUAAAAUUUAUACAAAAUAUACAUAAUAAUAAUUAUAAAAAAUAUUACUUAACAUGAAACACUUAUAAAUUAUAAGAGAAAAGUUAUAAAAUGUUGAUUUGAUUCGGUUUUUAUUAGUUAAACUUAAAAAAAUGAAAUCAAACUGAUUAAAUUGGUUUUCACGAUUCUCAAACUAAAUGAAUCUCAAUUAUAAUUAAAAAUCGAACUAAUUUGAUAAAUUUGAACUAAGUUCGAAUUUGAUCCCAUUCUUUUGGAUUAAUAGUGGUCCAAUUGAAUUAAUAGUAUUUAUAUUUAAGAUUCGAUUAAUCAUUCAAAAUUUACUAUAUAAUUUAUACCAUGAAGAAUAAUAGUUUGGUAAAAUAUAUGUUUCUGAAAUUCUAAAGAAUCGAUGAAUGCAUGAUUUAUAGUCGAAUGUGCCAUUGUUGGAUAGUUGCCCUACGACCUCACCCACCCUAUCCUAACCCUAUCUGUACAGCUACCUUAUCUCAUUUUCAACGGUGAUCCAUUGUUAAUCACAUUCAUGGUCAACCCCUAUCUGUACACCUUCAUUUCUGGUCGUUAAUGUUCAUAUUUUAAUACUAAUUUAAACGUGAACUCCAUUAUACAGUCGGUCCAAUCAUUACACUGACGUACAAUUUUUGGGUCGUACUUUUCAAUCUGUUGACUUUACUUUAAAUCUGAUCCAACGGUUGGAAACCAAUUUGGCCCUUGCGUAAUAAUUGGGCAAUGAAUCACGUCAUCGGCAGAUCGAAUCUUUGGUCCCCCCGCCAAAAAGGAGAAUGUCUAUGUGGAAUAUUGAAUCACGGCGAGGAAAUUCUAGUGUGCUUCUCGAGCACACGCAAAAGAGACGCCUUCUGUUCUCUGAUGUUGCUACGUGUCAAGAAACUAACCGGCGAUGACUCUGCCUCAGCUGUUUGGCCGUCGGAUCUCUCUGGUUCUGAAUCAUUAGGGAUCGAGUGGUCACCUUUUCAUUUUUUAAAAAAAAAAAUUUAAGACGAUAAUAAGCAUGUCAAAUUACAUAAUUAUCAGAGUCUUCACCACGUUGAUUUCAAUAAAAUAUUUUUUAAAAUUUCAUAUUUGAAUUAUUAUAAAAAUUAAAUAAAAUUAAAAUUAGUGACUAAUCUAUAUAUUUUAAAGUUAUUUAAUUUUAUACCCAAGAGAUUAUUUUGGGUAUAAAAGAUUUAUAUAUUUAAAUUUUUUAAAAGAAAAAUAUAGUUUCAAAUUAAAAUAUCUCAAAAUUAAAUUAUAAUUAGGAAAGUACCCUUUUUAAAAUGAAAAUUUAAAAAAAAAUCAAAUUUCAAUCGGGUCAUGUCAAGAAUCGAGUCUUACGUGGGUGAACGUGAGGAAUACGGGUUGGAAUGAUACGUGUGACAAUAUGCAUAAGUCACUCGCUGCUUUAGAGCGUGAAAACACGACUUUAGUUAUCAAGAAAGUGAAAUAUUUAUUAAACUAAAAAUAUUUUUAUUAGAAUCAGAUUCUCAAUCCCCGAUAUAAUUUCCACGUGUUGUCACUUUUAUUUUAAAAUACAUUAAAAUGUAUUACUAAAAAUAUUUUCAGCAUUAUCUCAUCUAUUACUAUUUCAUACAACUUUUUUAAAUUCAUUUUCCCUACCCUCAAAGGUAAUAUCACCAAUUAAUUAAUUACGCAAUUUGGACGGUCCACUCGAUACAAUAUCAUAAAUAUUUUUAAUAUUUAAGUUGAUUUUGGGUUAAGCUCUUUUAACACCGGUUAAUUUUGGACUAAUCCAAACCUAAUGCAAAUAGGAUUUAAUAUUUUUAUAAUAUAUAUAUAUAUAUAUAUAUAUAUUAUCUUAUAUAAUAAUAUUUAUUUUAUUUUUAACCCUGAAGAAAAAUAUCAAACUAUAAUUGUAUCACAUAUUUUUACAUUGUUAAAAUUUAUAAAAUAAAAAAAAAAGUUCUAAAAAAAUAUUACACAUAAAUUUUGAAUUAUAUAACUUGAUUAACCCUAUUAUUUUGAGUUUAACGUGAUUAAUCUAUCAACUUGAACUCAAGUCAAGUUUGGAAACAUAAUGGUGAAUUGGCCUUGAGUUAAUUACUUCAUAUUAGAGGUUGGGUUGGAUUUGAAUUGAUUAUUUCUCAAUUCGAAUUACGUUCAAGUUAAUUGUCAAUUUGACUAACUCAUCUAAGUUGUAACUUGACUAAUGUUAGCCUUGUCAUCCAACUGACAAAAUUUUGAAACCCAAUAAAUAAAUAAAGGGAUUCUUUUUUAAAUUGUAAUAUACUACAAAUUGUUUUUUUAAACUAUCGUACAAUUAUCAAAAAUCCCCUUCCAAGAUCAACACGCUCUUGGACCCAAACAACAUAAAGUAAAUCAAUAUAACAUAAAUAAUUUUAAUAAUUUUAUUUGAUAAUAAAAUUAUUUGUGUCGAUAAAAAACUAUAAAGUUUAUAAGUGUACAUUUAUUAUUAAAUUACAUUAAAUAUUAUUUUAUAAUAAUAUUAUGAUAACAUAUUUAAUAUUAAAAUUAUGAUCCAUUUUAAUUUAAAUGUAUUCAAUGAUACUAAAUAAAUAAAAAUAAUAUAUGUAUACUUUUUUUAAUAUUUAUAUUUAAUAAAUAUAUAGAUUAUAUAAAAAUGACUAUUAAAAAAAUUAUAUUUUUAUAUUUUUGGUAAUAAAUUAAAUUAAAUGUAAAAGUAAAAUAAUUAGAAUUAAAUUAUUUAAUAAUAUAAAAAUAAGAUAAAAUAUCCAUAAAUAUCAAUGGAAUAUCGAUUGAAAUACCUGAAAAUAUGGGUUAAUGGAUAUAUCUUUUUGAAUUUAGUAUUGGGAUCAAUAGUAUAUUGGAUAUCGAUUCAAAUGAUAGACUGAAGUUAAAUUUUUACAACACAUUAUCUAGACAUUUUGUCGAGGGUAUAAACCUAAUAAAGGAACAUUUUAAUAAUUUCUUAUUAUAAAUUCUUUUAUUUAAUAUAAUAAAUUAACAUAUGUAUAAUAAAUGAACGAAAAAUAUUAAGAAAAAUGUGAAAAUUACCCAUUAUAGAAAAAGCAAUAAAAAUCAAAACAGAUAAGGAUAGAUAAAACGGAAGAAAUAGGGAAAAAUAGUUAUCUAAAAAAAUUUUAAAAUAUACUUAUAGAAAUAUUAUUAUACUCUUCUAGAAACACACUAUGGUUGUUAUACUCUUAUAAAAACCAUUUAUUUUUUAAAAAUUAUUUUUAUAUUUUAGAAAAUAUUAUCACUUUUUUUUUCAUUUACUUAAAAUAUCUAUUUUAAUACCUAAGAAAAUUAUUUUCCAAAAAAUAAUUUCGUCACCACAAUUUUUUUUUAAAUUAAAAUAUUAUUUUGAAAAAAAAUUUCAUCCACGUGGAUGUAUAUGGUUCAAACGAAAUUUAUUUUAAAUGAUAUUAUUUUGGGUCAAGGCACCAAUCUCCAUUCUCAAAACGGAAAGUAGCAGACACGCGCUACAUGUAGGUCCCACGAACGAUGAGAUCGGAGGUACAAAUGGCCCAUUCUCACCUCAUCACAGUACAUCUAAACUCCCAGUCCGUCCAAUUAAUAGACCUAAUAAAAGUCAAGAAACUUGAUGAUCUUAGCUAACCGUAGAGCGCGGCACACCAGAUCAAGAGAAAAACCAUUCGAAAUCCACGCGUAUAGAAACCGUUGUUCUAGUAGUUUUGGGGGGUUGCCGUCUUCUUGGUGAGUCAAAUAACAGAAACGCAGAUUCACAGAAAAAGAAAAACAAAAACAAAAAAAACCCACUUCUCUCUCCUCACUUUCUCUCUCUUGUUCAAAUGCAGCAGCAUCACCAAAUCCAAAGGUCCGUCUUCUUGUUCAUGACCCAACAGCUGUUUUCUUUCAUUUCCAUAAUUUGUACGUAACCACUUACCUUAUUUAUAUCUACAAAUGUGUGCAUGCAUGUAUGUGGGAUGUAUAUGCCCCUGCUCUGGAUUUGUAUGUAUAUGUUGUCCCUCCCCCUUUUUUUUAAAAUUAAUUCUGGGGUUUUGGGUGUUCUAUUUUUUUUUUAUUAGGUGUGAUGUGAUAUGAUGUUGAUGGAAGUUAUGGUGAUUUGAUUUUUGGGUUUUUGUUCUUCUCUCUAUUCAUUUGUAGGUGCUGUUCUUCUUUUCGAAUUCUGGGUUUUUUUUUUUUGGGUGGGUUUUUACCGAGUUCUAUGAUGGGAUGUUGUUCAUGGAGGCGACGAUGAUUCCUUCGUUCCUUUUUUUUUUUUUUUUUAUCUGAAAGGAUUUGGAGAUUUCAAUUUUUUGACAUGGGUCCUGUUUCUUUUUGUAUGAUCGUUUGUUUCCUACAUAAGAAAACUUUUGAAUUUUCUUCUUUGAAUCUGCUACUAGAGGUGGAAUUUGUGGAUUAAUUAUGGGUUUUUUUUUUUGUUGUUUUUUUUUUUUUAUAAUUGGGGAUUGUUCAUUGAAAUUAUUCCUGGAUUUGGCCUUGCUUAGUUAUGAAUGAUGUUGUUUUGAACCAUGUGGUUUUAUACUGUGUUUUCUGUGGUUGUUUAUUUUAUUUGUUUGUUGUUCUUUGUUAUCGAUUCUUCAUAUGCCUCGAUUUCUGUCUUUUCUUAUAUAUUUGAUUAUAUUCUAUUUCUCUGGUUCCCUUGUUCCUCUCUAUACUUUGUUUAUGAUUUUUUUUUUUUUAAUUAUAGCUUAUUUAAUUCAAUACCCCAGAUGGUUGUUUCUGAAAGUUUCAAUUCCCCAUCACUGAUAUUGAUGUAAUAGGGUUUGAUUCAGUUAUUUAUUUAUUUUUUCGGGUUUUUCGAUUCAACAGGACAUCCAAAAUCCAAACCAAAGAAUUCCUGUGAGGAAGGUCUAGCUCAAUUUUCAGGGGUUUAGGGAUAUUCCUUACUGUUUUGAUCCCAAUACCAGUUUUAUGGUUCAAAACCCAUCUUUUGAAUAUGCAAUUCAGGAGGUUAGGCACUGGAAAAUUAUGAAUUAGAACCCCAUGAUAAGGUUUGAUGAUGGGGUCCUUCAAUAUGGAGAAGAAAUGGGCAUUUCCUCUGGCUAUAAGCUCUCUCAUAUGCAUGUUCCUUCUUGCUACCUCCUUCAACAUGGGUCUUCUUUCUUCACUACACCCAAUCAACUCAAUCUUCUCGAUUUUCUCGCCUGGCCUUUCUACAAACCAGACAAAUCCUGUGUUUGCUGAACAGAAGGUUGGGCAACCCCCUCCACCACCUACCACUCCCAACAUUCCCCGGUUUGCUUAUUUAAUUUCUGGUUCAAGGGGGGAUUUGGAGAAGCUUUGGAGAACUCUUCAAGUACUUUAUCAUCCAUUGAACCAAUAUGUUGUUCAUUUGGACCUUGAAUCGCCUGCAGAGGAACGAUUGGAUCUAGCUGCUAGAGUGGAGAAGGAUCCGAUUUUUUCUAAGGUUGGGAAUGUUCACAUGAUUACAAAGGCAAACAUGGUAACUUAUAGAGGACCUACUAUGGUUGCUAAUACUCUUCAUGCCUGUGCCAUUCUUCUUAAGAGAAGUAAGAAUUGGGAUUGGUUUAUCAACCUCAGUGCCUCAGAUUAUCCUCUCGUGACUCAAGAUGGUUAGUCCUUUUUCACUGCUUUUCCAGUCUAUUUGACUACUGUGAUAUUUUCCUUUGGAGAAACAAAAGACCAUUUGCUUGUCAUAUGCAGAUCUUCUUUACACAUUUUUGGGUUUGGACCGGAACCUGAAUUUCAUCGAGCACACCAGUCGGCUAGGUUGGAAAGAGUGAGCUCUCUCCCCCAUACACUCCCUCUCACAUAAACAAUCUUCUUAAUUAAAAAUCUAUAGGUGAUAUUUACAUAUUAAAUGAUUCCAAACUUGGUUGUGUUGUGCAGGAAUCAAAGAGCAAUGCCUUUGAUUGUAGACCCCGGGCUCCACAUGACAACAAAGUCGGAGAUAUUCUGGGUCUCACCUAGGAGAACUUUGCCAACGGCUUUUAAACUAUUCACCGGUUAGUGUUCCUGGAAUCACCUCUACCUUUCUUAGCCCUGCUGUAAUUAAAAGUGUUUUUACCAGUAUUUUAUUAUUUACCAGACAAUAUUACAAGAUUGACCACAAAACUUUGCACCAAGGAGCUUAGUGUAAUUGUUUUAUACUGCCCCUGCAAUCUGAUAAACAUGGUGGUUUCAGAAACUUUGCAUUUAGGAGCUUAGUUUAAUUGUUUCAUACCUUCCUCGCAAUCUGAUAAGUGUGUCAGUUUCAAAAACUUCGCAUUAGGAGCUUAGUUUAACUGUUUCAUACCUUUCUCUCAAUCUGAUGAAUGGGUUGGUUUCAGAGACUUUGCAUUUAGGAGCUUAUUUAAUUGUUUCAUACCUUCCCUGCAAUCUGUUAAGCAGUUUGGUUUCAGAGACUUUUCAUUUAGGAGCUUAUUUAAUUGUUUAUUUAGGAGCUUAUUUAAUUGUUUCAUACCUUCCCUGCAAUCUGUUAAGCAGUUUGGUUUCGGAAACUUUGUAUUUAGGAUCUCAGUUUAAUUGUUUCAUACCUUCCCUGCAAUCUGAUAAGUGGGUUGGUUUCAGAAACUUUGCAUUCCUUGCAAUGCAAUAAGCGUGUCGGUUUCAGAAACUUUGCAUUUAGGAGCUUAGUUUAAUUGUUUCAUAAAGGCUGUUGGUUUCAGAAACAUCCCAUUUAAGAGCUUAGUUCAAUUGUCAAAUACAUCAUAGUAUCAAGUAGAGUAAAGAAAGAAAGAACAUUGCACCUGUACAUUUAUGAUUCAUUUGAAGCCUCGUUUAAUUUAUAAAAAUGGUGGUGUAUCAUUAAACAAUGUCCUGUUUGUUUGCAGGUUCAGCAUGGAUGGUUCUCUCACGAUCGUUUGUAGAAUACUGCAUAUGGGGUUGGGAUAACCUCCCUCGAACCCUUCUCAUGUACUACGCAAAUUUUGUGUCCUCCCCAGAAGGCUACUUUCAGACUGUGAUAUGCAAUGCACCAGAGUAUGCCAAGACCACUGUAAACCACGAUUUGCACUUCAUUUCUUGGGACAAUCCUCCAAAACAGCACCCCCACACCCUCACCAUCAACGACACCAGUAGGAUGAUCGGAAGCAAUGCAGCCUUCGCCCGGAAAUUCAGACAAGAUGACCCUUCCUUGGAUAAGAUUGAUAAAGAUUUACUAGGCAGGAAGAAAGGCGGCUUCACCCCUGGUGGCUGGUGCUCCGGCAACCCCCCUUGUUCCAAGGUUGGUGAUCCUACCAAGCUAAAACCAGGUCCUGGAGCUCAAAGGCUUCGCCUUCUCGUAUCUAGAUUACUUCUAUCAGCUAGGUAUGGUCAAAAUCAGUGUAAAUAGAUAUGGUUGUGCCAUUCUUGAUCAAAAUAAAAUUGAAAACGGGAGUAGAAGUUUAGUCCAGCCAAUGAUAUCUCAUCAGAAAACUGUAUCCACGGAUAGAACAUCAAGGCUAGAGCAACAACUAUAGCUUCACAAGUGUGUGAUCAAAAGAUGGAGCUUGUGCAACAUUCUUUUGGAAGGGCUUGUUCAAUAGAACCGUCACACGAAUAUGCUUCGAUGUUUUUACCAUGCUCUAAUAUCCUGAACUUUUCUUGUUUUUCUACAUAUUUCAAAAUUUAGGCUCGGUAAUUCUCUGUUUUUUCUUUCUGGUCAUCAUAUUCAGAUUCAUUAGUCAACAAUCAGUUCUUUAAAGGCAAUUCUGCUACAUCAGGCUACAAGAGAGAAUACUUUUGUCAAAUACCCAUGUAGAACGAGCUGUAGGCUUGGCAUUUAUAGAAAAAUAUACAAAAGUAGCAAUUCUCCACUUCUUUUUCUUCGAAAUUUUUUUUAUAUACACAAUGCAUUUGAUCAGAAGGCUGUUCUCAAUCUUCACAUUGCUUGCAUCUGGUAUGAUCGAAUGACAAAAUUUGUUAUGUAGUUUGUCAUAAUCAAUUACUAUAUCUUCCUUUUGGAAAGAAACCUCAGCAAAACAAAUUGCUGUGAUUGAUUUUUUUUUUUUUCGAUUUUUUUUCUAUCUAUCUAUUCUUCUCCAUUUAUAACACCAAAUUUUCGGUCUUUUUGAUGAUGGGGGGUCUUUGAUAAUUUUGGUGGGGAUCUACCAAACUAAACCAUCUCCAAAAUCUUGAUGUUUCCAGCAGAGUUUGCAGCAACUAAGGUGGAUGAUUGGCCGCGCCAACAUACAGAAGAGAUGAACUGUGCAGAAUCAUCUGAUUCAUGGUCAGAGUCCAUGCUGUUGAAUUUGAAUGUCAGUGCUGGCAUGGGGAAGGCCUUGUGGUAGAUGACAACCUAACAAACACAGAACAAGAAAAGCAUUAGUAAAUGAAUGAAAAUUUAUUGAAAAUAUCCAUUAACAUGGUAUUAAAAGAGAAAAUGAAAAGAGAAAUCUUAACCUAACACACCCAUGAUGUUUCUUUACAAGUAGGACUUUCUCUAUUGUGUGUAAAUAGUUCUGAAAUGCUUUCUUAAAUCCUUUCCACCAUCAUUUUAUUUCCAUCAGAAACAGAGAAGCAUAAAUGCAGAUUCAAAAAUCCCAAUCCUUUGAUAGAAUAUGCAUGAGAACCAACAUCUGAGAAAUUUUGGAAGUCCUGUUUGGAAUUACAUUUAAUUUCUGCAUUUAAGAGUACCAUAAGUAAAAAGUAUUAAGUAAUCACUACUAUAAUACCGUUGAAUUUUAUGUUUGGAAACUUGACUCUUAAAAGCUACUUUUCGCAUUUAAGAAUAUUUCCCAAAUAGGGUUAUAAACUGAGUUACUGUCUAAAAAUUUACGGCAAAUGAUAACCGAUGCAGCUAAUCCAAAUAGCUGGGAGAGUUGAGCUUUGAUACAUAAUUAACAAAAGGGAAAAACAAUCAAUGGACAAGUUGUUGCUCGGAUUGAGAAGUAGAUUUUGAUAGAAUGUAGAGCCAGAAUCAAGGGUAUUGAAUCGACAAAAUAAUCCACCAAUUUACAAAACCCCUACUUGGGCUUUUGAUUCUUGAGUGCCUCUACUUGCUUAUUUUUGAGUUCAAACAUAAAAUAAAUAAGAAACUAAACAAAGUUGCUUUUCGGAUGGCUAUCUCUACGCAGGGAUGGACAAGCCGGGUUCUUCCAUAUGAAGGAAGAAGACUACCAAUUGGUAUGCAACCCAUCAAAAUGGCCGUAGGGGCAAAAAAUUGUAAUUUAGUAAUUUUUUCCACUUACCAUAUACCCCAAACAAGACGAUUUUGCCACAAGAUGGCAAGACUUGUCAGUAAACCCUAUAUGAAGUACAUGGAAAAGAAACUUCAAGGAAAGAAUCACUCUUUAGUGACAAUGUAACUUCAAUAGUUCUAUAAUAAACUUCAGUUGCAACAGCUGACUUGUACUACUCUUAAAAAUGUGGUAUCGGUUUUUGUAGGAAGUGGCCCAACAAUAAUGUGAGGAACCCAAAGAAACAGUAAGUAUCAAAAAUCAUUUUCCUAAUAAAAACUAGGUGGGUUGAUAUAUGAAGUACCUCAUUUGCUUCUGAGCCCGUAGCAAUGUAACCAUCGGAUACAGACAAACCUACAAAGUUCUGCAACAAGGAGAACAUACAUCAGCAACAAAACAUACAUAAACCAAAGGCAUAUUUCAACAAUGAAUUAAUACAUGAAAAAAUCACACGUUUGAACUGAUUUCUAGAAGAUAAAUUACAUAAAUAAGAUGAAAAACUGUGUUAUGAUAUUUGACUGUCUGAUAUCACCAGUAUGCAAAUACAGGGAAAACUUACCAUAAUAAACUGACACAACAAAGAAGAAAUUCUUCAUAUCUGAGAAUCUUCUUUCCUUCAUCAACUUCCUUUUCCAAACAUUAACUAUUUAAUAUUUCCUUGAGUAAAGUCCAAAAAUGGAUUCUUAACAGAAUUAUACAGGGAUGGGUCUCCAGCUACCACAAAAAUUAUGCAGAGAUGAAUCUCUAGAUAGAGAAUUUAUUGAAGAUAUAGUUCAUGGGCAUAUCGUAGUCAAAGUUCUACAAUAAAGGCAAUGACUUUCUCAAUUCGUAUCCAAUCUUUCAUGCUUUUAAAAGGGGACAGUGCUUACUGAAGUUCUGAUAUUAGCUUCCCCUACCAUGUGCCAAUUUUUUUACCAACACUAUCAAUAUAGUUUGUGAUCACAGUGUCACCAAAAAUGUUUUUUAACUCACUCAAAUGAACACAUAAAAUAUUGAUGUAAAUCACAGGAAGAAUGGAGCAAAGUGUAAUCUUAUCAAGAAAAUAAAAAUUAACAGUACAAUCAUAUUAUCUUGAAGAACAAGCAGGUUUACAAACUAAAUACCACAAUAUAAGCUAAAAGAUGAUUGAUACAAUAUGGAGAGCAAAUGUACCUUUACAUUCUGGUGGCCAGUGAAUGAUUGAAGUGGACCUUCAAGAACCCGAGCCGUGCACAUUGACAAAUCCCAGAGCUUCAGAGUGUUAUCCGUGGAUGCAGAAACAAGAUGCGUUGAAUCUACAAACUUGACGUAACUCACAGUCUUAUUGUGCCCAAGUAAUGUGCACAGAGGUAUUUUUGAGUUACGGAGAUCAUAGUAAUAAAUUCUAUGAUCAGCUGAACCAAAAGCAAGGUAACGGCCAGAGUCUGGGGUAAACUGAACACAGCAUACAUUGGCCUUCGUUUUGAUGGUACCAACACUUACUCCCUGCAGUAGCAACCCAUGUAAGAAAAACAACUUAUUAUACAUCCAGAAUUCCAUAUGCACGACUGUAAUUAGAUGACUGCAGUACGUUUAGUUUCAAAGCUGACAUCCACCAAGUGCAAAAAUAGAAUUGCCUGAUUGAUACUCCAUAGCUUAACUGAACCAUCAUCACUGCCGCUAGCCAACAUUGUUGGAUCUGCUAAUGAGUAGUCGAUGGACCAUACACGCCUCUCAUGCUCUCUCAUUUCUGUAAGUACUUGACUUCUUGUAACAUCCCAUACCUGGACAUUUUACAAUUAAGCAGCAGCUAUAACAUGAUAGACAGCUAAAAGGUAAAAAUGAGAUGGAUGAGGCUUGACCUACCUGUACUACACCUUCAAAGUUACUGGAAGCAAUCUGGCUUUUGAUAUAACUAUUCCAACAUAUACUGCUUAGCUUUGACCUACAAGCCAUUUCAACUAAAGGAUAGUGGAUAUCACGAUCUUCAUUUAGGAUUGAAUUACAUUCAAAUACUUUAAUCUUCUUAUUUACACCAGCUGUAGCAAAAAGUUCUCCAUCCCGAUCAAAACUGACAGAGCAUACUAGGUUGGAAGAAUUUAAUAGAUCCCCUUGCUUCAAGUCUGCUUUAACUUUUAACUUACUGAAAGAUAGAUACUUGCACAAACCAUCAAGAAAUGGAUUUAUCCAUCCACUUUGUCCGUGCUCAUUGUACUGGUCUUUUGAUGCCAAAUUAUUAACUGAACUUCUUUCAGUUACAACAAUAGAUCCUCUACCAUUACUACUCGGGGGGGAGAUUUUAUUGGAUGGUUUCCCUGAUGGCUUUGUUGGCUUGCGUCUUGUCAAAAGAUAAGCUGACUCUAGUUUCUUAAAGUUCUUCAUUAAUCGAGAACUUUUGGAAAUGAGAAUUUCUGGAUUUUCAGCAUUCAUGCCCAACUUUUGGCCAUUGUUUAAAGUAUCAUCCAAUUCCUUUAUGUGAUGAACUCCUUGUCUGAAUCUUUUGCUAGACCUGACACUAGUGGAAUCCUCAUUUUCAUCAACAUCCAUUGGAGAAAGAUCAGAUGUUGAUUGAUCAUCCUUGACCAGUUCUUGGUAUGAGCCUCCCCUUUUCCUAAGAGUAGCUUGCUGUUUUCCGACUUCUUCAAUAUCAGAAGAUAGAAAAGAAAUGGUAUCUUGCAACUUAUCCACAGCUCCCUGUUUUCUUUGUUGCAUCAACAAAAGAAAUUCCAGCAACAAUUCCUGCUCCUCUAUUCUCUCUCUAAGCUCUAUUGCUGCUUCACGUUCUUCCAUUUUGUCCCUUGGUUCGGUAAGAAACUCGCUUUGAAACAAUUCACUGUUAUACAUGGCAUAAAAACAAAUAUUAUCUUACUUAAUCCAAAAGAUAGAAUGGUUAAAAAACGCUUCUUGUAUGUGCAAACUGAAUUGCUUAACCAUCCAUGGCAAUAGAUCAAUAGAAAGCAGAUCAAAAUGCUGCAAAUAUCCUACAGCCCAAUACUGGAGUAGAUGAAACAAGAGUACAGUCACAAUCUCUCAUAAAUUACUACUUUAUUUUUUAUUGGUUUUGGGUUGAACAUAGAAUUCUUAAAAGUCACCUUCCAAUCUGACCUGGUCAGAACAUUCCAUGAAUGAUAAUAUUCUGAAUCUAAUUUGGACAAACCAAACUGAAUAGUCUGAAUUACCACAAAUUUUGAUGCCAAUUUUCAAAUUGAAUAGGGAAACAUGCAUGAGCCUGAAUUUUGAACAGGAAGAUUCAUAUAAACCAAUUUAAUCUCAUCAAAGGAGGGCCAGAGUCUUAAAAAAUAUUGCUCCCCUAUUAUGAGUUAUUGGAGAUAUAUGACUCUCUAGAUAAUGUUGUAUACAAAGAAAAAAUUUAGAUAUUUAGUGUAAGUGUCAGUGUCAGUAGUUGCUAUUUUUAGGAGAAAAAGUAGUAAUUUGGUUUUGGUGAAUUGACUUGUAAGUUUUUAGGUGGUCCUAUUACUAAGAGAGAUUUUAUCUCAAGGAAAGUUUGUUCCCGUUAGUCUUAUUGAAAGAAUUUUCCUUGAAGCAACCACUAUCCAUUCUUCACUUUUUACAAGUGCUUUGAGGACUCACUUGCUUGAUUAGGAAGUGAUUUGGGUGGUGCCUUGACCAAAUGAGACCCUCACCUAUUUAUAGGAACCAAUGGAACUCUCUGGAACCUUGGAGGGUUCCUUACAAAUCACGAAGAUUCUAGAAUACCCUACACAAUUCUAUGUACAACCCUAUGUACAAGAGAUCUCUAAAAUUCUCUAGAAAGCCUUAGACUCCUUUCAUGCCUUCCACCAUAGUGUAGAGAUGUGUGGACAUCUUUAGGCAUCUCUAGAACCUUCCACACUCUUCCCUCCAAUGGCUUAGUGUAGAUGGCUCUAGGAGUCUCCAGAAGCUUCUUAGGCUCUAUAUAAAUCCAUGAGGAGGCUCAUUUGAAGCAUCCUGUGACACUCUCCCCUACCUAUGCCUUUGACGUCCUUGUCGUUGCCUCUUUCUGAAAUUUCUCGAUGUGUUUCCAGAACCUUCUCAAGGCAUCCGCAUGUUCCUAGCUUACCUGCCUCCUAGGUAGUCAUUUCCAUCGGACUAGAUACUCAAUCACAGGAGGGACCCCUUGUCUCUUGAUGACCCGUUCAGCCAGGAUAUUUUUCACCUCCUUUUCUCGUGAGGCCUCGGAUGGAUGCAGAUCCCUGCACUUUCGAUGCUUGGAGUGUUGCUUCCUCUUACCCAUCAAGUUCACCUUUCCCUUGGUGACCUUGUUGAUGUAUGUGUGGGCUACCUCAGCUCGCUCCCCUUUUGCCUCUUUUACUUGCACCCUUGAUAGUAAGGAGGUCUUAGGCGUACUAGGAUUUGGGUUGAAUUGGAGGGCACCUAGUAGUUGUAUCAAGCCCAUAUGUGCUUCGUCCUCCUGUUCCCUUUCCUUGAUCAUGGCAUUGAGCGCCUUCAUCUUUGGACAAUCCCGUGCCCAAUGUGGACCAUCACAUAGGAAGCAUUUGAUUUUAGGCGUAAACUCCUUCCUUUCCGCCUUACCCCUUCCUUCUCGUACAUUAGGCGUCUUGCCUGAUCCCAUUCUAAGAGCAUUGUGGUCCCUUGAGACCUCGUCUCCCCCACCCGUGGCGUGGCCAUCCUCCAAAGACUCAACCUUGGAUGAGUCUCCCCUCUUGUAAUCCGUUAAAGACUCUGCUACUACCAUAGCAAUGGCUAAGUCUUGAACGCCUCGGCGCCUUACUUCCUGCUCGGCCUACCCUUGCAGGUUAUCCAUGAAGUUGAAUAGCAACUCCUCCUCAAUCAUGUUAGGAAUCUCAAGCAUGAGUAAAGAGAAUUCCUUGACAUAGUUGCGUAUCGAGCCUGUGUGCUUGAGACACCUCAUGUUUUUCCUAGCCAGGUAAGCCACGUCCUCGAGGUAGAAUUGCCUCUUAAUCUCCCUCUUGAAGUCCUUCCACGUCUCUAUGGUGCAAAUGCUUUUCUCCAUAUCGGCAAACCUCCGACGCCACCAUAGAGUAGUUGUAUCAGUAAGGUAAAGGGUUGCAGUUCUUACCUUAGUCGCCUCAUCAGUCAAUGCGAUAGCCUCGAAGUAUCGCUCCAUAUGCCAUAAGAAGUUAUCCAACUCCUUGGCAUCCCGCUUGCCACUAAACCCAUGUGGCUUCGACACCUCCACCCUAGAUGCCUUCUGUGUGGCCAUGACCCAUGCCGACACAGCAGCCUUGUAGAUGGCCAACUCCUGCCUAACCUCCUGGUCUCGAGACUCCAUUCGAGUGGCCAAGGCCUUUAUCCUUGACUCCAUGCUAGCAAGCAUGCUCAAGACCUUUCCUUGGAAGGACACAAACUCCUCGUGCGACACUGGCUGAACCUGUGAGACUAGUACCCUCUCACGAAGGUCUUGGAUCUACUCCCUUAGAUCCUCUAAGCCCUUCUCCAUGCCUUGCUUGAUCAAGUCCAACCCCUCCCGAGUGUCCGCCAUGGCUAGCUCCACCUUGGAUAACCUUGCCUCUAUGUUGGCAACGACAUCACGAGAUUUAUCCUUCUUCCCCCUACCCCGUGCGGUAGGCUCAGUCUCCCUCCCACGGGUUUGCUCGCUAGUCUCCUCCAUGUUAGAGCCCGACAUGCUUCCUUUACUAUGCCCGCUUUGUAGUCACGCUCUGAUACCACUUCUCACGGACUUAGUCGUCUCCUAAGCUCGUGCGGCACUUAGACAAGUCAAGACGCUUGAUCUUGCUAAGUCAGCCUUACUCCCAAUGCUUAGCUUGCUAGGCUAAGACACUCGCGACUCGGAAGUUGUAGAAGGCGUAGUAGGCAACUCUUAAAGAAUAAAAGUUCUUAUUACUCAAGGAAGCUUUUACAAGUGCUUUGAGGACUCGCUUGGUUAGGAAGUGAUUUGGGUGGUGUCUUAGCCAAAUGAAUUCCUCACCUAUUUAUAGGCACCAAUGAAACUCUCUAGAACCUUGGAGGGUUCCUUACAAAUUAAGAAGAUUCUAGAAUACCCUACACAAUUCUAUGUACAACCCUAUGUACAAGAGAUCUCUAGAAUUCUCUAGAAAGCCUUGGACUCCUUUCAUGCCUUUCACCAUAGUGUAGAGAUGUAUGGACAUCUCUAGGCAUCUCUAGAACCUUCCACACUCUUCCCUCCAAUGACUUAGUGUAGAUGGCUCCAGGAGUCUCUAGAAGCUUCCUGGGCUCUAUAUAAACCCAUGAGGAGGCUUAUUUGAAGCAUCCUAUGACAUUAAGCCUCAAAUAUAGGCUUCUAAUAGGUUUAGGGUCUUUGCAGCCUUUUUGUAUAUAUUUUCUUAGAGGUUUAAACCUCAAUAUUCAAUGGUUUUAACGAGUUGUGUUUUUGUGGGGUUCUAGUGUAGAUCUAUAAAUUUUGUUUUGGGUCCAAGACUAGGGCUAAACGUUUUACAAAGGGCAAGUUGACCAAAGGAAAAAAUCACUACAAUUGAUGAAUGAAGAAGAAGAAGAAGGAGAAUGAGUGGACAUUAACUCUAAUGAGGAGGAUAGUAGAGCAUAUAAUCAUGAUUCCUUGAAGGAUUCCGCUAGUGAUUUUUUGGAUAGCCUUGAAGGAUUCUACUAGUGAUUUUUUGGAUAGGCUCGAAGGAUUCUACUAGUGAUGGUGAUAAUAGGAUUGUAGAUUAUUUGAUAAGGCAAUGGGAAGAGUAGGAUUUUAAAAGAGAGAAAAAUGAACUAAAUUAGAAACUAUAAAGAUAAACAAUUAAUUUGAUUAUUCUGAAUUGUAUAAUUUUCUAAUUAUUCAAUUUUCAUGUAAUUUUAUUAGCAUUUUUCCAUUUUUUGGGAUUUCUCUUUUUUUCAUUAUUUAUAUAUUUGUUUAAAUUGAGGCUUACACCUUGCUCUGCUUCAAAGCUUAUGCCUCGCCUCACUGGGGCAAAAUGCCUCAAGACCACCUUUAGCCUUUUAAAACAUUGGGCAAGAUACAAGCUAAUCUAGCAUCCUCAAUGAUAUAUUUCCAUGGUUAUUAUAAACCACAAAUCUAAUGGAAAUUUUUUAAUUUUACUAUCUUUUGGCUCUCUCUAGAAAGCUUCUUCACUUUUGGAAAAGACAAAAGCAGUACAUUGAUAACCCCUCAAGUUUGAUGCUAUUUUAUGUCAUUCCUAUCAAUAAAGCGGUUGGAUCCUCAUGUUUGCCCUGGUCUCAAUAUUAUUUUUAAGCAUAGUGGCAUUGUAUUGUUUUGUUCACACUAGAUUAAUCCAAUUCAAAGAAAUAGUAGCAUUAUUAAAAUAAGCAAACAUUAAAAAUUCAGCCUAUUAAUUCUGAAAAACUGCAAUGCAAGAAACCCAUAUCUUACCCACAUAUCCCAUAAAAAACAAUGCAUUAGCACCCAUGUCCAGAGAAAUGUUUCAUGUCAAUUAUAUAUCAUAGCUUGUUAGUAAUCCCAUCACCAUUACUCUAAGAAAGAUAUUACUUUUAAGGCAUAGAGAGCACCAAGGUACUUUUGACUGUCCAACAAUAUAAACCCCAACAUAUGCCCCAUAAACUAACACCAUCCUGACAUAUUGAUUAGGAUACUCUUUAUACUCCUAACAGAAUGAGUGUAGCCCAGAAGGAGACAAGAACACAAUUUUCCGGAAUAAACUACAGCAUUAUGGCCUAUAAGUUACCACCUAGAAAAGGAUGAACAGAUAUGACCACUGCUAAAGUACAUAUUUGAUUAAUUGAAUUUGCACCAUAUGGUCUAACACAUUCCUUUGUGCAGUAGGUGAAUUCUUCACAAUCUUCUUCAAGUUUAGAUGGAAAUUCCAUAUCCAUUCUCAAGCUUGGAAAGAGUUGCCAGUGACAAUUUGUUUGAUGGUGGCAAAAGGAAAUAUAUAGAUCUGGAUGAACUUUCUCUCAUGAAGAGCAAGACACCAGUCACUUAAAUUCAGCUCCCAACAAAUAAAAUCUAAUUUCAAGAUUCUGAGGUGGCAUCAGAUUUUGGGGGGAGAAAAGAUGUACAUACAGAUUAGCCUGGAAAGCUAAUUUCAACCUUUCUGAAAGUAGACGAUACAACUAUCUUAGAGUUGUAUUUAAUACCAUUGUGCUACAAUCUAUAUUAGAUAUCCAAACCUCACCACUGUGUUAAGAAAAAAGACUAAAACUGAGAAGCAAGAAAUAGGAAAAGAUGGGAUCCAUAUCCAGGAUAACAAUGCAAGAAAGAUCUGCUGCAAGGAGAAACUACCUUAUCUUUGGCCGACUACUUGGCUCAGGGUGCAGCAACCAUAGGCAAAAUGAAGCUUCCUUUGGCCACUUCAACAACAACUGAGGAGGAAGAACUCGAUGCCUCAAACAAGACAUAGUUCUGCUCUUUUCUUCUCUUGAGCUAAAUGUGCAGAAUAACUGCUCACAAGUACAACACUCACAUCAGGUUGUAGAAAGAAAAUAAAUAGACAUAAGUCCUAAGACUUUGAAGUCAGCUCUAACCACUGGUAGAAGGAAAUAAAACAAACACAAAAAAAAAAUCCAAAAAUUCAAACACGAAUUGAACUAUUUCCAGACCUCAAAAAGGAGGACGCCCAAUUGGUAAAUAUCAGAAGCACAGGAAGUCUGAGCACCAGAAAUCUCUUCCGGACUCGUGUACCAAUUGGUUUCCAUGAGCAAUAUCUCCUUCAUCGGAAAGGUUUGCUUCUUUUCUUCUGAUUGUUCAACACUUCUUCUAUCUGUACUUUUAUAUUCUUCUCUAUCUUCUACUAAUGUCACAUGUGUUGCAGAAACUGAACUUGAUUGCAUGCAACUGGUUUCUGAUAAUACAAUCUGAGAAGCAUUUGUUGGCAUUAUCGUGGGUAAAAAAUCUUCAUUUCCUGACCGGCUUUUCCGCAGAUGCAAGUCAUCAGGCAAAGAAGAUAAUCCAUUAUCCUCCUCGGUAUGGCUGUUCGACCCAUCCUCCAAAGAAUCAGAACCUGAAUCUGAGCAGGAUACUGACUCAAUAAAGGAAACAUGGUUGAAAGAUGACAUGACAAAACAGGAAGGCCUCACAUUAUUAACAACUACUCCUUGUGAAUGUGCUGCAUUAACAAUUUCUGCAAUUUGAGUAAAUAUGUGCAAACAUUCAAGCGCAUCAACUCUUCGUUCUGGUUUGUCCAACCAAUGCCUCAAGCUAACAUCACCCCAUUCUAUUGCCCGAACAAAAGGGUCCAAAGCUACAUCAUCAUCACAAACUUGAGAAAUACCGACCUGGUUUUUAUGGUUCUUAGUAUGAGACGACAGAACAUGAUCUCUCUCCUUCCUCCCAGAUAUAAAUCCAGAAUCAUGUGAUGCACCUCCAGACAAGCCAAUUCUAUUGGCAUGACGCUGCCUGGGAUUUCUCCCGUGCGAAACUAUAGAAACAUUCAAUCCCCUAGAAAUAUCAGAAUUACGCCAACCCGACUCAGAAGAACCCUCCAUUGUCAUCCACCUAUAGCUGAAUGCAAUCCAGAGCACACACAUCUAAAAAAUAGAGGAAUCCUCCUACUUCCACCACACUCUCUCACUUCCACCAUCACCAUUUUGUAUCAAAAACACAUUUCAGCGGCACCCACAAACCAGCUCCGCCAUCGAAGAAUUCCCUGCCGGGCACACAGACAUGGAUAAAUGAACUUUUGAGCAAGCAAUUUCCACCACAAACAGCAGCUCAUUCAACAAUGAUAGAAAAACUAAACAAUUCUUAAGAAAACAUUGAACCACCCAUCAAAUUAUAAGCAAAAGCACCGCCACCAAGAAAAAGCCCAUCAAAGAAAAUCAAAUAUACCAUAAACAUGGAGGAAAAAGAAAUGAAAAAUCAAACUUCCCCGUAAAAAAACUGUACAGUUUUAGACCCAAAGAAAGAUUACUAGCAGAAAAAACACAAGCACAAACACCAUCAUCAUCCUCAGAAACCCACCAAAGACAAUUAAGAUAAACCUAUGAAUAGUGCGAAGGGGAUAAAAGAGAAAAAAAUAGGAAUCACCACCAGCACGGUGACCCGCUUAAAACCCACCAAAAAAAAAUUCAUAUAAUCUAGAAAACUGAAAACAGAAUUAUCAAAUUACCCAUCAAAUAACAUACCCAUACACACAUAGAGAAGGAGAAGAGAGAAGAGAGAAGAGAGAAGAGAUCAGUACCGUAGCCAAGAGAGACCAUCUGUUUCCACACUCCCCCAACAUGUGAACAGAAGCACACGGGAACACCCAAAAACCAAAAAACAUUUUAUCCCACAACUUUACUCCACAGCCUCAUAUAUUCCCCAUUAUUUUCUCAAGACAAAAAACAAAGAAAUCUCACCCACAAAAAACCCACAUCCCCUUUUUUUUCUAAUCAAACCCCGAAAAUCAGAAAAAACAAAAAACAAAAAACAAAAAAAAAAUCAUCUUCCACGGUUCUACCAAGAAAUCUCCAACCCAUUUUCCAUCUAUCCAUGAACCCUCGAUGUCCACCAAAAAUCACUCUUUAUUCCAUUGAUUCUUUUCAAAAACCUCCCACACACCACACCCCUAUUUCAUUAUCUUCCCCCUAUUUUCCAUGUGGCCUACGUGGCGCAGCCGUCUCCUCUAAUUUGUCUCACAUCGGUACCAAACUGGGAAUUUCGCACACCAGUGGACCCAAAAAGGAAAUUGCCUCUUUUCGUGUGAAAUAAUAUAAAAUUAAACAAAUUUACCAUCGAAGCUGUAAACGCAGAGCUAUCAUUUCCUAAAGUGGAAAGGUUCAACUUGGGUCAAAAACAGUGGUCAAGAAAUUCAAACCAUAUCAAUUAAGGGAUUAAUUUAAUCCCCAUCCAAUCAUCCAAACUUAUGAAAGUAAUCAAUAUACAUAUAGUUUAUAAAUUUCAGAUUAUUUAAUACAUAACUUUCUCUGAAAGUAAUGCCACUUAUAUAAGAUAAUACAAUUGGUAGGGUAGGGAUAACUACAACAUUAGAAAACAUGCAUGUUUGGAUCAAAGAAUUGGGAUAAUUUCAUUCCCAAUAUACACUUAAUUAUCAUUAAUUUAAAUUUUUGUCAAAUAUCUUUUAUUUUUCUUUUAUCAUUUUCAUUUAUUUUCCUUUUAAUUUAAAAUAAAUAAAGUUUUUGAUAAAAUUUUGUACAACCCGUAACCUAAAGGAGCUUUUGUGACUUUAGAAACUCUCUCUUAUCCCAUAUGAGUCACAAUAUAAAUAAAAUUUAUUUUUAAGAAAUACAUGUAAAUACAUAAAACAAAUAUUCUAAGUUGUAAACAUAUUUUUAUUGUAGAAAACAUGGCUUACAUUUUCAAUGAUUAUUUGUUGAAAAUUGCUUCCAAAAGCCUUCCAAACAAACCCUAACAAUUUUCUUUUGAAAAUUGUAAAGAAAAAAUAUCUAUAAAUAAAUUUCAAGUUAAUAAAUUAUCUUUAUAUUUAUUUUUAAACUUAUGUUUUUAUUUUAUCUUUUGUAAAAAGAUUAAAUAAAUUAAAACACAUAAAAUUUUAAUUAAUUUUAAUUACAUUUAAUUUUUUUGUCGUAUAAAAUACUAUAAAUUAAAUAUGAAAAAAAAAAUCAUUUUCUUUAAUGUUUUUAGCUUCAUUUCCUUAAUAUCUUUCAAAUAUAUAUAUAUAUAUAUAUAUAUAUAUAUAUAUAUAUAGUCAUGAGACAAUUCUAAGUAAAUGAAAACCUUUACCACCUGAUAACUGUUUUAAAAAAUAAUUAUAAAAGCUAAUUUUUAAGAAUAAUUUUUUAAAACUAUUUUCUGGAUUUUUUAGAACAAAUAUUCCUUUGAAAACUUACAAUGUUUUUAAUUUAUUUUUAAUAUUUUUAAAUAUAUUUUAAAAAUAAAUUUUAUAUCUAAUAUUUUAUUUUUAAUCAUUUUACGUGUUUGUAUAAUUAUUUGUUAAAACAACAUUCUAAAAAUAAGUGAAAAUAAAAAAUAAAAAAUAAUUUUUAAUUGUCAAACAUGUUUUUUAUUCUUCAACAUAUUUUUAAAAGAGCUAAUAAAAAUUUGUAUAAAUAUAUUUUUAAAAUUUCUUAUUUUAGUUAUCAAUAUAAGCAUUUUUCUUAAUUAAUGUAAGGAAAUUUUUUUUUUCAUGAAAAUGGAAUUGAGUCAUCGUAAGACUCGCUAUAAUAGAUUGAAUAACACCCCAGUAUGAUUGAUAUUUUAAAUUUCGGGAUUGAACUUUAUUGCAAGAACACUUCCCAAACAGAGCCUUGAUUUUUCAACAUGUCUCCAAGACUCGACCAAAACAAGGGUACCAACAGAGCUAGGGUCAGUUUGGCAGAGCUUUAACUCAUUCUCAAUCAAGUGUUUCUUUGAAAAGAUUAGCUGAGAUUGGCAGGCAGUCAGAGACCAUGGUCACAUAUAUAAUGUAAGUCUCUGUUUGGAAAUGGAUAAGAAUUCGGCAUGGCUAGUGUAAUUGAUAGUUUUGCUUGUCCUAUCAGAAGCCGGAACAAAAGGAAUCAAAAUUGGGUAUUUGAGGGUAAACUUCAAGGGCCGACUCUCACUUUCUACAAAAGGGGGAACGAAAGGAAGUGGAUAAAAUCCCAUUCAAAGCCUGGUUCUGGGUAUGAGAAGAAUUCUUAGUUUCAGUAGUGGAGUCAUGUAAGAGGUACCAAAAACAGAAUAAGAUUGAUGCAUUCGGAAUGAUGAGAGCAACUAAAAUACUAUCUUCAUCAAUUUCAUAUUUCACAUAUUCUCAAGAGCUUAUGGCUAACGAUUAGCUCUACAAGAAUGGCUCAUUAUAGAGACUGCAGUUGCAGAGUGAAAAUAGAAUACAUGUAAUAAAUUGCAGACAGAGAGAGGUUUCCAAGUCUGCUUAGGCCUUAGCUAAGAAUGGCCACCAGCCACCUUUCACCAAACACCCCCUAUACAACCCAACAUUCCCCAUCCACACACCCAGUUACUCAUAUUUGGCAAGGGAACUUACCGGCUACAUAUUUCUGAAAUGGUCUCUUUCAUUGACAAAAGCUUAUCUUCAUCUGGGUUAAUCCAGCUCAACGACCAGAAACAAAUAAAGAAUUGGCUGAUAUUUUGUUCCCUUCAACCUGAACUUUUCUGAGUUUUUCCCUGUCUAGACGUGCUCGUCUUUCAGCAUCUUGUAUCUGGCGGUCAUGGUCCUUUAGCAUCUGAUCCACCUUGCCUGAGGGAACAAGUAGUGGGCCAGAGUAGUGAAUCUUGUGACCCUUUGACCCAUACCCAAGCUGGAGAAAAAUGUUAAGGUCAAGAACCAUGUAUCAGGCACUAAAAAAACACAUGAAUCAGAAUGAAGUAAGCACUUCUAUUCUUGCAGAGAGUGGUUGGCAAACAAAAAAAAGAGAAAAAAUUAAUAAGUAAAUAAAUGCUCGACUCGGUUUCAGGAUUCAGAAUUGUUGAUUCUUCCACUUCCCAUAAUAGCAGCAUAUAUAACCAAGAAACAAUGUAUAUGUUUACCCAAACAUUGUAAAAAUACAUUGCUACUUGACUUCUUUGGUGAUCAAAUAAAUUUGUUAAAAAACAAUAAAGGACCAUAGGAUUGGAGAUUUUUGUCUCGAGAUACAGUAGAAAUGACGAUGUGUGAAUGCAGCUAGUUAAUGAUAAGCAUGUUUCCAAGACCCAAGAAGUUUGAUUAGAAAAUUUAUUUAAAAAGACAGCAUAUGUCCAACUACUUACAAGAACUGGAUCUUUGCUGGUCAUUCUUCCAUCUUCUUUCUGAGUACAUCUGCCGGCACCCUGCAUUUGAUGCUUCUGAUCCUGCUGUAUUGUGGAUUCUGAGGCCUCCUUGAAGGAUCCUGGAAACCUGACUAUUAGUUUUGAGACAUCUGGUUGUGAUGAACCAGACUUUUCUCUGCGAUCUUCAGACAACAAGCUCCUCCUGGCUGCUACUAAACUCGACAUGGUUGACAAGUCGGCUCCAGUCGAAACCUUUGGAGCAUCAUCCAGGUUUUUCCCAGCCUUUGCCCACACAGCCCGGUGAGCCAGUGGGCCUGAAUGGGAGGCUCUCUUAUGAAGAGGGCCUUGGGUAUCUAUGCUUCCAUCUUCUAUAGCUUGAGACGGCCUAGGAGGGUCUAUUGGAAAACCAGAAGCAACUUCUUCUGGAUGAGGAUUGAACUUCUCACUCCGGCUCUUCGAAUUGGACUGACCUUGUCUUUUCUGCAAGAUGACCAUUUUCACCACCAUAAAGGUGAAAAAGAAACCAAAAAGAAAAAAAAAAAAAAAGAUUUAACAACAAAAAGCAAUGAGAGAUUGAAAGAGUGGCUGAUUUAUGUUGAAAUCUCAAAAAGACUUGGGUAAAUGUUAAGGAAACUACAAUAUCAUGAGGGCAGUGAUCUCACCUUACUAAAUAGCUAUAUCUACCAAACAUGAAAAUUAUUGAGUACGAAAACAGAACUUCAUUCACUUUACAGAACAACCUAAUCCAUAAAAAUAGGAAUGCUCCCUAAUUAAAAGAAUACAAAUAUUUUGACCAAAUUUCUAAGUGAAAUAUCACCCCGCCAGUUAUAACAAAAUGCUCUGUAUUUUUUAACUAACAAAAGUUGUAACAUAUGCUCUUUAUAUGGUCAUUAUGAAAUCAUAAUAAAAAACAAGACAUUGGGAGUUUUCUGACAACCACUCCAACCUCAGAUACUGCAUUCCUUUUUUUUUUCUUUUUUCUUUUUGACAGUCAAAAAAUAGAAUAAAUAUAUCGAUAUAAAUAUCUAAUAAAAGCAGAGGUGCAAACCCCUAUAUAGAUACAGCAUCCAUUUCCUCUUUCCAUCCCUCUAUAUUCUUCGCAUUCAAAUAGAGCAUAAAAGAACAAAAGAUUAUUGACAUGUAGCACUAGCUUAAGAUUGGUCAUAUAGCAACUAGAAAUUGGUAGUUCUCAUCACCAUCUUUCUCUUUUGCUCAUGCUAAUUCUUACAGAGGAACAUAUUCACCAGAUUACAAGAUCAAUUUUUCUACUUGGCACCAACAAAAAGUUGCAACUCAAUUUCUACUCAGAAACUGACUGAUCCUCAACAUGAAUAUGGCUCUACAAAAAACCUUGAUACCUCUCGCAACCUAGAAGACCCCCUCGGUUUAUCGAUUCAUGAAAUUAGCAAGUUUUUUUAAACAAUCCACUGUUUCAGUCUAGCUAGAAAUAAAUUAUAAAAAAUAAUUUUGAAAGAAUUUUUGUACAAACUGUAAUGCUAAAUUAAAACCUCUCUAUGCACAUGCAGCCCAAGUUUUUUGCAAUGUUUGAUGUCACGGGAAGAGAGUUAAUGGGAAAAUAAUUUGGAUGGAUUAUGGCAUUUGUACCUUGUAAAAGAACAUACAUGACCCAAUAUUUAGAAACAGCCCAAGUUACCUGCAUUGACAGGACUAAUUCAGCAUUGGCAUCAGGUGCUGGAACCGCUCGAGACUCUCUUAUUCCUUUCCUUUCAUGGUCAAGUCUCUGGCCCUUUCCUGUUGCUCCUUGUCUACAAAUGAUAAUAACAAGAACAAGUUUAUCAGUACAUACACCACUCUUUCUUUUUCUUUUUUCCUUUUUUCCUCUCUCUUUUUUGAUAGGCAAAUGUAUGAUUUAUUUCCUUAGCAGUGGCUGGAGCAUAAAAAAGAACAUGUCGAAGUAGCAAAUGCAACAAACAUAUUAUCUUCCUAAUAAUGCAUUAUAAAAUGAAGCCAAUAGAAUCACUAAAAUCCAACAAAUGGAUUGAUAAGUAGUAUCAGCAAUUGAAGGGGUAAUAGCUAAAAAAUUUAAAUCCUAAAUAUCAGUAAUAACAAGUAAAUCGCAUCUCUAGAAUGAGCAUCCAAUCUGACAUAAUAGUGACUGCUUCACAAAAUGACAGCAUCAUUAUCUUAUCUGCCAAAUAUUAUCAUCAUAACUGGGCAAAGUGGUUUUAAUACAGUUACCACAGCCUGAUUCUGUCAGAAUGAAGAUGUAAAAACAGGCCGCCUCUAUAAAUGUCACAUAGAUGCCACUUAAGCAUUAUUCAUUUGGGAAGCCAAAGUAUGGCUCCACUUUCAAACAGGAUUAUAUUAUGUAGAAAAACAGGGUGCCUUAAGUAUACUUAAUUGUUAAACAUCACCAUAUGCACUCAAACCAUCUAACAAUAAGUACCUUCUAGCUUCUUCAUCUCGUACUUUUGCAUCAAACUCUUUGCUGGGAGGAUACUUAGGCAAGCUUGAAGGAUCACAAGGAAGUGGCUUUACUGUAAAGAACUGGGAAACAUAAAUCAAAACAAGUCAAGAACUACUACAAGAGAGAGAGAGAGGAGAGAUCAAUUAAAAAAGAAGGAAAGGGCUCCCAAAGGACCCAAUUUCUCCAGAAUUUCAUACCUCACUUUUAAGAGCAGAGGCUGCAGAUCCACGAUCAGCAGGAUCUAUGGAAAGAAGUGUUUCCAUAAGCCCUAAUGCAGGUGUAGGAAAGUCUUUAAAUGUUUCUGCAACACAGCGCCUAUAAGGCUGUUGGGGCUUAAAUAUGGUUGCAUGUGGCAACUUUGAUUUUCUCCAAUAAUCCUCAGAUGGAGAGCCACAAAGCUUGAAAAUUUUAUGCAACUGUUCCACCUACAAAGGAGAAGAACCAAACUUAGUGAGGACAUGCUAAAGUUGAAGUAGAUGGAGAUGUUACUUGAUUAGUGGCAGGCCCAACGGAAUAAUUAAAUAGAAAGAAUGGGGGCAUAGAUUCAAAAUUCUUCAAUGAAGAUAAGCAAAAAUAGAAUGAACAGACACACAAUAGAAUAUAAGAAUGAAAAUUUUUCCCUUCAAUUCGUUAGUUAUAAUGAGCUAGACUAUAAUUUAAACCAGCCCACAUCCUAUAGAGUCCACAGCUGCCAACUCCACCAUCUCCACCAAUAAUAGCACCCCCACUAACAGAAGCAUCCUUACCAUUAUCAACCACCAGCCACUGUAUUGCCACCAUGUCAACCCAUAACAUGAACUUCCUUCACCACCAGGCAACCACCACCAACCAUCAUACUACCAGCACCACCAACAUUGCACUACCUCUAAGCCCACUUCCCACCUACACACCAUCACAACCUUAGUUGUUAAAAUCCUACAAUGUACCAUUCACAACCUAUAAUUGCAAAGUGAAACUCAACUGGAUUAUUUGAUUCCAGAUCUAAACCGUUUUUUUCCAAGAACUACUUCAAACCCCUCCUUAAUUUUACAAUGAUAUAAAUCCUAACUGCCAUCAAUAAUUCUGACUUUAAUUGAAAGCCAAGUGGCAUUGUUUUGUAUAAAAUAAUAGACUCUAAUUCUCUCUUCUUCUUUUUUUUUCAACUUUUUCCUUUUUAUAGCAAGAACAUGGAUUAAUUGACAAAACUGCAUGUUCAUGCUAAUAAAUUGUAAACUCCAAACACUGAAAUCCAUUCCUAGUGUCCAAUGUGAAAUAAUUCCAAAGCAACUUCAAUGUAAAGUGAUGAACCCAAAGAUAAGCCAAGUCUUUGGAAACUAUCUCCAAUUUGCACCAUAAUCUGCCACAAUUUUUGCAUUUUGGAAACCUUUCCAAACAUGAGAAUCUCACUUUCAAUCUGAAAUGUAUAACGGAAAUUUUCAUAAUGAUUGAGGCACUGUUUCACAGUUUAUAAAUGUGAUAUAAAAAAUCUUCUAUGCAGAUUUUGUAGCACUAGAAACUUCAAGGUGUUGCAAGGGAAAUUCAUCACCCAGCAGGGUAAUUGAGGGCAAGUUUGGGGCUUGGACUUUAUCGUUUAAAAUCACAUAGGUAGCAAAUUCAGGGUUCAGCUAUAAGUUAGCAAACUUCAGCUGGAUUGUUGAGCCUCAUUUUCAGUGAGACUAAAAAAAAUUAGUGAUUAUUAUAACAUGUUAUCUAACACAAAUUAAAAUGGAAAGUUUCAGUGUUCAGCACUAGUUUGCCAUCAAACAGCCAUUAAGAGUAAACCUCUUUUCCAACAUUUUAGUCAUGAUCCUGAGAUGAAUGUCACCAUUUUUUGUUUUUUUCUUUUUUUUUUCAUAUGCCUGAAAGUAACCAGGUAAAAUCAGACUCAAUUACUGUUAGUAUUUUACAUCCAAUAUUAUGUUCAAAACAGAACUCUAAUAACAACAAAUGCUAGGUAUUUUUUCCAAAGAGAAAAAAUCUGUAGAUUGCACAAUCAUGAUUCCAUGAAUAACAGGCAGUACUCUGCACAUCUUGUGGGAAAUAGAUAAGCAUAAACGAUACCUCUGUUCUUCCUGGCAUUAUAGGCUUGCCAGCAUAUAGUUCAGCCAGUAUACAACCAGUGCUCCAUAAAUCCACAGCAGUCCCAUAGUAAGUGGCUCCAAGUAAGAGCUCAGGUGGCCGGUACCAAAGUGUUACCACACGGCUUGUCAGUGGCUGGAUUUGAUGGGGAUCAAAAAAACUUGCCAAACCAAAGUCUGCUAUCUUCAAGAUGCCACUGUUGUCAAUUAGAAGGUUGGAACCCUUUAUAUCACGAUGCAAAACACCACGGCUGUGACAAUGAUCAAGUCCACGUAAAAGUUGCUGCAUAUAACAUUUAACCUGCCAAUAUAUAAAUAAAACCUCAGAGCUUGCAUAUCAAAGUAAACAAACAUAGAUUAAGCUUAAUAUAAAAUAUUACUGGAUUUAUCAAGAACACUUUACACAUAAGUGCUAUUUUCAAAUUUUGCUAAUGUAAAAUCAUGUGAUGGCAGUGAUGCUAACACUAAGAAACCAAACUUGUAGAAACAUCAAAUUGAAUUACAGUUGUAGCCUUAUAAAAAUGGAACUUUGAAGUAUAAAUCAUAAUGUAAAUUACAACUAUUUAAUGAGACAAAGCUUGCACAAAUACCUGUGGUUCUGUAAACUUGAGACCAGGGUGUGAGGCGAGACCUGCUAGAUCAUGUUCCAUGUACUCAAAAACAAGAUACAAGCUGCAAGACAUCCUUGAUGUGACUAGACCUUCCAGUUUUAUUAUAUUUGGAUGAUCAAGCCUGCGCAGAACGUGAAUUUCCCUUGCCAUAAAGCGGACACUCUCUGGCUCCAGGUUAUCAAACCUAACUUUCUUCAAAGCAACAAUUUUCCGUUGGUCCAGAUCACGAGCCCUGUAAACAUUACUGUAAGUUCCCUGGCCAAUCUGCAGAAAAGAAGAUCUCAAUAAAAAGGAAUCCAAAUUCAACCAAUAAUUAGCGUCCACAUAAAGAGAAACACUGGAGAACAAGACAAGAAUGAUCAUAUCAACCAACCUAAUCCUUGUCUAAUCCUGUGAAAUAAUAUAUCAGAUUCUUAGAGGUCCAUACCACCUAAACAAGAGAUGGAUAAAGAAUCAAUGAACACAAAACCUAGUUCCAACCAUAAGCUAGACAUGGUCGUUAACUUAUUCAAAAGCUCGAGGUUUGAAGAGCCAUUGCUCAGGGAAUGGCUGAGGAAGCCAUAUCCCAAAAAUUUGGGGACAAGUAAAUGAAUCUUUUUUUGUCAAUUAGAAUGCAACUUGCAGGAUUCAUGUGGGCAAAGGUUUGACUCAAAGUGGUAAAAUUUCAGGAUUCCUAUUAAUAUUGUUAAUCAUCUGGUUAUUUUUGGGGCUCUACUUCUGAGUUUAAAGGUGAUGAAGAAAUCAGCUAACCAAGCCUUACAGAAGAGGUAGAAAGGUACUGGGCAUCACACUUUUGGAAGAGAUAGUUGAACUCUCAUUCGCAUUACACCUAAGCAAUCUUCCAACAAAUUUUUAUGUCACUUAGCUGUAAACGGAGCACAAGUUCGAACAAGUCCAAUGCCACUUCUUAUAGGUGGUUGAAGUGUUGUUAAAACACUACCUCAUUCACUAGAAAACCAUAUGUCCACCUAAGGACGAUAUGGAAGAAAUUCUAACCCUCACAGAAUAUGGAGAAAAGUUCAGAGGGGUGCCAUGGGAUGAGACAGAGAGGUUCCAUAGAGGAUGUUUCAGAUGCAGACGCUGUGGAGUUCAAAAGCACUAAACUGAUUAAUUUUGCAGAGUUAUAAGAGAGUGUCAUAGAGUGUAGAUAGGAGAUUUUAAAAAGGCAACAUACUUUUCCUUGGAUAAGGAGUCUAUGUCUUCUUAGAAUCCAAUAUAAUAUAGAAAUGCUUCUUUAAAGUCUCAAUAACCAGAACUAUUCAACAUUUGUAGGAGAUUCAAUGCUUUGGUGGAGGCUUAUGUUGGGUGGCAAGAUGGAAGAAGCUUUAAACUCCAAUUAACUUCCAUUUUAAUGAGCUACACUCCAUAAAUGUGAGCAGGAUUAGAAACAACACUUUGUGCAAGAUUCUCCAUUCAAACUUUCUCUGGGAUUUGUAACCUAGGUCAGAUGAAAGAUUUAAAAUAGAGGCAAAAUUUCCUACCCUUUAAAAUCAAAUUCUUUGUUCAGACAGGUGAUGAGAACAAGCUUUGACAGAUUGAUUCCUAGCAGAUAAGUGAUUUGAGAAUCCAUAUAGAUGUGUCACAUGUAUAAAGGAAGCACUCUUAGUCAGCUUCUUAUCCUCAUUCAUUGUUCAUUUGCUUGUAAGUUAGGCAAUUUAUUUUUUUCUCCCUUUGAGGUUUUUAUCAUCUUUCCAUUCACCUAGGUUGAGCAAUUUUGUAAUUAACAAAUUCAAACUUUGAUUGGUGAGACUUUUUUAUAGGUAAAUUUUUGUUCCCAUUGGGGCUUGAACCUAGAACCUCCCACAAACCCUUCCUAUCCCUUGACCACUUGAGCCAGGCCUCAAGGGCAACUUUGAUUGGUGAGACUUGAGACAUCCUAGUUUAUCAAUCUGCUCUACUUUACAUUAUGGAGAAAAUUUUGUAGAAAUAAAAAGAAAGAACUUCAAGAACUAUGAGCUUCUUGCCUCUAAAGUAGACUUCAAUCAGAAUGCCCAGCUUUUAUUGAAUUAACAAAACCUUACAGUCCCUUUCUACUUUAAUCACCCAUCAUCUACGUCAGUUGGCACCCACCGGGUGACAUGGGAUUCACCACCAUGGAAAGCAGCUGAUUUAACUGGACCCAAAAAAAAAACCUCUCCUAUGAUAUAACAAGGUAAAAAUUUGGAUGGUCAUAACAUUAAAGGUUGCCUGAUUUCAACAUUUUAUUUACUAACCUUAUAUAUUGAAAAUUAAAAAAAAAUAAAGAAGGAACAAGAAGAAUCGGAGUGAUUCUUGCACUAUUAAGCAUAUUAUAUUUUUCUCAUUAACAGUAAUUAAAGCAUUGUGAUCACAUUGAGGUAUAUAUGGCUGGUAAGUCAACUAAGGAAAAUUUCAAUUUCCAAGUUUUAGUACCCUACUGUUUUAGUCCUCCCUAAAACUCUCAUUUACAAUACCCAUACAUCUAUAAGCACAUUUUUCAACUAUCCAGUUAGCAGAAAAUGGAGAAAAAUGUUUUUCAUGUGUUCGAUACAAUUCAACUAACUACAUAAAUUCUUCCACGUUGAGUUUAAGAUAGGACAGUAUUUACUGAAAUUGAAACCCGACCACUAUUUUAAGUGAUGGCAUAAUCCUAAGCAGAAAGAUCGAUCAAAUUGAAAGAAUUCAUUUUCAUAGUAAGCAUUCUCAUGAUACAUAAUGCAGGUAAUUUCGCAAUUGAAUCAAGAAAGAAGCAUACUUUAUCUAGUUUCUCAAAAGAAUCGGCCCGCCUUGGUAACCAUCCCCUUAUAGCUUCUCCAGCCACUGCAGAUAACCAAGCAGGCCAACCGGCAGCAACCUGUUCUCCUUCCAUUGCUUUCGGGAUACUCCCCAAUCCCGGAUGUUGGGCAACAACAUAUUCACCCCUCUCCCUCUUCCUCUCAACGUUCUCACCAUGCAACCGAACUGAACCAUUAGCUUGCUUUUCAAUCAGCAUUGUCCUCCCAUCAUUACUAUCAAACCUAUCUUUUACACGAUAAGCUUCCUCUCUCCGGGAGGAGGCUGGCCCCGCCACCCGCAGGUUUGAUGAUGCCUUACUCGACAACCGCUCUCUUGGACUCUCCCUACUAUCCUCAAUGGCAGAAGGCUUACAACAAAUGCAACCCAUCAUGCCCCAAAUCAACCUCAACAAAACCCCCUUUCACAAACAAAAAUCACCGCCCAAAUCCUCCACAUUCACGCUUUCAUCCUCUUCCAUGCCUUCUAUUACCAAAACAAUCCAAGAAAAUUAAUCAACUAAAACCCAAGAUUCAAACUCACACUCAUCUCAUCCCAACUACACACAACUCAGUAACCAAAAUGCUCAACACCUCGCAAUCCGCUGAUUCACAACUAAUGAAACCCCAAAACCCCUUAAUUUUUCAAGAAUCUAAACCCCAAAUCAGCAACAAUGAUACAGAAAAAAAUACAUAGAGGUAAGUAACCUGUGAAUGAUUACGGUUUUGGAGCAGAAAACAAAACCAAAUCAAGAGUAGUGAAGGAAGGACAUUGGAAACUCUAGAGAGUGAUCUGGGGUUAGGGUUUGGAGAGAGAAAGACAUGGAUCUAGGGCUAGGCAGAGGGGAGAGAGAUUUGACAGACAAGUAAUGCAGACAAGUUAAGGUUUUUUUUUUUCCCUUUUUUUUCCUUUUGCUUUUUUUCGUUUGGAGGGGAGAAAAUGUGGAUUUAACUACUCGCAAGCGCGUAUGUAUAGUUGGAAACUGGGAAGACGGCCUGUCGCGGCAGCUUUCAGGCAAGAGAAAAAUGUAAUUGCGACAUUCUCCCCUGCUCUUAACUACCAGGCGCACAUGAAAACGCGUUUGUUACACUUUCUUUAAUUUUUAAAAUUCUCAUUUUUUUUUCUUUUUUUUAUGGUGACUGAUUUCCAAUUAUUAUUGUUAGUUAUAGUCAGGAAAUCGGAGAGAAAAUAAUGAAUAAAGAAAAAUAAAAUAAAUGUAAAUCUAAUAAAUUAUUUUAUAUAAUAUUUUAAAUUCAUUUAAUUUAUUUUUAAAAAAAUUAUAUAAUAAUUAAAUACUAUCAUGGAUACUUAAUUUUUUUUACUUUUUUUAAUAUUUUUUUUUUUAGAACUAUAUACAUAAUAAUAAUAAUAAUAAUAACAAUAUUAAUAAUGAUGAUAAUAAUAACAUGUGACCAAGGGAUUGAGUCAAUAAUGAACUCUGACAAAUAAAAGGACAUGCACCUACCAAUAUGGGUCCUAUGUCCCAAUUCAAAGUAAAAAUUUAAUUUGAUAAGAUAUUUAUUCUUUCAAAUGAAUAAUGUUAGAGUACUCACCCUACAUUAACAGGGAAAAUUUUUUGUUGGAUGAGAGGGCUUGUUUUAUUCUAAUAAAAACAAAUUUAAUUUUCUUAAAAUAUAUAUUUUUUAGUCUAAAUAGUUAUUGAUCUCGAGGUUUAAUGAUUAAAAUAUAUGACUUUUAAUAAAAUCUAACCGAUGAAACUCAAUUUUUUACUCGGAAGUAAUAUUAUUUUAUGUUUAAAUAAUCUUGUUAUUAGCUUAUAUUAAUUCACUUUUGCAUCAAUAAAUAGUAAAUACCCUUGAAUAGUUUUUUUUUUUAAUGAAAAAAUAUAAUUUAAAAUACAUUUGUCCAUGAAAAUUUGGAUGCCUGCAUUAAGUGAUACCUUGCUUCAAUUCAAACUUCCCACAUGGCAUGUCUUUUUGUUGAAUUAUUUAAAAAAAAUAUUUAAAAAAAAAAACCUAUAAACUCACUACGCGUGGUUCACGCGCUUGCAGAGGGGUGUGAGGCUUGAGUAAAAAGUUGGGUGGUUUUUGGUAAAGGAGGUCGUUGUGUUUUCCUUGGCUUUUAUGAGUCCAGUUCAUUAAUAUGGUUAGGUGAGAGAAUUACGGUACUGUUCACUCACACGGAAAAUGUCAUCCCAUGUGGUGGGCCCUAAUCCAGAUUCGGUGCAGAUGCUCUAAUCUUGCGGUUGCGAUUCACCUGACGCCGAAAAAAUAAUCACGGCCGUUAGAUUGAUGGAUUUGUUUCAGAUAUCAGUACGUGAUGGGACCCACAAAAAUUAUUUGGGUUGAAUUGAGAUCGAGCCGAAAAAUAAGCGGAUAAGAUUCUACUUAAUGGACGGCCAAGAUUCACUGUGUGGGGACAUAGGUAGUCAAACUUGGUCAGGGUAGAUGAUCAGAUGCGGCACAUCUUCCAUCUUUAACUUGCGUCAGGGUCAUUCCACCAAUCAUAAAUUUUGAAACUAAUAAUAAUUAGUUGAGGAUAAUUGAUUAAAAUUAACCCAAUUAAAAUACAGUAAGAUUCUUCCCCAUUUUGUCUAGCAAAGAAUAUUUAUCUAUAUUUAUUUUUUGUUAAAUUUAUUAGGUAAUUUCAUUUAUGACCAUAAUUAAUGAUAAAAAAGUACAAGACAUUGAAUAAUGUAUAAAUAAACGAGACAAAUAUAAAUAAAUUAAACCAACUGUGUAGAAUAAUAUGACAAACUUAAAUAUAAAGUAUAAAUUAUAUAUACACGGUGCUAUAAUUAGUUUCAUGUUUUUUUAUAUUUAAAUAUAUUAAAUUAAUAUUAUAGUGAAACCCAUAAUAUAUAUAAAAGAAAAAUAUAAAUAAAAAGAAUAUAUAAUUAAAAAAAUAAAAUAAAAGUAACAAAUAAUCGAAAUAAAAAAAAUAAAAUUAAAGUAUAACAAAAUAAUAAGAUUAAGAUAUAAAAUAAUACAUCGACUUGAACACAAAGCGAUGAGGUAUAAAUUGCAUGUGUAUUAUGGUAUAAUUAGUUUUUUCUACCUUUAUACUUAUUAGAUGGGGAAAAAGUGUCUCAUUCCAAACCCCAAAAGCAAAGUAUAAUGCCCUACUUUUAAACAAUGAAGAUGACCAAAAUCACCAUAUAGGGGGGAUGAGGGAGGGAGGGAGGGGAGAGGGAGAGGGAGAGAGAGAGAGAGAGAGAGAGAGAGAGAGAGAGAGAGAGGGAGAGGGAGAGAGGGGGGGAGAGAGAGGGAGAGAGAUAAAACUUGGAAAAUGCGCAGGAAAAAGGUGUCCCAUAUCCAAUUAAUUAUGAAGAGAUAUGCAUAUAAUGAUAGAUGUAUGAAAUUUAUGGCAUGCCCUGUCUCACUGAGACAAUAAAACAAGUGAAUGGGGUCCAUUGACUCAGCCAUACUUUUUGUUUGCUCCUACCUACACCCUCCAUGUUUCCAUCCACCCAAGCACUGCCAUUUCCCUUCCACUUUCUACUUUACCACCUUCUCCCUUUCCUUUUUUUUUAAUAAUAAUCACACAUUGGGAAGAGAGGAGGACAGCAGCCAAUGCCGGGCCCUGCUUAAUCUCCUCUUUGUGUUGUGCUCUUCUUCUUCCUCUUGUUGCUCCAUUGUUUUGGCCUUUUCCACUUAGUUUUUUUCUUCAAUUAUUACUUGCUUUUCUUGAGGUUUUUGUGUAUUGGAAGAAUCUUUAUUGAUAUUUCCAAAAUAAUAUUAGCCUUUUUUUUUAUGAUUGACUCACAUUAUUAAAGAGAUGUUUUUCCUAAACUUUACCAUAUAAUAUAUUGGAUAAUGUAGACAAAAAAUAUCUCUGUCAUGGAUUAUUGAAAUGAUAUGUGGCUGUUUACACUUGAAAGGAGUUGAAGGUGAUGGGAAUAAAAUAAAUGUAAUUUAAAAAAAAAUAGGUGGUGAAAAAUGUGAUAAACAUGAGCAAAUAAUUUGUAUUUUUUGUUUUAUCAACAAACCUAAUGUUGGUACGGUUCCUAAUAUUGAGCUAAGUGAGUUUAGGUUAUAUGUGUAUAUAUAUAUAUAUAUAUGAAUUUUAUAUAUAUUUAACAACAAAUAAACUAUUAAAUAAAGGUUCUCAUUACAAUAUCGAAUCAAUACGUAUAAAAAUUGAUGAAUCGGGAUCACGACAUCAAUUAGAAAUUGUUAUGUUUAUGAUACAAAUCUAAAUGUUUUGUAUUCAAAUUUGGUUUCAUUAUUUUGUAUAUCAGUCACAUUCUUUUGUACCUUGAUUCUAUGCAUAUGUAACUUCAUUCAAUUGCUUAAAUUCCAUUGUACAAUUUCAACCGUCUACUUUACAUCUUGUUAAGUAUCGAUUCAAUAUCCUAAAAUUUUCCUUAACUAGAUGCAAGGUUAAAUAACUCAUUACAAUAUAUAUCAAUAUAUAUAAACAAGGGAUGAAUUAGGGUAACAUUAAUUAGAAAUUGUCACAUAUAUGAUGUAGAUUUCAUUGUUUUGUAUUCAAACUCGGUUUCAUUAUUUUGUACAAAGGUUUCAUUCUUUUGUACCUUAAUUCUCUGUAUUUGUAACCUCAUUUAAUUGCUUAAAUUUUACUAUUCAACAAUCUACUUUACAUCUUGUUAUGUAUUGAGUCAAUAUCCUAAAUUUUCCUUAAUUCAAUGCAUGUUAGAUAAAUGUACAAGUUAUCAGCUUGCAUUUAAUAUGCAUCUAACAAUAAAUUAGUCAUCAAAAUUCCAAAACAAGUGUCAAAAUGUAUUAAAAAUAAAUUAAAAUCAACUUAGACAAAUUUAUUAUUUAUUUUUACCAUUGAUAGAGUCAUCUAUUAAUAUUAUAAAAUAACGAAAUGAUAUGCAUCAUGAUGAUGCGUAGGCAAAUCCUACAUAUUCAUGUAUUUAUUUUUUCUAAAAAGUCUAAUGAUUAAACAUGUACUUUGCUGGAUGAUGGUCCAACCAUCAAUCUAUCUUCUUAGCAAACAAUACAUGAAUAUUUAUGAAGUAAUAUAUAUUCAAUAGUGAUGCUCUUAUGAUUGUUUUAUUAAUUAAUGCAUCAUUGAAAACUCGGUAGACUUAAUUGAUCAUAUCAAAACAUAAAUAUCUUUGGAUAUGUAAACUCCAUAUUCACUUAAACAUAUAAUUCAAUAGACAUUAUGGUAAAGUUAAAAGAUUUUAUAUAUAUAAAUAUAUAUAUAUAUAUAUAUAUAUAUAUAUUCAUAGUUUCUAAUAACCAUUUCUAUUUUCAGAACCUUAAAUCAAGUUUAUAAUAUCUAAUAUAGUACUUACAAUAGCUUUUGCCAAUGUCAAAAUUAAAGAAGUAUCUUUUACCUCAAAUAAUUAUGUACGUGGUUGUAUAGUUUGCAAUACACAUCGGUUUUUUUUUUUUUAUACCUUGAAACUUAAUAACUUAGGGAUUUUUGAUAUACUAAAAUUUGAGUGAAGAAGUUUAUAAGACAAAAGGUAAAUAAUGACGUAGUGAAUCUAAUAACAAUAUAUAAAGUAACAUGAGUCAAUGCUAGUAUUUUCACCAUUGAUUAAAAAGUAAGAUUUUUUUACUAAGACAUCCAAAGAAAUCAUCAUGGCAAGAAUAUACCAUCCGUGUUAAAAUUCUUUUCUAUCUCUUUUGUUUUUACUUCUAUUCAAAGUUGAUAAAGGUUGACCAAAUGUUUGGAUAGAAGAUAAGUAUACAACCAAUAUCCUUUUAUGCACGCCUAUAAUAAUUAUUCUCGUGAUCUUCAAUAGGUUUACCCACUUUUGGUGGUGCGAUGUAAUAUUAAUUUUUUGAAAAUUUUGAGAUAUAAUCAUGGUAAGCACCAUAGUAUUGAAAUUUUUCUUCCUCGACUAUGACCACAUCUUUAUCUUCAUCCAUGUCUACUAUAUAGAAUGAUUUUGCAUUCACUUCAUGAAAUGGCACAAACCAAUUCAAUGAGAUUCAUCAUUUAUUAUCAAAAACUUGUUAUUUUGUUAAAAAGAACAAGAAAAUAUGAUAUCUAUUUAAGAGUAUUUUGUAAAUGUAUGAUAUUUGAUAUCGUUGUUGUAGGAGCACCUUUGAGUCGAGAAACGUAGUAAAAGAUUUUCUAAUAAUUUUUCUUUUACACAACUUUAAUUGAGACCCAAUUUUGAACAAUGCGAAGUUAUACACGUGUACUCAUUAACAACUUUGACAGCUUACAACCUCAAGUUGUAGGAGUACCAAUGGGGCGUGAAAUGUAAUAAAAGUUUUUUUUUUUAAUAAUUAUCAUAUGGUUGUUAUUUUAAUAUAGUUACAACAUGUAAAAAAUUUGUGAAAAUUUUGGUUAAUCAUACAAGCAAAAGAAAGUGUGAUAUUUUCUUAACAUGAAGAGUUUAUUUGAUCAUAGGAUUUAAAAAUAGUUUUUAAAAAUAAAAUCAAAUAUUGAAUAUCGAAUAGUUUUUAGAUAACAAGUAAAAGUAGGUAACUUGAAUAAUCGCUCUCUGAGAAAGGAUAGGAACAAUGCCAGACCAAUGGGGCCAUCUGAAGCCAACAGGGACUUGAGCAUAGAUGGGGGCAUAUAUCUCUUUCAUGCCUAAUGGACUUGGGCACGUUUUCGAAUUCCACUUAAACCAAAUGAGGUGUAAGAAAAAGGAUGUGUGCCCAAGGCCGAAAAAAUGUAUUCUUGGCUCAAAGCCCAAUCAAAACCUUCUAAAAUGACUCAGGAAGAAGGAACACAGGAAUCCAAGGGUGAAGGGAACAGCAAAUGAAACUUCCAAGCAGGUUUCCUCUACUAGAAAGGAAAAGCAUGUCAUCCUAGGCUAUAACCAGAGAAGGAUGAAGUCUUGAUCAGUAACUUAAGUGGAGGAGGAGGAGGAGAAGCAUUGCAACAGUUGUGGAAGACAGAAAGGAUGAAUCAUUGAAGAUUAAAGAGGGGAAAAAACCCAAAUAUAUUAAAAUAAUAAUCAGAAUAGAUGUACUGUUCAUCCUCCCUUUCCAUCCUUCAAAUGACUCUGGCCUAAAAAAAUCUUUGACAUUCACCUGGGACGUUGUCGAGAAUAAGUUAAAGAAACAACAGAAUCAGAUAGUAAAACAAGAUAUCAUGAUUUUGAUUUACAAAUCAAGCUAAAAGCAUGACCUCCAAUCUUCAUCUUGGAAAACUUCUGAAUCACCUACAAUGUAAUAUUAGGUUUGAGUGAUAUAUGAGGCCCUGCCUGUACCUAUUUGCUCCCUAGACCCUGGAGAGAUGAGGAAUGGCUUCUUUCUUUUUGUUUUCACUUGUUCUGUGUUCAAUAAAAAGGUAAAUAGAUGGGGCCAUGCUACAUUAUGGAAUCAUUCGCCUUCAUGUUCUUUUAUCAUGCAUUUCAGUUGGUAAGGACUAAGGACUUAAACGGUCUGAAGAUCAAGCAACAAAAAUAAUAUAAAACUGACCUCGACUUGAUUAGCGAUUAAGUCCUAAACUGUCAGUCCAUUACAGAGUUCAGUGAGAGGCCUACAUGCAAUAAUAAGGAUUAGGGUAGAUAUAAAAAGUCAACAAAGGCUUCAUAAGAAAAUGAAAUACAGCACCAUGAAGGAGAGAAAAAGACAAGUAAACAAAUGAGGAUGGCACAAAUGAGUACUGAUUCAUAGGAAAAUUAAAUAGGGCACCAAUAAAAAUUCACAAGGAAAGGAUUACAAUUGUCUAUUUGUUUUUUUCCCCGUAUAGACUAAGGUGGUGUUUAUUUUUUUGGCUUUUUAUUAAAAAUAAUUUAGUUUUAGAAUUUAGGUUGUUUAUUUUUCUAUUUUUUCAUGACUUAUUAUAAACUUUUUACUAAAUAGAAAAAAUAAAAAUAUGUAGCUUUUUCUAAAUAGAAAAAAUAACAUAUUGAUUUUUUUUUAUUUUUUAAUACUUAAUAGAAAUAAAAUACUACAAAAACAAACAACCUAAUAUUUCACACUAUUAAACAUUAAGAUUCUAUUUAGAAUUAAGUAAAAAAAUAAACACCACCUAAGUUAUAAUUUUAAGUAUAAACAUUUGAGGAACUCAACAUAGAUAAAUAUAAGGGUUAUUUGAUUAAAAGGGUCCAUGAAAACUCGAAUUUUGAAAUUUAACCCUUUGUCCUUUUUUUGUCUCAUUUGGACAAAAAUACCCUUGUUAUUUUCCUGUAAAAAUAACAUUUUCUUUGAAAACCUAUAAGUAAAUACUUGAAAUGACAAAGGACAUUUAUAUUAAAAAUGAGCUACUUUUCAAGUAAAAAUAUAAGAAGGGUUAGAUUCAUAAUUUGGGAAUUAUCUCAUCCCUUUUAACCAAGUAUUUCUAAAUAUAACUGCAUCUAUGUUACCAUGUAAAGUAGGUAGUUGGUGUGCCCAAUCUAUGAUUCCUAAGAUGCCUCUAUUCUUGUUACUUAACAUGCAACACAAGAAGUGCAUAACCAGUAAAUAUCAUCGGCUUCAGUUUCCUACUUGAAUGUUUUGGAAAAUUUAGAAUCUAAUGCACUCUGUUCUUAUUUGAACACAUUGCUUCAAUACAAAGAUACAGUACUAAAUCCACACAGAUAGCCCCCCCCCCCCCCCCCUUUUUAUAUUCCGGUUUUUAAUAUAAAACUGAAUUAAACCGGGGAAACAAAAUUUUCCAAAAAAAACAUUUUUAUUUUUUAAAUUUUUCAAAGACCCCAAAAAUUAUAUUUUUUCCAAAAAAUUCAGCCCUUCUGUGGCCAAAAAUAUUUCCCUUUUAUUUGGAAAAAAUCCUUUUCACUAAGGAAAACCCGUGGCCAGUUUUUAAAAAUUUUGGCCCAUUUUCGUCCUCUUCCAAGGAAACCCCAAAAUUUAUGGGUGUAAAUAGGAAACCUUUUUUUUUAAUAUUAUUUUUGGAAAAAAAAAAAAAAGUAUUAAAAAUGCCAAUUAUGGCUGGGAAUUCCCCAANNNNNNNNNNNNNNNNNNNNNNNNNNNNNNNNNNNNNNNNNNNNNNNNNNNNNNNNNNNNNNNNNNNNNNNNNNNNNNNNNNNNNNNNNNNNNNNNNNNNAAUAAAACGGCAUUUUUGUUCCCAUGAAAAGUGGGUGGUGGGGGGCCCCAAUUUAUGUUUCUUAAGAGCCCUUUUUUCUUGUUACUUAACAGCCAACCCAAAAAGGGCAUACCCAGUAAAUUUCUUCGGCUUCAUUUUCCUACUUAAAUUUUUGGAAAAAUUUAAAAUUUAAUCCCCUCUUUUUUUUUUGGAACACAUUGCUUCAAUAAAAAGAUACGGUACAAAACCCCCCCAGAUGGCCCCCCCCCCCCCCUCUUUUGUAUAUCCUGCUUUUAAUUAUAGAUCUGACUUAUACUGUGGAAUCAAUAUGUCCUAUAAAAAUCAUUUGUAUUUUUGAUAUCUUCAAAGUACCACAAAAUUCAUAUCUUUCACAAGAAUUACAGCCUUCAUGUGCCUAGAAUUAUGUCCGUUUAAUUCGGAGAAACUCAUUUCAACUAGGGAAAGCCAGUGCCAUGUUUUGAAAAUUUUGGGCCAAUUUCAGUCAUCUACAAGGAACACACAAUAUUUUAUGGAUGUAAUUAGGAACCUUUUUUUUUAAUUAUUAUUUUGGGAUAAAUAAGAGAAUGUAUUAAAAGUGCAAUUAAUGCAUGAGAGUACACAAGACGUAUACAAUGAGCAUCAAGAGGCCAAAAAAAAAAAAACUACUCCCUCCCAACCAAUCUACAAAGUCAAUAAAGGACAUAGUGCUUCCAUCUAUGUACACAUGAACCCACAUAAAUAGAUUGUUAAGGAAUUAGCUUUUAAGUCUUUGAUCUAAAGUCUUGUCAUCUUCAAACACUUUUCUAUUUCUUUCCUUCCAAAUAGUCCAAAAAAUACAAAAGAGAGUGCUCUCCAAGCCUUCUUUUGCCUUCAACCCACAAAGUAACCAUGCCACCCUAGGAGAGUGUCCCUUACUGAGGCAAAAAGAACCUAAGGGAUACCAAAUAAAGAGAACAACAAUAGCCAUAAAAUCCUAGUCUUAGCACAAUGAAGAAGAAUGUGAUCGAUGGAUUUUGUCUCCUCUUUGCAUAGAGCACACCUAGUGACUACUAACCAACCUCUUCUUUGGAGCUAGUCCAAAGUCAACACCUUAUCCCAACAAGCCUCCCAUGUGAGAAAGCUCACUUCAGGAGGGAUCCGGGAGUCCCAAAAAAUCCUUGAAAUUGAGUGUAACUCUACAUUUAAAGAUUCCAAAACAAACCCCAGCCCAACCCAAAUACAAGAAAUCCACCCCAAACCUGAACCCAUUCCAACCCUGUGUUACUAGUGUCAGAAACACCCAUAAGAAAAUACCCUUUGACUAGCUAAAAGAACAGAAAAAUUAAGAAGAUUACAUUGUUGGUUUAGUGGCUGCACUUAAGUUUACCUCCUGUGCUGGUUAUGCUACUCAUGAUCCGAGAUCAAGCCCUUGAUGUGUUUAAUGGCCUUCAUCUAUUAGGUGCAACUACAAAUGGGAGAAACAUAGGCAACUAGUUUAACUGUUCUCUCUUAUGGAUUCAAGGUAUUAUAUAUUGGUUUAUAUUUUAUUAGAACCAAGGUGCCAACAUGGGGUGAAUGCUAGCACAAGGGGAGUAUACAAGGAAACACCCUAAAGAAAAUCAUAAGCUAAGGACAAACAAAUCAGCCCAUCAGUAAACCUUUCUACAAAUUCAAACAAACAUAAAUUUUCCUCCUUAGCCCAUGACAAAGGAGACCUAAGCCAUGUGUUUCCUCUUUUCCUCAUAAAGAAAAUACAAACCCAUAUCUCUAAUAUCUUCAACAACAUACUGAGACCUUUACACAAAUUUAAAUUUCCAUUUCCAUUUUUUGCAGCUAAUUUCUACUAAAGUUUGCAUUCAGAAGCUUAAUCAGAUAGUGGUAAUGAAUCUUCCAUUCCUUUCAUGGGUCUAGUUAAAAGCAAGCUAGGCAUUGUUUCAAACACUUGACAGCCACAGAUCUCCACUCCCUCCUCUCAACUCUCAAGUAGGCUAAUGGGGCAAACAAGCAAGCAGGCAUGCAUUUCCCUCAUAUGGGUUCACUCCACCACCCCAUGCCCACCAAUCCAAACCCCCUAAGUCUUUUGCUUACUAGCCAAGAAGCCAUUUUUCACACUGCAACCACUACUGAUUCCACCCCAUAACAACAAACCCACAUCAAAACACACUCUUACAACAACUCAACCUUGAUAUUCUAAAAGAGAUCAAGAAAAAAAGGUAAAAAAAAAAAAAAAAAUUACCCUAGAUGGGAAAUCAUUAGGCAGAACCAAGUGGGUUUUGCAGAAAUUGCAGAAAAAAUUACCAUCACAGAUGGGUGCUAGAAUUGCAUACCUCAUUCAUAGUAUCCAUUCCCCCUCUUCAUUUUGUUGCACUUCCUAGCUUCAAUCGAGUAUUCCAGACGAAACAAACCGGCAGAUGAAUCAAGAAGCCCUUUUAUUGGAAACCAAAAACAGAACACGCUACCACUGAUAAUGAAUCAAAAGCCCACUUUAUUGGAAAACAAAAAGAUAGAAUAUCAGCUGUUUAGAGGGUUCAGACACAGUUACCCAUCAAAAUAUAUAAAUUUGAAACCAAAAAAAUCCAAAUUACAUCAAAAUGAUUGAAACUUCAAGCACAAUUUCAUUUCUCAUUUUUCCUCUGCCUUCUGAACCGNNNNNNNNNNNNNNNNNNNNNNNNNNNNNNNNNNNNNNNNNNNNNNNNNNNNNNNNNNNNNNNNNNNNNNNNNNNNNNNNNNNNNNNNNNNNNNNNNNNNACCGCCAAUUUCCGGGCAGUUUCGUCCUCUUUCUUCCCAAGCCCCAUUUUCUUUUGCUCGUAAAGAAAUGUCUUGGUUAUCAAAUUACAAAACAAAUACACAAACUGCACUGAAUCUUUAGCUGGAAUAGGGUAGGCGAUCUUCUUAAACGUGUCCAGCGGCAUACUCGGAUCCACCACCGAAACAAUCGGUAUCUCCAGCCGAGACGCCUCCUGAAUCACCGAAGACUUCCUUUCGGUAUCCAAAAUCACGACACAGUCAGGCGGCUGACUCGGGCCGAAAAUGAUCUUCUUGUUUCGGGACCGAAACUUCUUGGGACUAGAACUGUUGGUGAGAAAGCCGCCGAGUCGCCAGGGGGCGUCGGGGGUGAAGCAUCCGAUUUUUCGGGUCAUCUGCUCGACGAUUUCAUCGAAGAGGGAGUUGGUGUUGACGAAGAGGAAACGACCCUUUUGGCGGACGAGCGAGGCCAUGAAGUCGCAGGCAUUUCGCAUGCAGAUGAGGGUCUUGUCAGAGUCGAUGACGGCGCACCCGUUGCGGAAGCCAUAGGUGUAGACCUUGAAAUGGUGCUCCACCAAGCGCCGCCCCAUAUGGGCAUUGGUGCUCAGAAGCUUUUGGAUAACGAGAGAAUGGAUCGUCAUUUUCUUCGAUCUGGUCUUCUUCUCCUUCAGUUCCGUUCCAUUAUUGGGUUUUCUCCAAAAUAUCGAAUGCCCAGAAGAGAUCAAGAUUUCUCUCCUACCCGUAAAUUUUGAGCUCACUCUUCUAGGGUUUGGGGUUUCCUUCUUAUUAUUAUUAUUAUUUUAAUAUUUGCCGUAUUUUGACUAUUUACUCAACGGAUUAAUUUCAUAAAUUAUAUUUAAAAUAUUUUUAAAAAGAUUGAUGUAUCAAAAAAAUUUAUUAACUUAAAUCUUAAAAUUUGUGAAAGUGAUUUGUAAAGAUAUAAGUAAAAGCACGUGAUUCUUAAAAGUGUCGGACAGGCCCUAAUAAUUUCAUAAUUUAGGUUCGGUUGAAUAAUCAUUUUUACCAAUUCACUUAUUAUUGUGCAUUAAAUGGUAAUUAAUAGGGUUUUAGACCUUAAUCAAUUGAGCAAUUGGUUCCAUCGGUCAAUAAUUUCUUGGUUUUUCCUGAAAAUCAAUUUUUUAUAAAAUUAUUAAGUAAAGGAAAAUUUAUUAAAAAAAAUCUUUCAGUUUAUUUUAAAAAUAAAAUAAAAUAAAAUAAUACAUAAAAAUAAUUAAUUUCCUUCCAAUAUUUCUUCUCUUUGUUCUUUCUUUCUAAUCAAAUAUACCCAUAAUAUUUCAAAAUUUUCAUGGUCCCUUACAAACUUAUAAAUGUGUAAGAAUAAUUAAAAAAAAAUCUUUUAAAAUGUUUAUAAAUUUCUCAUUCAAAAAUCUAGAAAACAAAAAUCAAAGUCGAUGAAUCUGAGAUUGAACACUACAUAAAAAAUAAUUUAAAAAUACAUUCUGCAUUCCAUUUUCUAUCAUGAGAGAAAACAAUGUUCGAUCAUCUACAGCUCCGGCAAUGAGAUUUAACAAUGUUAUGAUAAAAAUUAUGUAAAGCUGUUUCAAUUAAAAACUUCAAUGAAACCCUAAUUUUCCAACACCGAAGAAAGAGAGAAACUGAAGCCUUAAAAGUUCCUUCGUCACCAGUUAUCGCGUUCUUCAAAUUGAAGAUCUCCUAAUUACCAAACAAAUAUCCAAAUUCCAGAUACAUUUAUGCUCUACAUUAUGAAAAUUCAUCUAUUGUUCGCAUUACUAAAAAAAUAUAAAAAGGGAAAGUUAGGGCAAAAGUAACCACAACUACAACACAGAACCAUCUUUAGAUUCAAGAAAUUGGCGAAGAACACAAGUUAUUUACAGUAACGAUCGGCCUUCUUCUUGACUCGAUCAUCGAGCGCCUCCUCCACCGACGUCGAAGUCGUCUUGGGAUCGUACCCGAACUUCUUCGCCUCCACGGGGAACAACUGAUCGUACUUCAUGCGCUUCGCGGCAUCGAUCGUGUACACCUCUCCAGAUCCUCCAGCAUCUCCUGAGAGGACUUCCUCAUGCUCCAGUGCUUCUUCCUCCGAUAUGGUUUUCUUGCUCUUCUUCUUCUUCUUUUUCGCUUUGUCUAUGGUUUUGCUGCGAGUGGCAAGAUCCCCUCCUUUGAAGGUCAGUCUCGCUCCAUUAACUUUCUUGAAUGGAUCCGCCAUUGAUAGCUCUUUGUUAAGCUUUUCUUCUUCUAGGGUUUUUUUCCUCUCAGAAUUUUCCCCAAAACCUCAACUUGAUUCUUUCUUCCUGAUUUUUCGCUCGAGAAUUUUAUUUCUGCCAAAGGCACACGUCCUGCACGUGUAAUGGUACUAAUAAAAGCUAAAAACAUAUCCGUGGUAAAUUACAAAAUCUCAAUAUAGAACUUUCCCUCAAUUUAACCUCAAAUUUCAAAAAUAAAAUAAAUAAAUAAAUAAUCUAACCUCUAAAUCAUAAAUAUUAAAGGGUUGUUUGAUUAAAGGUUAAUUGAAAACCGAAUUUCAAAAAUAUAAUUAUUUCAUUGUUUUUUGUCUCAUCUCGACAAAAAUACCCUCGUUUUCUUGUAAAAAUAAUCAUUUUUUUUAAAACAUAUUUUAAAUACUUAAAAUAGUUAAGGACAUUUACGUUAAAAAUGUGUUAUUUUUCGAAUAAAAACAUGUAAAAAAAUGAAUUCACAAAUAUGAUGAAUAUUUUGUCCCUUUUAAUUAAUUAUUUUAAUAUUAAAUAAAUCAUUUUUAAAGGAUUCUUAUUAGAAAUAAAAGUAAAAAUAUAAGAAUCAUUUUAAUAAGUUACAUAACCAACUAUUUAAAAUCAUCAAUAAUCUAAUACUUGAAUAAUUAUUUUUAUUUUUUUUAUAAAAAUGAAAUUAAUAAUAUGAGAUAAUAUAAAAAUUAUGAAAGAAAAUAAAACAUAUUGAAAAUAAAAAACCAAUUUAAAGUUAAUAAAUCAUUUUAAAAUAUUUUUUCAAAUUUAUUUGACCUUUUUUUUCAUGGUAAGUAAGGAGAAAAUAAAUUUCUUUAAUGCUAUAUGUAAUUUUUAAAAAAAAAUUGAGAGAAAAUGUGAAUAAAAGAAAUCAAGAUGAAAAAAAAAAAAAAAAACAAAUUAGUUCUGUGUAUCUCUUCAAACUUGGUUCAUUUAUAUUCUUUUAUUUUAUAUAAAAGCUAAAAAAAAUUAUUAAUAUUUUUUUCUUUUCUUAGUGCCUUUUGAAAAAAAAAAUAUCAUUUUCUUAUCAUUUUCCCAAAAAAUAUAAUUUCACACGCUCAUGUAAAAAUAAUUACAAAAUAUGAUCUUCUAAAAAUAAUUCAAAUUUCAUGUAUCUACUGUGGUCAAAAGUAAUACCCCCGAUAGUUAAAGAUAUUAUAUCAUUAAAAAAUAGUAAGUGGAUAGUCAAAGGUAUUUUGUGAUUUUUUUCAUAUGAAUGUAUAAAAACCCAUUUUUCAUAAUAAUGGAAAAAAAAUGUGUUUUUGCAUUUUUACUGCCCAAUUAAAAUUUUAUAUUAAAUUCUUUUGAUAAAAUAAGUGCAAACAAUUUUCUUAAAAAUUGAAUGCAUUUAAAAUUGAAUCAAGUCAUUUGUUGAAAUAAAUAGACUUUUUCUUUUAAUAAAAUAAACGAAAUAAUUAAUUCAAAUUUUUUGAAUAAAAUCAUUUGAAAUUUCUUGAAAAUUAAUUUUUUAAAUAUUAUUAUUAUUAUUAUUAUUUCAAUAAAUCAUUUUAUAUAAUUCUCUUGUUAUUUAUUUUGUACAUUAUUGUAAUUAGAUUUUAUUCCUAUAAUAUAGGUAUCCAUGAUUAAUUAAUUAAUUAUUAUAAUUCCCUUAAUUCAUUUAGUAAAUACCGUUUACAUAUGAGUUUAGAGGGGUGUGAGGUGUUACUAAUCUAAUCCCCAAAUUCAAACUUGGUUUUUAUAGACAUAUAUUUUUCAAAAUAAGGAGUCACACAUGUUUUCUUUUUUAUUUUGUUUUUGUUUUAAAAAAUAAAACAAAAAUAAAUAGUAACUCAAAAUUUUUUUUAAAAAAAAAAAUCAAAUUUUCACCAAAUAAAAAUUUCAUCGUCCAUUGAGGAUGCACAUAAAUAAAAAAUGCAGGUUCACAACAUUUAAAUUGAUUUCAUUAACAAAUCUAACCCUUUAACCAAAUUAUUAACCAAUGGAGGCAUCAUGGAAAAAGGGUUUUUUGGUAAAUAUAAAUUAAAAUCAAAGUAUAAUAACCCAAUUAUCCAAUUUCUAGAAUUUAGAUAUGGUUUUAUUCUCACUUGGUAAAUGGAAUGCGUAUUUUAAUAGCUCCUAUAAUAUAAAAAGAUAAUUACAUAUAUAAAUUAUAUGAGUGGAAAAGGUAAACAAAAGAGAAAUAAAAAUUUACUGUUUCUUACUUAUCAUAUUGCUUAAUUUAAUUAAUUUUAAAAAAAAUAAAGAAUUCAAUUGAAAAUGGAACAGGAAAUUUGAAAAAUGGGACAGAACAAAAAAAAGUAAUCAUGUAACUCUUUUGAAAAUUACAUAUAUUUGGGAAGAAUUAAAAUACUUUAAUAAGUAUUAUCAUAUUUCACUUCGAUUUAAUUGAAGAGAUUAAAAAACCUUCCCAUUGACCAUUGUAAAAUUAAUUUCAAAAUUGAACUUUUCAACUCAUUCUCUCUUAUCUCUCUUAUCUCUAUUUUUGUUACUUUUGUGUUGAGUAACUUUUUUCUUAUCCAUAUAAAAAUCAAUCCAAAUAAAAAAUAUAUGAGUUAUUAAUUAUAAUUUAAUAUUUACAAAAUAUCAUGCAUGUGAAUAUAGAUCUUAUAUUAUACUUAAUAAUCGUUAUAUGUUCAAUGUUUGAGUAAAUUCCUCUUAAAUAUUCUAAAUUCAUUUUUAAUACCCUCUAAUAUCUCAAAAUAAUUAAAUAUUUAUUACGUUAUUAAUAUAAUAAUUAAUGCUAUAAUAACGUAAUAAAUAUUUGGUAUACAAACAAAAAUUUAAACUCAUUAUUGGUAUAAAGCUUACUAAGAGAAGGAAAUAAAUAGACAAUGUUUAAUUGAAAAGAAUGUGAAAAAAAAAAAUGUGAGGAAUGUGAGAAGCAUAAAUGCAUGACUAACCACAACUCUACACAUCAUAUCAUAUUAUUUUUAUUUAUCUCAAAUAACUUGAUUUUCUUGAAUAUUUCCUUAAACUUAUUCCCAAAAAUUGUUGCAUUUUCAUCAAUUAAGAUACUUAGAUAAAGGAAAAUAAAAAUAAGAAAGAAUAAAAAUAAAUUUAGUUGGAAAAUUUAAGAAAAAAAAAACUCAAUAAAAAUUAAAAAGAAAUUAAUAUGAAAGUCCGAAAGUUUAAUUUCAUUUAUAUAAGAUUUUUUUUUAUUUUUUAUUUUUAUGUUUAAUAAAACUUUUACAAGUCGAUAUCUUAUUUUAAAAAAUGAUGAUUUUAGCUUUGAGUUCAAUUACCCAUUAAAGUCAACAAAAAUGAAUUUUUUAUUAUUAUUUUAUAAUUAGCGUAUAUUUCGCUAAAUUUAAAUUUUAACAUAUAAUCGAUAACUUGUUUUUUUUUUUUUUUUUAAUAAAACUUUUACAAGUCGAUAUCUUAUUUUAAAAAAUGAUGAUUUUAGCUUUGAGUUCAAUUACCCCUUAAAGUCAACAAAAAUGAAUUUUUUAUUAUUAUUUUCUAAUUAGCGUAUAUUUCGCUAAAUUUAAAAUUUAACAUAUAAUCGAUAAUUUGUUUUAAUUAAAAUUGAAUCAAUCUUUCAAUGACUGAAUCAAAUCAAAUUUAUUUAAGAUUGGUUUGGUUAAGAUUCAGACGUAAAAUCCAAUUUAUUUUUAAAAAUAAUUAAAAUAACUUGGUUUUAAGUUUAAAAUAAAUUUAAAAUUAUAGUUCAAAAUAUGAUAGUUAUCUAAGAAUCGAUACAUCUCUUUUCAAUUACUAAGAUAUCAAAGAAUAUAAAAAAAUCCAAAGAUAUUAAUCCUAAACAUAAGGGAUUUCACGCCCAUAUUGCCAUCACGGACAUGCCACCAACGCCCAAUAUGACAGCGACAUAAGCCCACAUUUGAAGCUUCAUGUUUGAUUGCAAUUUGGGGCCCAUGAAAUCAGCGCCCAGCAGGUCCACCAGCGCCAUGUAAUUCAGUAGCCCAGCAGAUGUAGCGUUCAGCACUCCAACCACUAUCAGAGCCGUCGGGCUGUCGUCGCUGUACACCUUUGAUAAGCCGAUUCCCAGCGCGAUCCCCAAGGGGGUGGUGACCGAGAAGAAAAACACCAUGAUGGCCUUCGUCCUUGCCUUGUAUUCAGCCUGGGGAUGGAGGUUUGGGUUAAUAACUUAAUAUACACUGAUAUUGAAAAGUACAUGACUGGUUUUGAGGUAGAAAUCCAUCGUUACCUGUAGAAUGCAUCCUCCAAGCCCCAUUCCUUCAAAGAAUUGAUGGAAACAAAGAGCAGCAAUGAGGGGCCUGAUUGUACUGGCAUUUUCAGAGGCCCCCAUUGACAGCCCAAUCACCACUGAGUGGACCACAAUUCCCAGUUCUAGCACCUGCAUCCUCAAUGUUAAAGAGCAUGAUAUGAACCCAUAUUCUAUACUUAAAGUUCUUUAAAAAAAAUUGGUCCAAAAAAAGCUAUUUACAGUCAAAAAAAUCUUAAGUCUUAAAAUUUAAUGUAUGUUUCGAAUCAUACCUGAGCGAUAAUUUGAUAUCUCAAUAGUUUUGAGGAUUCGUCAUCAAGCUUCUUCACACCAACUCCAUGUCCGUGUCCAUGAGAAUGUCCCUGAUCAUUCUCUAUGUGAUCCCCAUAUUCGCAUUCUGCUCCACUCAUUCCAUGUUUCUUGUAAUAACUCAUUGCAAAAGAAUCCAUCAUCAGUGUUAAAACCGCUGCAACCAUGGCUAUGAACGUUGAAAAUGGGAAUUUGCUCCAUGGAGCCUGCGGCAGACAUGGAGAAGUCAAGCUCUCAAUUGAAUCCGGCAGCACGUGAACGUAGCCUGUGGCCAGGAUAACCCCCGACGCGAAUGCCUUAAUCAAAACGAACAAUUUUCCAUCCGGUUUAAGCAGUGGCAUGCCUUGUAGAAGUAUGGGAAAAGAGAUGCCCAAGAUGCUAGCAAUCAGUAUCGAGAAUAUUGCUAUCACCUUCAGCUUUAAGGCUGAUGCCUUUUCCUCGGAUCCUCCUUUGGGAUCACCACAUUUCGAUCCCGCUCCGCUGGCAUCUUCCUUGCCGGAAGUUUGCACUGUCAAUGAAAGUAGGAGGAGAAGAAGGAGAGUUAGAGCUCCAACGUUUUUCAAGGAAGCCAUGACUAUGGAGCAGGAGUGGAGAUUGGAGAGUCUUAGAUAGCAAACAUAUGCCUAGGACUAGCUAUUAUAUGUGCUUGCUAGAGUCAAAGACCUUUUCAAGUUUGGUAUUUUGAAUUAUCUAAAGUACAUUAAAAUAUGUUCUAUUUUCAAAUUUAGUGUUUUAUAUGAUUUGAAUGUUUUAAAACUAAUCUUUCUGGUAUUUGUAUAUUUCACAUACUCUUAAGAAUUUUUAAAAAUCUAAGUAUUAAAAAUUCUUAAAAUUUUAAAAAUAAUGAAAGAUUAAAUAAUAAAUUAAUUAAAUAUUAAUACAUUUUUCACAUUGAGUUCAAGUAGGAAAGCACCAUACCAUUGUGGUUAUGGUGGGAAGAUGACGUCUUGCUUGCAUUAGUCAAAUUUUGACUCCUCAAUUAAAAUUUUUAAAAUUUUCAAAAGGAAAAUACUAUAAUAUUAGAGUAUGAGUCAAUCAAAUAUUAAAAAAUUUGAAUGGUCACACACAUAUCCUAUCCCUAAUAUUAUUUUUAUUUAAAAAUUUUAAGGUUAAUUGUGAUACCCACAAUAUUUCAAAUUCUAAAAUAUUAGUUGAAAAAGGGCGUAUUUAUUAAAUAUAAACUUUUUAUAAAUUAUAUUUAUGAUAUUUUCGUAUUGAAAAAUGAUAUUAAGAGUGAGUUUGAUGAUGUUUCUAUUUGAAAUAUUUUUAAUAGGAGUAUUUUCUUUUGAAGUAUUUUUAGAAUGAUUCAAUGUGUUUGAUAGUGAUUCUAAUAAGAGUUUUUUAUAUUUUCAACACUGAAAUUUUUUUAUUUUUUAAGUUUUAAAAAGAAAUAUUUUUUAAAUUUUUUAUUUUUUAAAAGUGAGUUUGAGAGUAAUUGUAAAAAGUAUUUCUAAUAUUUCUAAAUUUGAAUAUGUUUAUUUUCCGAUAUUAAAAAAGUUAGAAACAGUUGAUCAUUGUCAAACACACUCUUAAUAGAUAUUUUUUCAAAAAACACUUAUAUAAGUAAUUUUUUAACAAUACAAGUGAUUGUUCAAAUUCCUAAAUUUUCUUAAACACUAUGUUAAAAUAAAAUCAUUAUCAAACAAACUCUAACGUGAAUCAAGUCAAUUGAAAAAGAAAAAUCUUCACCAUUUGAAAACAUGGGUUCUUCCUAUAAUAUUAAAUAAUAGAAUAUUAUUAUAUAUUCAAUAAUCAAUAUUAAUUUCAAUUAUUUACUUUAACGUAGUCGAGGGACUAUUCUACCGACUAUUGUCUAGUGACAAGUGACCAUCAAUGAUGGACGAGGCAAGACAAGGUGUUGGAAUAGACUAAACACAUCACGAGCCAUCUUUCUUAAGAUUUUUGUUUCUUCUUAUAAAGAAAAAUAUUCUAUUGGAGUAGUGAUGACAAAUACUAACACAUCUAUAUUAAGGGAAUUAUAGAUUGAAACAAGAGCUAAAAACCUCUUCUUAUAAAGAAAAAUAUUCUAUUGGAUUGAUGCAAACAAAUACUAACACAUCUAUAUCAAGGGAAUUGUAGAUUAAAACAAGAGUUGAAAAAGUGAGGAAAUUUGGUCUUUCAUAUAAGUGAGGAAAGCCGACAAGAAGGGAUAGUGACGAGUAACCAACAACUUGAUGAUAAGGUGGAUUUUUUCAAAAUUUAUUGCUUGAAUCCAUGGGUAAAAGAGAGAGGAAUAAUUGGAAUAAAGAUUAAGAAAACUAUUUUACCAUUCAAGAAUUAUAUUCUAUUUGUAAAUAAAUUUUAACUUUUAUUUAUUUAUUUUUAUUAGGUCUCUGCUUUGAGAAAAAUAAUUAAAAUGCAUUUUAGAGGGUUUUAGAAAACGAAGAAAUAUGGCUGAGACAAUUAUUCCCAUCCAUUUAUUGUCUAAUUUUAUAGGCGUAUAACUUCAAGAAUAUUUAAAUUAAAAAUAAAAUAAAAUUAAGGAUUUAUUUGAUAUUAUUUUUAAAAAUGUCUUUAAAAAUAGUUUCCAAAUAUUUUUAGAAAUAAAAUUUUAUUUGAAACUAAAAUAUGAAAACAGUUAAAUAAAUUUUGAAAAAUAGUAUUUUGAUUUAUUAUUUUCUAUAGAAGUAAUGUCCUUUAUUGUAAAAUAUAAAAGCUUUUUAAUUAUUAUUUUUAUAUUCUCAAUAACUCCUCAUAAUACUCUAAAAAAAUGUUUAAAAAUAAUAAAAUAUCUAAAGUGCAUUACCAUAUUUUGUAUUUUCAAAUUUAAAGAUUAAAUAAUAAAUUAAUUAAAUAUUAAUACCUUUUUCAUAUUGAGUAAGAGUCGGAAAGCACCCUUCGUGCUACUAUGGGAUGAUGACGUGGUGCGUACAUGAGUCAAAUUUCAAUGAUCAAAGAUUAAUUCCAAGUAUUUACUUUAAAUUUUCAUUUGGAGAAGAAUUGGAACCUUAAAAAGGCUCAAAUAAUAUUUGUUUUAAAUUUUUCUUAAAUAUUAUAUUUUUACUAUUUUUAAUCUUCGAUAUUCAACUAUUUUAAAUUUUCUCUCAAAUUUCUCCCAAAUAAAUUUUUUAAAAAGUGAUUUCUAAAAUUAUACCAAAUCCUAACUUCUACAAGAAAAAAUACUUCCAAAAUAUUAUCUAUAAAAUAUUUCUAAUAUUAGGUUUUCUUAUAUAAUAAGGAAAGUUAUUACAAAUACUUUUAUAAAAAAUCUAAGAAGGGAAAAUGUGAUAAGAUAGAGAUGAGUAUAUAAAAACUAUAUUAUGUGAAUAAAGAUGAUGUGAGAAUACUGAAAGAUACUUGGUGGAGUGAGGGGACUCGUAGUAAGGAGUGAAAAAAUAUGAGAUGUUUCGAAUUUAACCGUUGUAUCUGAUUUUGUCAUUUAUAAUAUUUUUUAGGUAGAGUAAAAUGAUUUUUCUACAUUCAUGGAUAUAAACAUGAUUGAUUAAAUCACGUUAAAACCUCGUGUACUAUAUAUAUAUGAUUAUUUUAUCUUUACAUUCUUAAACUAACAUAUUUGCAUUAAAAUUUCCCCAGGCACAACAUUAUAAAUCCCCUACAACCCUUCUAAAAUUUUUCAAUCCAAUCUUUACCAAAAUUAUCCAUGCAAUUCAUCUUUUGGUGUCCAUCACCAUCAAAUUAACGCACUAGAAAUUAUAAUUCUUGCUAAAAAUGGUGGGAAAUUGUUUUUGACACUCCAACCUUUGAAGUAGGCAAAGCAUUACUAAUUUAAGAUAAUGUUGAAUUUUGAUAAAAAUUCUUCCUUUUUUGGUAAGUAUAAUGUAAGAUUCCUUGCACACCAUGUAUUCAAGCCAAAGGAUGGGAGAGGUUAAGCUUCAUUAUUUGCUAAAAAGGGAAAAAAUGGAAAGAAAUGGUUUAAUAGAUAGAAAAUUUUGGUCAUUUGUUUUUUCAAAUUUAAAAACAAAUUUCAUCAUUAAACCCUCUAAAUUAAAUGUAAUUUUUUGUUUUUGUGACAAUUUUUUUUAUUUUAUUCAUUUUUCUUUAAAGAACAAACAUAAUAUUUUAUUUUGACAUAAAUAUUGGAUUUUUUUUAUUAAAAUUAUAAUUCUUUGUUUUCCUUGAACUUUUAAGGUUUUGUUUGGUCACGGAGAGUACAAGGAAAAUUUAAAAAAACAUAAAAAAGAAUAUUUUUCUUCAUAUUUAAAAUAUUAAAAAUAAAUAAAAUAUAAUUAAAAUUAAUAAGAAAUUUAUCCAUUUUUAAAUUAUUUAAUCCUUAUAUAAAGAAGUUAAAUGAGAUUAAAAUGGUAUAUUAAAUACUUUAUUAUUAUUUUUUUAUUUUAAUUUUUUUUAUCUUCUUUCACCUUUUUCUUUUUUCUACUUUUCCUUUUUUAUAUAUUUCUGUCAUAUUUUCUCUCACAUUUUUCACAAUCAAAUAUAACUUAAAUUCAUUAUUUUUCUCUUAUCCAAAAUUCCUAAUAAUUUGCAUUAUUUUUCAAUUAAAUGAAUGUUUAACGAAUAUCUUAUAUACAACAUUGCAAAUCGAACACAUUAGGUCAAACUCACUUCAAAUACAAAUUCAAAUUAUUGAAAGCCUAAUCCAACUCAAAUUGUUCAAAUCGAGUUUAAUCCAAACUCAAACUCAACUCAUAUUUGAACCACCAUAGUCAAAAGCUUAGUUCAACUUGAAUGGUUCAAAUCAAGUUAAACCUAAAUAUAUUUUUCUAAAUUCAAUAUGAAUUUAGGGUAAGAUUGUUACGUGGAUGUUCAAAUUGAUUGGAUUACACAGGUUGGACCAACCAUAACAAAACAAACGAACUUUAAAUCAAUUUAAAAAGAGGUUGACUGCCAACUACAACAAUUAAAUAAAAUAAAAACUAAUUAUAUAAUGAUAUUUUAUGUCUUGUUAAUGACAAAACUAACAUGGGUUAAAACUUAAGAUACAUAGCGUAAGUGAUAUAUAUAAAAAGACAAUUGAUUAAAUCGUAUCAACGUAUCACAUAUGUAUCUUGAUCCCAUAAUUUGCAUCCUCAUCUAAUGAUUUAAAAUUUAUCCUACACUUUGAAUGACCGAUAUGUAAUGUUUGAUUAGUAACUUGGGGCAACUUAAAAUUUUCUUAUAUAUAGGAAGUCCUACAUUUCUAAAAGAAAAGAAAUCGGAGUAACAUAAUAAUAGAAGUUUUUAGAGAUGCAAUACAUUGGAUAAGAGAGAGUUUUUAGUGUCAUAUAAAUAUGAACUCUUUUUAAUUAUUUAGACAUGUUUUAAAGUCGUGAGGGUCCUUUAGGUCAAAAAUAGGCAAUAUCUAUAAGGUUGGAUAUGACCCAUUAUAAAAUGUAUCAGAGUAAAUCUUCAGCCCUGGUGUGAGGGUUUGUUUGGCCUAUGAGGGUGUUUCAUGAGGGUUCUAUUUUGAACAACAGUUGGGUUUUUUGGGAAGGGGGUUGGAGGGAUUGUUGUUGUUUUUUACUUGUUUUUGCAUGAAUUCUUAUGUAGUUUUAGGUUCUAUAUAAUAAUUAUAUUUAAAGAAAUAUUGUUAAAUUAUACUUAAAUUAUUUACUUAAAAUUUAUUCUAAACCAUCAAAUUGACAUAUAUAUCAUCAUAAAUUAUAAGUAGGAUAAAAGAGGUCGAAUAACAAUUGAGGUCAUGAAGUAGCAAAAGAGAUCGUGGAGAUAAUUAGGACAAAUGAAGAUAAAAAGGUAAAAUAAGGAUAUAAAUUUAAUAUAAGUUAAUUAUUUUUACUUGUUACUUAAAGUUAUUUCUUAUUUUAACUCAUAUUAUUAAGUUAUUUUACCAAAUAUACUUAAUUUACUUAAUAAUUUAAAUUAAGUUAUUAAGUAACGGUAAGUUAUUAAGUUAAUUUACCAAACACCCACUAAUUUUCAUAUUUUUGUUGUUAUAAGUAAUCUUGGUAUUUUAACAUAUUCCAAAAUAUUAAUUCUUAUUUUUAUUAAAUUAUUAGUUUUCAAAUAUGUUAUUUUGUUUACAUAAAAUAGAAAAAAAAACCAUAAUAAUUGUCUUUUGUAGGAGCAAUGAUAUGUAACUACUAUUUUUUUUUGUUGGUAAAUAAAGAUAGAUUAAUAAACUUGAGAUAAAUUCAAACAUUAAAAAAAAAAACAAAUAUAUUAAUUAUUUUAUUUUUAAAUUUUGUUUGUACUAGUUGAUUAAUUUUAUAUAAAAAUUUAAUAGUGAAAAAUAAAAUAGAAACUAUUCUUGAGAAAUGUGAUAAAUUAUUUUGGAUAUUUAAAUUGAUGGACCCCCUAAGAAAAUGAUGUUUAAAGGGAAGGGGAAGCUCACCCUCACUUUCUCCCUCACCAUCAUUUUGGUCUUCUUCCUCAAAUUAUUUCUUUAGUGGAUUGUUACUUCAUUUGAAGCCAAAACCAACAUUAUCAUAAGAGACACUUAUUAUAGUAUAAAUUCCCAAUAAUCUCUUUUAAAUUUUAUUGGUAUAUUAUAUGAAGUGUUUUGUCUUGUCAUACACCAACAAAAAUGGAGGAAUUUUUUAGAUGGUACUCUCAAAUGGGAAAUCACUAUUUACAGCCACUAACUUAUCCAGCUCAAUUAUAUUUUUUUUUAAUCAAAUGUAUUAAUAAAAAAAAAAACAAGAAAUGGGGAAAAUGAGGGUUUGUCUAACAACUAUUUUUUAGAAUAGUUUUCUCUUUUCUAUAACAAAAAAACUAAAAAAUACACAAUUGAAAAACUAUUUUUUUAAUAGAAAAGAAGGUAUUUUCAAAUAACAUCUUUCAAUUAUUUUAAGUUAUUUUCAUUUGUUUUUUUUUAAAUAAUUGUACAAACAUGUAUAAUAAUUAAAAAUAAAACUUUAGAUAUAUGUAUUUUUUUUAAACAUAUUUAAAAAUAUUAAAAACAUAUUAAAAAUAUUUUAAAUUCCUAAAUAAAUUCUUAUUCUAUAAAACAUCAAAGAAUAAUUUUAAAAACUAUUUUUCAUAAUUAUUUUUAAAAAUAGUUAUCAAAUAGAGUCUUAUAUUACACAUUUGAAAUCUUUGUUAUAUAGUAAAGCCCAUUACUAAAAUCCCCACAAACUAAAAUUUAUUGUUACUCCAAUUAAUUGGAGCCAUGAAUUUCAUUAUGUCAUGUGAUUUCAAAAUAUCCUUGAAUUAUAGCUAGUUUCUUGAAAAUUUUGAAGGAAAAUAAAAUAAUAAUAAUAAAAAAAUGAAAGAAAAAGUAAAAAAAAAAGAAAAAAAAACCUAGAUGUAAAGCCAAUAAAUUAUCUUUAUAUGAUUUUUCAUAUUUAUGUCACUUAUUUUUCCUUUUUAUUUUUAAUAAAGGUUAAAUAAUAUGAAUAUGGACAAGUUUUUAAUUGAUUUUAAUUAUAUUUGAUUUUUUUUAUUUUUUCCCUAUUUUUAUUGAUAAACCUAACAUAUAAAAAUUAUUUUUCUUAACAUUUUUUUUUCAUUUUUUUAAUACUUCCCUAAGCCAACCUUUUUUUUUUUUUUUUUUUUUAAAAAAAAAACCCAUAAAUUUUGUUAGUAGUGUAAGACUUCGUUUAUGAUCUUAAUAAUUUUAGUUAGAGAAUUUGAAAAUGGAUUUAAUCUUAAUAAGAAGCUUAAAUUGAUUAAAUUUUAGGUUAAAAAAAUUGUUUCGUAUUUAAUAAAAUCUUCAUAAUAUCAAUAUUAUUUGAAAAGACAAAAGAAAUAUUAUUAAUUACAAUAAAAGAAUUAUAUUGCAAAAUACAAUCCAUAUGGAAAAACAUUAUGAGACUUUUUUUUUUUUUACAAAUUUCUUUUGUAAUUAUAAUAUUAAUUAAUUUAGGCUAUGUUUGAUUUUUAGAAAAUAUCCAAGAUAGGGAAAAAAAUGCUAAAAGAAUAUAUAAAUGAAACGGAAAAUAUGAGGGACAGAAAAUAUCAAACCUAAAAUUAAAAAAUUCAAGGGAAAAUUCCAAGAAGAGAGAAAGUGAAAAAAAAAAAUAUUUAAAAUUAAUAAAUUAUUCUAUAUACUUUUUAUAAUUCAUUUACUUGUUUUUUUCUAUUGUAUAUAAAUUAAAUUUUAUUUGAUAACCCGAAUGUUAAAAAAUUAUUUCAUUUUUAAUUUUCUUGAAACCAAAACACAAUAAGACAAAAUGAAGGGAAAAAAAUAGUAAGGGUCUAUUUGAGAAUUAUUUUUUUACAAUAGUUUUCUAUUAUUCAAAAUAAAAAACAGUUUUUGAUUACUAAACAUAUUUUUCAUUUUCUAAUUUUAAGAACAGAUAAUAAAGUGUUUUUAGAUAAUAUAUUUUAAUUAUUUUCACUUAUUUUUCGAGUGUUGAUUUAAGAAAUAAUUAUACAAAUAUGUAAAAUAAUUAAGGUUUCCAAACAGAUUUUUGUUUUAAAUAAGUCAGAUAACAAAUUUCCAAAAUUGUUUUCAAAAACUAUUUUUCAGAUUUAUUGAAAAAAAACAAUUACCAAAUAUGCCCUAAAAGAUUUUCCCCUCAGUUAUAAUUUUCAUUUUAUAGGAAAAUUUUAUAAAUAUUUGAUACAUAUUUUUUGUUUCCUAAUAAUUAUUUUCUCUAUUUUGUCACACGCAAACUUUAUGAUAAUCAAUUAUGGUAGGCCAAUAAUGUAUUAUUAUAUCUCAUAAUUUAUUUUUGCCAUUUAAUUUUUAAAUAAUUUUCAUAAAAUGGCUACAUAUAAUGAUUUGUAGAAAAAAAAUUGUGGAUUUUUAAAAAUAAUCAAAUAAUAUUUCUUAAAAUUAAUAUGGGUAUAACCUUAAACAAGUGACAUCCAUUUGGAGAUUCAUGAUCGAUUAAUCAUCCACUUUUGUUAUUUUGUCCCGAAAAUGACCCUACAUUCACUCACGUGCUAAGCACGUGACAAUUAUGAGCACAUGGGAUUAUUAUUUAUUAUCCCUGUCACUUUAAAUUUUUGAAGGCAUAUUGUAUAUAUAAAUUUUCACAAAAAGAAAAAAAAUUAAAAUUAAGAAAUAGGCUAGCUGUGAAAAUACUGUGAAUUUGGAAAGCACGCGGACGAGGGAAGAGAUGUACAAUGGUGGAAUCUGACCUAAUUCAGAGAAUCUCCAGAAUUUGAAUUGGGGUUUUUUUUUUUUUUUUUUUGGAAUUGGAAGACAUUGAUGGAGGGAGCAAUUCAUCUCAAUCUCGCAUUUGCAUUCAAUGAAUUUUGAUUUUCUGUUGAAAUUUCUCACACUUUUUGUUGGGUUGGGAGGUGUGAUUUGUGGGUUUGGAUCAAAGGUUGGGUUUUGGAUUUGGAUUUGGGGGAGUUUUCAGACUUCUGGGUUUUGAUUUGGUUUUCGUCUGUAAUCGUUUUCAUACUUUUUGUUUAGUUUUUUCCACGGAUGAUGUUGGGUUUUCGCGAUUGAAUUGCGUGUUGGCUUAGAUCAAAUGUUUGUUUUCCCUUUUUCAGAAAAUUUGGCUAGUGGUUCUGCUUUUAUGGAUUGAUUUGUACCAGUUUUGGAAAAGAAUUGUGGGUUUGGUAAAGGAGGAGAGAUUGAUUGGGGGAGUUGUUGAGGCGUUCUCCAAUUGGGGUCUGCAGAAAAACUUGUGGGGUUUGUGAAUGUGAGGGUUUUCUUUGGAGAUGAAAGGCGAAGCGGUGUGUGCAGAAGUACAAUGACUGGAGGGUUGUUGGGUUUACGUAGUGGAAGUUAUGGGUCUCUGCAACAUCUUCAAAAUGGUGCGUUUCACCCUCAGCCUCAAUUUGUUGGGCGCAAACCUUCAAAGAUGUUACCUUCUGGUUCUAGGGAAAAGGAAAGGCUUCUUCCCUAUCUUUUCAGAUUUUUGAGUCGCAGAAGGGUUGGAAUGCUUAUUUUGGUUGGCUUUGCCUUUUUGGUAUUCUUAUCAGGUUUCUCAACUGUCAGUAAAGGUUUGUUUCUGUAUCAUUUGCUUAUUUUUCUUUCCAUUUUUUCUCAGUUCUUUUGAUUGUCAAAUUCCAGUGUCUGAGGCCUUGCAUUAUCUCUGCCUAAUGGAUGUUUUUUUUAGAUGGUGAGUAGACACUUGUGUAGUCUUAUGUUUAUCUUAGCCUGAUUGAUGUGAUUUGCAUAGGUUUUUUCCAAGCUGAAGCCUAAUUGAUGCUAUCUAUACUAUCUUUGAUGCUUGAUGUUAUUUUAAUGGAUGUUAUUUAUAUGACCUUCUAUGUUUUAUGUUGUGUCUAUUUUUGAAGUGGGAAAUGUAGGAUAACUUUUGAUGGCGACCAUGGGCAGGCUCUUGCAUAGUGUCGGAAACAUGCCCGGGGUUGUGACUGUUUGUUGAUGAAAUAGUACAACUUAACCUUGUUGUAUUGUAUUAAUCUUCAGAGCAAUGAAUUUCAUUUGGAUUGGAUGUACCUCUCUUCUAACAAGUGAGGAGUGCAAUAGACAGAUUGCUUAGGAUCACUGGGUUUUUUUAUUUACUAAGAAAUGUUGGGAACAGUAUUGAUCUUAUUGUGGCUAUUUGUGUCCUUUGAACUGGGUUUGGGGUAUACAUACAUUGUGACUUAUUUAGGUUUCAUUAUUCUUCUUCUUCUUAUUUUUCUGUUUUUUCAACUGUCACUGUAGUGUUUUGGUUUUAAGUUUCUCUUGUUAUUGUUAUACUUUGAGUAAUAACCUAUGUAAUUGGCCUGUUUUUAUAUGAAGAUGCACCGGAAAGCAAUAGUGUGAGCAUUACCCAGCAUAUCCAUCACAUAAAUCCUUAUGACAAUGGGGAAUCUGAUCAAGAUCUCCCAUUUUUUUUGCCGAGGAUAGAAGUCAAGCAUAAGGAUAAUGUUGAUUAUAUACCAAGCACUGUGACAGAAAGUGGAGAAAAUAAUGCCCACCGUCCUCCCCUUCCUCCUAGCACUUCUGCUGUUGCAGCUGUUGUAGGGUAUACCCCUCCAUUGCACCAUCCAUGUGAAAAUUUUGCAUUUCCUCCACCUCCUCCACCAGAUAGGAAACGGAUUGGACCACGCCGUAAGUUUGAAAAUUUCUUUUAUUUCUAUUUUUUUUUUCCCACCUUACAGCUGAUCCAUUCAUGUAAUGGUAAUAAUUUGAUGAUAUAAUUUGAAACACCUUGUCUAAUUAUUUGGUUUUUGUCAAAUGAGUAUUUGAGAAGCUAUAUUAUCAGUUAAAAUGACAAAGCUGCAUAUUUAGUAUAUGUCCUAACACAGUGCUUUUUACUUUUUGUCCUUUUGUUUCAGCAUGCCCAGUGUGUUACCUUCCAGUGGAGCAGGCUAUUGCUAGCAUCCCAAGCUCCUCAUCCCCAUCACCUCUGCUUAAACAGUUAAAUUAUGUUCAUGAGGAAAACCCAAUUAAAACUGAACCACAUGGAGGCUCUGAAUUUGGUGGAUAUCCUUCACUAAAACAGAGGAAUGAUUCCUUUGAUAUAAAAGAGUCAAUGACUGUGCAUUGUGGGUAGGUUUUGCUCUUGUUAUCAGUUUUGUUUAAAUGCAUUAAUCAUAUAUGGGUAUAUAUAUUAUCAUUGUUGUCCUUUAGUCAUGAUGGCCUUUGACAGAUAUUCAUUAUGUUUGAUCUAAAUUCAUCUUAUUGUUCUUCUGCUGGGGCAUCUCAUUUACAACUUGUGUAUAUCUACUGUGCAUAUUCUGUUUUAUCAGAUUUGUCACAGGAAGUAAGCCUGGUCAUCAUACUGGAUUUGAUAUUGAUGAAGCUGACCUUAAAGAGUUGGAGCAGCCUCAUGAAGUCAUUGUUGCAUCUGCUAUAUUUGGUAUCGAGGAUGAAACUGCUCAAAUUUAUUUGAAAGGUUUUUGUUUUCUGCAUAAAAAUAACUUUUUUGCAUAUCAUUUUUUCUCAGGAAACUAUGACAUUAUACAACAGCCCAGGAAUGUUAGUGAAGCUGCCAGGAAAAAUGUCCCCUUUUAUAUGUUUAUUGAUGAAGAAACAGAAGCAUAUAUGAGGAAUUCUAGUGUCUUGGACAGCAGUAAGAGGGUUGGAUUAUGGAGGAUCAUUCUUGUACAUAACAUUCCAUACACUGAUGCAAGACGCAAUGGAAAGGUGAGUUCACUUGUUAGUGUUCUAUUAUUUUCUUCCUUUUGGUUUAUGCUAGGAUGUGCUUUAGAUAACUCUUGGUUGUUUUGUUUUUGUUGUUUUACUGUUCUUAAGUUUUACUGUUCUGGUUGAACAGAAUUUGGGUUGUGAUGAUAUGACAUGAUGCAACUAAACCAGCUAAAUGACAAUGGUAACAUAAAAAAUGCAUGGGAUUGCACUUAGAUAUCUAUGCUAAUGUUUUAUACUGUAAUGAAGCCUUAGUUCCUACCACUUGGUCAACCUGCUUAAAUGCUUUUCUCAUUUAGCCCUAGCCAUAUCCUCUUUUAAAUUCUUGGCAACAUGUAUUGAAAUUAUGUCUUUAAAGGAAUGAACUAAUUUUUAAGGGUUUUUUUUUGUUUGGAAAGAAUCACCAAGGAGAUAGUUCAGCUAUUAGUAUGAAUCAGGCCUUAGGGUCCUUGACUUUUAAGGGGUUCCUUUGUUUUUGUUUCCCAGAGGUUUUGGGGGGCAGUUUUUUAUACUCUUAUUGUUACUCAAUACAGUCCUUAUCAUGCGUUGUGUCCUUCCCAAUAUAAUGUUAAACCUUAAUGUUUUUUGUGCUCAAUUUGUGAACCCAAUUUUGAUCAAUUUUCUUCAUGAAAUUUAGGCUAGGCAUAUAAGGACUAUCUUUAAAGUGUAAUAGACUGCUUUCAUGUUCUCAUGUCCAUUGAUUGUGUCAACAACCAAAAAGCCGAACUGGAUCUCCUUUCAAUGGUUCCAAGGAAGAGGAAUGAUCUCAACUUCUAUUGUUCUUGUUGGUGCAGAUUCUUUUAGUGUUAUAAAUGGAUUGGAGAUCACAAACAAGGUGCAUGGAAAAUUUCUAACAUUCUAAAAUAAGCAGUUAAUCCAUCCAAAACCUGACUACAUCUUACUUGGUUGUUGCUAUGAGCCUGCAAGAAAUAAAACCCAUACUUAAUCUUUGCUAAAAGGGCCACCUUAGCCUUGGCCGAUCACUUUGGAACUUCAUUUAUUUCUUCACUUUUACAUAAAAUCUUUAUUUCCCAAUUUUCUUGAAGGGAUCAAUUAUAUGAUUUUGGGAGACGACAUUACUAUGUUAAGGCUAAAUUACAACCUGACAAAAAAAGGUGGGGCAAUUGAGCUUCAUUUUUAGGAAUUGGAUAACUGAACUUACUUCAGAACUGAAAUGCUCUCCAAAAAGUAAUAAGUUUGGUUUUAACAACAAAAGAGAUUACCCAACAUAUGUUAGAAUGAGAUCUUUGACAUGCAUGAUAUCAACUGGUUAGUUUCUAAUUCUAAUGGGCUUACAUCCAAGGUUGACAUUAAGCUCUUACUUUUUUGCAUUGGAUAUGGAUGCAAUGCUUAUGAAUACAUCAGAGUCAAUCGGCUCUUUAAAAUGUCAAUGGUAUUUUUUAGGUUGUGCAUCUAGUGUAUGAUAAAAAUUAAGAAUAUUAGGGUUGCCUAAGUUAUGAAGGGUUUUGAGCCAAGUAGAUUGAAAAUAGGAUCCUUAAAACUCACCAUCAAAUAAGUAUGAUACUAAAGAGGCAUUACUCUUAUAAUUAGUCUACUUAUUUUGGAAGUCACUGUCUUUUCCUUUUAACUUGUAAAUAAAUGAAUUUGGAGUUGUUUUGGGAGCCAAAAGAGGCAUACCAUAUAGCAUCGUGAUUUUAUUACAUAAGCAGUACUAUUAAUUUGCUUGCAUGCUUGUGACAGAUUCCAAAGCUUCUAUUGCACAGAAUCUUUCCCAAUGUCCGGUUUUCCAUAUGGAUUGAUGGAAAACUUCAGCUUCUUGUGGAUCCAUACCAAGUUCUUGAGAGGUAGAUUUUCUCCUGUUUGGAUGGACUUCUAAUGAAAUUUGACAUAGAAUUAUUAAUUAGAAGAUUUGAAAAUAUCUUUCCUAUGAUCAAGUUAUUAAUUUUUUAUCCACUUGAUUAACUGAUUGAUUUGUUUUGGCUCUUAUGGUUCCUUGAAAUUAAUGGAAUUUGGAAUAACUUGAUACCCCUUUAAACAGAAUUUGAAUUGUGUUUCUUGGACAUUCUGAUCGAUUGAUGGUUAAAUUUCACAACUCCUUGUCCUUCAUGACUUUUGAUCUAACCACAAAAUCGAGACUUAGAGAAAAAAAUUUUGAACUUUAACUUAGUGGAAUUGAACAUCAUUCUGCCAUUUUGUUAAUGUACACUUGCAUGAAAGUGACUUUAGCAAUUUUAACUUGAUGUAGGAGUCAUUUUGUUUUAGUCAUCUUUCAUAUGAUGCUCAUGGAUGCAUCAAGAACAGUGCAUUAUUAGGAUUUAAUUUUGACUAUAUAUCUGUAUGCCUCUGCAUUGUUUCUUAGUUUCUACGGUAUGAUACCUUCAUUUAUCUAUUAUUCAGGUUCUUAUGGCGUCAAAAUGCUAGUUUGGCAAUCUCAAGACAUUAUAGGCGCUUUGAUGUGUUUGAAGAAGCUGAAGCUAAUAAAGCUGCAGGGAAGUAUGAUAAUGUCUCCAUUGAUUACCAGAUUGAAUUUUACAAAAAUGAGGGUUUAACACCUUAUUCCGAGGCUAAGCUUCCUAUAACUAGCGGUAAGUGUGUGAUCCUUAUGUGUAUUGUGUGUGUUAUUUUGUAUCUUGAAAUUGAGGUUUUUGGCUUUAUGUCUGAGUUGCUGCAGAUGUUCCUGAAGGUUGCGUGAUUGUAAAGGAACAUAUCCCCAUUACAAAUCUUUUUACCUGUCUAUGGUUCAAUGAAGUUGAUCGCUUUACUUCCAGGGAUCAGUUAAGCUUUGCCAUAGUGAGGGACAAAAUAACGUCACAAGUCGAUUGGAACAUCAGCAUGUUUUUGGAUUGUGAAAGACGAAACUUUGUAUAUCAGGUAACAUUUUAUGAACUGCAACAUUUUAAGGAUUUCUGUCAUUUGGACAUCAAAUAAGUAGGAUGUAACUCUAAUCCUAUGUUUGGUUCAUGGAAAAAUUGAGAGAUGAUACAAUGAAAAGAAUAUAGAGAAAAAAAUGGAAGGAAAAUGAAAUAUAGAUUAGAAAAAAGAAAUGAAAGGAAAAAAAAAAAGAGUGAAGGAAAUAAAAAAUAGAUUUAAAGUUAGUACAUUAUCUUUACAUGUUUCUUUUACCUCAUUUAACUUAUUUUAAUUCUUCUAUAUAAAGAUUAAAUAAUAUGAAAAUGCAUAAGAUGUCCAACUAAUUUUAAUUAUAUUUAAAAAUGUGAGAAACUCAUUUUCCUUGACAUCUUUUUUCCUUUUCUAGGAACUAAACAUGGUUUAAAUGCAUAUUAUGAUUAUCUUUUUCUUUAUCUUUGCUAUGAACUUUGCAUAGAAGAUAUGGCCUAUCUUUUUAGGUUAGAAAUAGAAGGUUUGCCUAAUUACCUUCUGAUUCACAAACCCAUGCAUGUUAUGAUUAUACACAUCUUAAUUCUUGAUCGGCUUCACGGAAGGCCCACAAGGUGGCACCAUUUCAGGUGUCAUUUACAUCUUCAUGGAUCAUCAGUAGUAGUGUAAACCUGUUAGGUUACCAUUUCUAUCUUCCUCGAACUUGGCUAACACAGGGUUUGGACGACCUAUGCCUUGGAAUGCAGCAAUUAUGGGAAAUGGAGUCCUCACCGAGGAUGAUAUUGAUUUAACAUAUGGAAACCUUCAGGGGUUGUAGGAACACAAAUAGAAAACACAAUGUACUCAUCACAAAUCCUAUCAAUAAUGCAGAAAACGAUUAUAAAUUUAAUUUUGUGGUGAAAAAUGACCAUUCUUUCUGUUUACAUACAUAUUCUAUGUUUGUUUGUGGUUUUUUUUUUUUUUCUUUAAAAGCCAGUAGAAAAUGUAUAUACAUUUUGGAUAUAUUUGAUCUUUGGCAUACAGGCAUACCAUAGAGAUUUACUGGAGCACAUGGCUCCCCCACCACCUGUGGUACAUCCACCACCUCGAGAUGUGGUGAUCCCAGGCAAUCGUCAAGGUGCGGUCAUCCCUGAAAAUGUGGCUGGAAGGACCCCUGCAAGGAAGAACCCCCCCAAACGUGGAAGAGGAGAGAGGAGAUCUGGUUCAAGGCGUCACCGCAAAGUUGGCCCUGGCUUUAGGGAUAACAAUUCAAUUUGAGUAUAUUAGGCAACACAAAAUAAUUUUUGGUCUUUAAUUUCAAAUUUAUUCUUGAUGGGUUAGGAGGAUUUGGGCAGAUGAGUGCAAGUUUGAUUGAAAAUAGAGAAAAGAUGGUCCAAAUUUUUGUUUGGAAAGUGUCAAUAUCUAUUCAUUUUUGUUGUAAAUACUAAAUACCUCAAUUCUGAAUAAGCUUCAUACGAGUUAGCUUCAUUUUCUAGUGAUCUGGAAUGCUGUCAUGUUCCCUAUUUCCAUAUUUAUGAACUCAAAGAUACAAUCUCUCUUUCCCUUUAUGACACAAUAGAAGAGUGACAUUCUCAUUUACAGGAUUCAACUUUUGUUUCUAUUUUGUCUCCUUCAAAAUUUGUAUGCUCUUUCUCCUGCAUUAGGUUUACUUUUUAAGGAUAGAUGUGUUGUUUAUGUCCCCUCUAGGUGUAGCUCAACAGUGGGGGUUUUUUUUUUCCCCUUUCAAUAAAGCAAAAGUCCCAUUUAGGAUGGUCUCAAAUGUCUGUUCCAAUCACUUGAGUUUGGGAUAAAUGUUUGUGAUAUCACUCAGGUUUGCUUGUUGAGCAUUUAGAUAAAUAUCUUGAGUUUGUUUGAGAAUGUUUUUGAAAACUAGUUUUCUCAACUGGUUCUGUCAAGGUAAUAUCUAAAAGAUGUUAUUUUAUCAAAAUUUUGUCAAAAUUAUUAUUAUUUUUUAAAAAAUAUUUGGACUGGGUGGGAGACUGCAUAUUAUUUUAAAAUUAAAACUUAAAAAAAUAAAAAAUGAAAGUGGUGAGCACGAUACAACCUGUACUGAAAGCUUUGCUGGAUUGAAAUAUAUGUUUGGAAGAUUUUGUCUUUUUGAACACAAUUAUCAGAGAAUCCUCACCCUCACAGCUGUGAGAGUGGACCCAUGAUUCAUGGCAUCCUCUGCAGACCAAUUUUAUCAUAUAGUUGGCACUGGGUUGGUCUCCAAAUUCAAAAUUUCAAAUAGUUUCACCUUCAGAUAUGAUGGGUUACCACUGAUUUGACAUUGUAACUAGAUAUUUCACACCCCCCUUAUCAUCAAGAAUAUUUUUUAAAAGUUCUUUUUUUGAAAAUAAGUUAUUUUUUAACAAAUUCAAGGUGUUUUUCAUUAUUUUUUUGAAGUGUGUUGAGUAAUAAUUUAAAAUAUGAAUAAUAUUUAAAAAAAUUUAGGGAGAAUUAUCUUUUGGGGUAGAUGGACCCCCAAAUUAACAAAAGGUUCAUAUAACUCUUGAAAUUGAGUUGAAGGAUAUGAAAUAGUAACGGACAAAUAUACCCUUUAAGAAUACAUAUAAAAUAUUUUAUAAAAUUAUGUUAAAUAAAUUUUUUUCAAUAAUUUUUUUUUUCAAAAAUACUAAAUUAAAUAAAAGUAGUUUUCAAAAAUAUUAAAUUAAAUAAUUUUUUUUCAAAAAUAUUAAAUUAAAUUAAAGUAUUUAAAAAAAAUAUUAAAUUAAAUAAAUUUAUUUUUACAAAAUAUUAAAUUAAAUAAAUUUAUUUAAAAAAUAUAUUAAAUUAAAUAAAAGUAUUUAAAAAAAUAUUAAAUUACAUAAAAGUAUUUUUUAAAAAUAUUAAAUUAAAUAAAAAAUAUUAAAUUAAAUACAAGUAUUUUUCAAAAAUAUUAAUUUUUUUUUCUCAAAAUCAACAAAGGGCAUUUUUGGAAAUACUAAAAGAUGAUAUCCUUCAACUCAAUUUCCAUACUUUCAUUGAGUCUUGAACUCAAUUUGAAGAGUUACAUGAAUCUUUUGUUAAUUUGAGGGUCCAUCUACCCCCAAAACAUAAUUCUCCCAAAAUUUAUUCAUAUUUGAAUUUAUUUUUAAAUUUAAUUUAAAAAAUGUUUUUAUUAUUUUAGAAAACCAAAUUAUACUAUGGCCCAACCAUUUGAUUUCCACAAUAUUCCUCUUUCUUAUAGCAAUUUUUACCAUGGAAUUUAGUGCUUGGCAACCUACCGUUUUAAUUUAGUAAGCUGUCAUUGAAUUGGAAGACCAAUCAAAUGGACUUUCCAUUAAAUCUGUAAGGAUUGGUAAAGAAAGUUGAUUGGAUUAAUGAUACUGUCAUUUCAUUAAUCUUUAUAAAGAAAAAUCACUUUAAAUUGUCUCAAUCAAGACAACUUUUCAAUUCUUUAUUCAACUUAAUUUUUUUUUUCCAAUUUUCAUUGUUGUUAUACCAUUUUUUUUUUACUUUAUUGAACCAAUGUUCAAAAUAUAUACCUUUUAUAUAUUUUCUAAAAAAAAAUGAAAAACAUAGGAAAUAAUAUAAUUUAAUAUUUUUUCUUAAAAAUAAAAAAGAAAAUGAAUAUUAUUAUAUCAACGUUAAAACAAGUUUAAUUUGGUUGAACCUUAGCUUGAACUCAACCAAAAUUAAGCUUGGAUUGAAAGCCUAAUUCAAGUAUUGAAAAUAAUUAUUCAAGCUCAUCCGAACUUUGAGUUAGAUUCAGGUUGGAUCUGGUCAAAUCGCCUAAGUUGCACUCCUAAUCAAGUGUACGAGACAUCAAUUUUUUUAUUAAUUAAAAUUAAUUCUUAAUAAACAGAAUUUGGAGUAAUAUCAUUUUAAGAAAUUUGGAAGACUAACGAUUAAAUUUGAACAUGAAAAGAUAGUGAAAACUCAUAAAGAUCAAAUGUAUUUAAUCAUUGUCUAAGGACGGACUGAAUAAUUCGAGGUUAUAAAAAUGUGAAAGUUGGCUUCUUUGACAAAUCUCAUGAAAUCUUCAUUUUAAUAUAAUGACUUAUGGUAAGAUGCCACCAUUGUUGAAGUGGAAGAUAAAAUUUAAGGGAUUCUAUCACGAUAUUGAAAGAAGUCAUUUUCAGGGAUCAAAUUGUAAUUGAUGUUGUGUGGAAAGAUCUUAAGGUUGUUGACCUUAAGAAGUUUAUUGAACAGAUUUGAUUCGACCCCCUUCAAAGACGAACUUCAUUUCCCAUGGCCUGAUUUCUUUGAUUUUGAGAAUAUCUUAACAUUUUUCUAUUUAAGACAUGGAAAUACUUUUUAGAUAUGGUAAGGUAAGAAAAGAAAAGGCUGAUAAUACAAUACCCCACCAUGGAUUUUAUCUAAAAGAAUCUAAGGCAAUGGGCCCUUCUCAUGCAAGCCUCCAAGAAAAUGAAUAAAUAUAAGCAAAAAUCCAAAAUAAUUAUUAGGUGAUAAAAAGGGUGAUGUAAGCCCUAAGGUCCAUGCCAGGGGAUAUUCAAUAGCUUUGUAAAAGAAGCAAGCAUGGCAUUUUCUGCAUAAAGUAUGGAAGCCAUUAAAAAAAGACUCUCAACCCAUCAUCAGCGACAUCAUCAUCAUUCAUCCAAAUCCAGAACCCAAUUGCCCAAAUAAAUCGUGGAAAAUCAUUGAUAGUGCAGAAAGAAGUGGAAUUCACCAUUACUGGCAAUUCCAAAAUUCAGUUCUUUCAUAUCCACAGAAAAAAAAAAAAAAAAGUUUCUCCCAAUUUUUAGAAACCCGUUUCAGUUUCAGUUUCCUUUAUUGGGUGUUGCAUCCGGGUUUGAUCGGAUCUCCUGCAAUGAAAUUUGGGUUUGGAACCUGAAUUGUUGAAGAAAUCUAAAUGGCGUUAGAAACUUUUUUCAGUUUCAUUGUGGUUUAAUUGCUUUGGGAGUGGUGGGUUUUUUUUUUGAUCCAAUAUUUAUGUUGAGGUCGGUUGAAUUGGAGAAAAGAUCUAUAUAGGGUUCUAAUCAAGGGGUGGUUCUUCUGGGUUUCUUGCCCAUGUACAGUUGAAUUUAGGGUUGGGUUUUGAAAUCACAGGUCCAUUUGUUUGCUUUGGGAUUAGAGUUUGGUUGUUAAUCUGUACUCUGUGAAUUCUUAUUCAAGAUUUAGAGGGUUGUUUGAUCAACAUGGGAUCAGCUGCUUUCUUCCUCACAUGCAGUCUCCAUUCUGUGAUAGCUCUCACUUGUGGAGCUCUAAUGAUGUUCUACACAAACGAAAUCUUUGUGUUUGGGCAUGGCCCUGAGAUUGCCCGGAAGCUUCAGGGCUCCACACCCCAUGACCAGCUCUUAAUCCGAACCUCGGAUUCAUUCUCUGGAUUGCUUUUAUUCGCCAUUGGGUUCCUCCUUUUCAUGGUGGCCUUUGUCAAGGACAGAGAGUUUCAGAGCUUCUUCGCCAAGGGCUGCGUCACUCUUCAUGUUUUCAUGGCUUUGUGGAGAAUUUACUUUGAGAGAAAGCUUGAAGAUCUGGCCUGGGACUGGCCAAAGCAGGUUGUGGGAGACAUUGUUCUGGCCCUUUCAUGGGUUUUCCUGGUUGUAUACUCUUGGAGGGAGAAGUAUGAUUAGGGUUUUGGACGUGAGCUUCCAUUGAUAUGGAAAUAGAACUUGGAUGGUUGCUCAGUGGCUUGCUUCCUUGAUCCUCCAAUACUGAAUAGAGUUGAAUUGAACAGGAACUACACAGAUUUCUCUGUUUGGGCAACUGGGUUUUUCCAAAUUUUUCUGGGUGACUGUUGAUUUUCUUGGAAAGUGGCAGUAGACGAUGAAUUGAAUGACGGGUCAGUUUGUUUUUUAUUGAAUUUGGUUGGGAAGUUGUGUUAGAUUGCUUUAUUCUAUGAGGUUUGUAGGAUGGUGCUUGAAAACAGGAGAUGAGUCUGGCUAUAGCUUGUUUUUGCCCCAGUUGGAUCUUUGUAAUUAGAAUUGUAAAUUUUCGUGAAAUAAUGAUGAAAAUUGUGAUUUCUUACUGUUAGAUCUUGCUUCCUUUGGUUAUGUUGCUUACCUUUUGUUGUUCAGAUUCCUUGAAGUUUCCCUUCUUUUCCAUUUUUAGUUCACAACAUUGUAUCAUAUUUGGACAACCAAAGGCAGUGGGUCAAAAAAAGCCAAAAACUGAUAGAAGCGUCCAUGUUUAGUAAUUGUUUUUGCCAAAAAUGGUUCAUAAGAACAGCUACUAAGCCCAAGUCUGGUAACUAUUUGCCAAAAAAUUUCCUGUUCUCUAUAAAAAAGAAAAAGACUAGUUUCUUAUUUUAUGUUCUAGAAAAAAGGAUGUAUUUAAAGAAUAUUUUUUAAUUAUUUUUUUAUUAAUUUUCGAAGUGCUGUAUUAAAAAAUAAUUAUAAAAACAUGGAAAGUGAUUUAAUAUUAUAUAUAAAAGUUAUUUUUAAAAUAUUAAAAACAAGUUUAAAAACUUUUUAGAUUUUUAAAUAGAUUUUUGUUUUACAAGAAUAGUUUUCAAAAAUUAUUUUUAGUAUUAUUUUUUAAAAUAAUUAUCAAAUUAGUCAGAAUUUGUUUAGUAAUUAUUUUUAAAAACAGUUUUAAAAAAUGAUUUUUUAAAAUUAUUUUAUAAUUGUUUAAUUGUUUGAAAACUUUAUAUAUUUUUGAUAACCGUGGAUGUCCGGGCCAGUUUACGCGCACCUCGACUAAUCCCACGGGGCCCUGAAGUUAACGAUCGGGUAAACCUCCAGUGGCCCUGAGGGGACUCGAACUGGUGACCAUUGGGGAGCAAACCCAAGAAAACUUUAUAUAUUUAAAAAAGCAUAAUACUUUUAAAUAAUAUGAUAUUUUUACUUAUUUUCUAAAAACUGUUUUAAAAAAUAAUUAUUUAAAUGUAAAAAUUUAUUAAAAAUAAAGUAUUACAUUACAAGUUAUUUUUAAAAUAUAUUUAAAAAUAGAUUUAUUAAAAAUACUGAAUUUUAAAAAUUUUAAAAGCCUACUUUUUAAACCUCCUCCAAAUACGAUUGCAACCCGUCGCCCAACCCUAGCCCACCCAUCCCUUGUAGCUCUCUGCAACCGGCGAUCCCCAACCCUCACCUCAUCCCUGUGUAGCUCAUUGGUUCCACGACCUUCUCAAGGUAAUUUCUUCAUUCUCCUCCUCCAUCGCUCUCCAUCCGAGACUACACAGUUGGAAAGACUCUCCACUUUCAUUCGACAUCGUUGUUUUUUUUUUUUUCUUCUUAAUGUUUGAUUGUCUUAAAAUGUUAGUUAGGGUUUUGGGUUUUAGGAUUUCAAUAGAGCAGUCCAGUCUCAUUUCCCAGUACUUCUCUCUCUAAAACUCUCAUUCUCUAUUCUGGUUCACAUAUGCAAGUGCUCUGUUUAGGGUUUUGAGUUCACGUGUUGCAGGGCCGUUUCUUUUUUAAGGAAGAAAAACUUUGUUUGGUGAUAUCUUGUUAUUUAGAGCCCGUUUGAUAUGGUUGUUGUCUCAUUGUUAUUAGGAUUUUGUGGUUUGUUUGAUUGUUGUGAUUUUUGUGGUUUGUUGGGUUAUUAGGAUUUUAUGGUUUGUUUGAUUGUUGAAACCUAAAGGAAAAUAUAAGAAAAUUUUGGGUUUAAUCUUAUUGAUUUCAUAUUAUAGUUUGUUGGGUAGAGCAUUUGGGCCCAAACUGUUUGUUAGGAUGCCCAUGAGAGUUCUUAAAUCAUGUGGAAUACCCCCCUCCAAAUGAUUGAACGCCACUGAAAGCUGCUGAAGAGAUGAAAGGUUUCCCAAAGUAAAUGGGAUAACCCCUGUUAGACUGUUCCGCCCAAACCUCAGAAUUAGCAGUUUCGACAUAUGGCCAAAGUGGAAGGGAAUCUGCCCCGUCAGAUUGUUCCUUGUCAAGUACUAGCAUAGACACUGCCCCAAGAGAGGUGUUUGAUUAAUUGGGCUUGCAUUUGUUUGCCCUCUUGGAGAGCCAAGGCUUGGGCACAUGAAGUGAGCACAAAACAGAAAGUGUACUCAUUGGGAUAUAGGCCUUAGUGGAGCAGCUUGUGGUAAAAGUGGAGGGAAUCAAGUGGAUGUGAAGUUUGUGAAAAGGCCUUAAUCAUAAUGUUGUAUGAGUAUACAUCAGGGCUUUGUAUUUGCGAAAAUACAACAUAAGCCAGGUGAAUGUUUGGAGGACUCAAAGAGAAUGAACUAGCUACAAGUAAUCUGGUAACCGGAAAAGCAUCACGGGACAUGCCAGUGGUGAUCAUUAGGCAAUGUAUUUGAUUGAAAUGGGCCAUGGUUUGGCAUUUUGAUAGUAAGGAUAAAACAGGGUGGUCUAGAUUUAGGGGAGCACUAGCAAGAUUUUUGGCAUCCUGGAUGUUGGGGGGUUUUUUGAGUCCUCUUCGUAAGGUUGCAGGGGUUUGGAUCAUCCAAAAAUGGCUCCUGCACUUGCCUACUGCAUUGGAGCUAUGCAUCAUCCUGUCCUGAUGUGAAAUAGUUUAGAAGGAUCAGCCUAUCCUGAGCAGCAUGGGCUUUUCUAUACAGACCAUCUGAAUAAGCAACCGCAGUAGCCUUAAUUAGAUAUAUUCAUUUAGGGUCGUGCAGUCCCAUUGUGACAAAGUUUAAUACGUGUCAUUAACAAUUAGAAACCAAUACAUUUUUUAUGGGUUUAGGAUGGGUGUAAUCAUAUUCGGAUCAAAUUUGGAUUGCCCACGUAAUCUAUAUAAGAAGUAGGAAACUUUUGGAUCAACCCACAUAAUACGAAAUUUGAUGGAAUCAGUCCAUUUAAUAAUCAUAUUGAUUAAUCUAAUUACAAUUUUAAACUAUUUAACCAUAUUUUACUCAUUUUAAAUUUGAUUUAAAUAAAUAAAUCAAUUGAAUUAUAAACAUAUCUGGUUUGAACAAAAAUAUCUCAGAUUGAGAUGCUGCAACCGUCGCAAAAGACCAAUGUUAGUGGGGAUAGAACCCUGCAAGUUAUUGUUAGACAACACCAACUCUCCAAGGAAUGUUAAGUUCCCAAUAGGAGGUAAGGAACCAGUUAAGCUCUGACCCUCUGAUGUCUCCGACUGCAUGUAACCCCCUGCCACUGGCAGAAAUGCAGAGAGUCGUUCCAGGAACUCAGUGCUCCAUGUGGAACAUCAACCAGAUGAUUCUUGAAGACAAGCAAUGCAAGCUGAAAAUAAUCUGAAAACAACAGGAAAAUAGUUUUCUGUUUUCACUGUUUUUAAAAACAGUUUCCAAAGUGGCUUUAUUUUCAAGAACAAAAUUUUAUUUGGAACUCACAUAUGAAAAACAAAUUGUCCACUUUAUUUUUAAUGAAGGGUGCUAUACACUUACUAUUUAUAAUACAAAAGUUCAAAAUUUGGGCCGGCCCAGGACCAGGCCCAGCCCAUAUUACCUGACUGAACUCAUAUACCAUCCCUCCAAACUCUGCGUCUUGGUCGAUACCCAUGGAAGGUGCCGCGAUCGCUAUUUACACAACCUCCAAAUGCUGCGCCUCAGUCGAUUUCUAAGUUCAAGGUACUGUUUCAAUCUCUAUUCCCAAUUCAAUUAAUUGGAUUUACAUUAGUAAUAAUCGUUUGGAUGCUGAGAAAAUACAGAGAAUCGUUUGAAUAGUAAUUUUUGCACCAUCUAGGGUUAGGGUUCAAGAAUACAGAAAAUCUCACUUUACCUAAAACCGAUAUGAUUCUAUGGCUUAGUUGAUUUGAUUUUUAUUUAUUUAUUUUGUUUGCUUUGGAUUUUUGGCGGCACAGAAAGUGAGAGAGAUAACAUAGUAAUCGAUGUGUGGUUUUCUUUUUCUUUUUUUUCUCUAUGUUUUCUUGGUAAACAAAAGGCUGGAUUUCACUCUGAGUGCUUUAUAGGGGAAUGCCAUUGUUGGAAGUUUUGAAUUCUAGGGUUUCUGUUUGUACACAUUAUUGCCAAUUUGGAUUACAACUCACUGGAAAAAUUGUUGUUAGUUUAACUGUCGUUGCUGUUUGGGAAUGUUUCCUUGUAUAAAAUAAGUAUCUGGAGGUUUGGGAUUCUAGGGCUUGUCGGUGAAUAGCCGUGGAAGUAUUGCCAGUUUUGGUUAACUGAAAUUUUUGUUAGAUUAAUGGUCUAUGCUAUUUGGGGAUGCUUUAUUGUAUAAAAUAGUUUUAGUUUAGAUGCAGAGAAAAUAUGAAAAAAGUAAAUUAAAUUUUCACCUACCAUGAUUGGGGAAUACAGAAAAAUGCCAUUUUACUUAAAACACACACUGAGGGGUUUUUCCCCCUUUUUGGAAGCAAAAGAUGACAAAUUACAUAGGAAUGAGAAUGCCGUUUUUCUUUUAUUGCUCUAUUUUCUUCGGAACCAAACAGAGGGCUAGGGUUUCUCUUUGAAUGCUUUUAAUCUGUCGAUAUUAUUGUUGAAAAUUUUGAAUUCUCAGAUAUCAUUCUGGACUAUAGCCGAAUCUAGAAUUUUUAUAAACAUAAUUAUCUAGGAACAUUUUGUACAAUUAUAUAUGGAAAAAGAUUUGGCUUGAAUAAACAUUCAUAGGGUUUGCAUGGAAACAUAAAUGGUACCUACCAUGCUGCCUGAAUCCCAAUGUAAAUGGAAGUCUUUGGAAGAAAAGGAAGAAAGUACAACCAAAAGGAUGAGGACUCUUUAUGGAAAUCUUUGAAAGAGAAAAUGUCUGUGUGAGAGGAGCUAUAUAAAUGACUUUUUCUGCCUUCAUUCAAGAGAUUUGUGGUGGACUACACGUUUUUUUUUUUACUGUUUUUUGUCAAUAUAUUCUUUUUGUUUGCCUAUCAAAACAAAAUAAAAUAAAAAACAACCAACCACAACUUUAGAGGGAUAAAAGUUUCGCAUGAAUCCAAACUAGAAUCUGGUUUGCCUCUUAGCAGGCCUUUUUUUUUUUUUUUUUUUUCUGUGAUAGACUCUUAGCAGGCCUAUUCACUGCCUUGUUUGCCAACCUCAGCUUCCAACAGCAAGAAUUGCCAUACCCAUAGUAAGAUGAAAGACAUCUGUCAAGUUCUGAACUAUAAUCAUAUGGCCAUAGCAUCUCUUUUCCUUUGCUGGAUCUCUCAAAAAAUAUGAUGGUUAUAUCUUAGAUCUUCUUAGGAGCCAAAAUCAUUAUAUCAUGGUUCUCCUUAGGAGCACCAAAUGACUGUAGGGUUUCAUAAUCUGAAGUAAUCAUUGGUGUUGACCUUCCUAGCUACCAACCAUGGGAGAAGUAUAGUUCUUAUGAUAAUUUUUUUUUGGCCCAUUUUUUUUCCUCAUACUGUGAGUGAGUUUCUGACAUGAUGUGGUUUUUUGACUUGUUAGACAUCUGAUUUCCUUGUGGCUAUGCUUCAGCAAUUGUGUGUGGCUGUGGCUGUAUAAAGUGAUGAAUGCAAACUGGAAUUUCUUUUGAAAUAUGUUUUGUUUUCAUUUGUUUGUCGUUCACCAAUCUCCUCAGUCUUCCCGAGGUGUACGGGAUAGCUUAUGAUUGCUUUAAGAAUAAUGAUUUCUAUACUUUUCUUGACUCUAAGAAAUAAGGAGAAAAGGGAAUGUUAGUUUUGGUAGACAAGCACCUCCUCUUCACUUGAUGAGGAAGCAUGAGGAAAAUGUUUCAUAGUGUUUUUAUUUCUCUUUUGCUGUUGUGUAUGUAAGUCUCUUACAAUUAAGGAAAAGGAUGGAGCAUAACUUACCCCUAGUUUAUGCUAUGUAUGCAAACUCAGUUUCAGUCUUUCAAUUUUUUUUGUCUCUCUUUGAUAGGCAAGUUUGCAGUAAUGCUUACACUUGAAUGUAUCUCAAUGGCUAAAUCCUACAAGGGAUGGUAUAGUAAUAUGCAUGGCAUAGAUUUUUCUUUUAAUUGAACUUUAAAGUACGGCCUUAGGUUUUUGAGAAGUAUAUUCGUGUCUGUUUUUCUGUUUUUGGUUAAGUGUUAGUGUCUUUAAAAAAGACUACCAUUUGGUUGGUCAGCCUAUCUUCUGAAGAUGUGGAUUUUGUUUUGUGUCAGUUUGGGGUUAUUCGUUUUCAUUCUUCUGCACCCCCUCACUCUGUUUUCAUUUUUAUUUAUCUCCAGGUACUUGUGAUAUAAUGGGUGGUCUUCCUACUGAACAGCCCGCCUCUGCCUUAACUUUGGCAGGGUUGCAGCAAACGCGGGGAUCUGAGCCUGUGUCGAAGCCCAAAAAGAAAAUCUGCUGUGCCUGCCCUGAUACUAAGAAGAUCCGAGACGAUUGCAUUGUGGAGCAUGGUGAAGCUGCUUGUGAAAAAUGGAUUGAAGCUCAUCGUAGAUGCCUUCGGGCUGAGGGGUUCAAAGUUUGAAAUUUGGCAAAAGAUUGCAGAUUUGAUAAACUGAAAAUGAAAAAGUUUUGAUACCCAAAUUGUUUACAUCAGGAUUUUACUUAAAUGGUCAGACUUGUCAAUGAAACUUCAGGUUCAGGAAUAAAGCCAUGCUGGGGAACUUUGUUUACUGUUACAUUGAAAUAAUUGAUUACUAAUUUAUUCUUAACUAUAGGGGUUGUUCCCCCUUACAGAAAUGAUGUGGCAAAGAUGCUUUGAUCAAGAAUAAUAGUAUACCCCUAGAGAAUAAAUUUGCGAAAUCAAUAGCCUAUUCUUUUUUGCUAGUCUUUUUUUUCUUUGUUCUUAAUCUGUGCAUCUCAUUUUAUCACAAAUUCCAUUUUAUUUUGAUCUUUCAUGCUUUUAAGACACUAUCAGGAUGUUGCGUUUGAAAUCUAAACUCUAGCCAGCAAAAUGAAGAUCAAGGAGACUUAUGAUAUGUUUGGGAAGCAAAUUGAGGAAUAAUUGGCUCUCAAUUCCAGUCAAAGCUGAUCUAUGAUGUCCCAAUUGGGCAGCUUUUGUGAUUAUAAGCUUUGUGAACACUGUAAUUUUCACAGAAAAGAUGAGUGGUAUCUUUUGAUACCAGAGCCCUGGACCACUUUCAACUUCUCAAUUUUCAAGUUAGUGUUGAUGUUCAAGAAAAUUUCAUACUCAAAUUUCAGUGGUAACUGGGUCUUCUGAACAUCUUUUUUUAAGCGUAUAUCUAUCUGGGUUUUUGAGGAUAGUCCAUGCUAGAUCCUUGCUUCCUCCUCUUAUUUAGAUGGUUGUUUUUAGGGUUUUCAUGGAUGAUCCACAAAUGUUGAAAGCACAGUUUUUCAUGUUGUCAAGCCAUUAAUAACAACCCAUUGGCCUGAGUUGGGUUGGAUGAUCUUACCAUUGAAGAACAACAAAAUGAAAGUUUAUGCUAUGACAAAACUUCCUUUCCUGCUAUAUUUUACUCUCCAACAACCUCAUCUAUUCAAACCCCAACUUCACAGAACUAUAGAAAAUGAAGAGAGAGACAGAAGGAGAAGAUGAUAUACUAGUAAUGGUAGAGUUUCAUUUAUCCACGCAACUGAGACACAGACCAGGCCUUGGAGACAUGGCCAUGGAGAAAACACAUUUGACACCAAACACCAAACCUCAAGCCACAAGUGAUAAUACAAAGGACACAAACUUAAUUAUUUGACACACAAGUACACAACCAACGUUAUUCUUUAAACCCUCAAAUGCAAUUCCUCCUAUAUCAUCAGCCAUCACAUCUUAUUCUUUCUUAUAUCAUGUGCUUACUGGCCACAGGUGCAGUCAAUACAGGCGCAGCUAUCACCACACUUGCAGCUGCCCUCGUGCUGGGCUGCUGGAACCUCCAUCACAACGGUCGCAACAUAGCUGCAAAAACACAACAACACCCAUUAUCAUCAUCAUCAUAUCUUCUUUCAUAGAAAACAAAAACGGAAGAAGAAGAAGAAGAAGUUGUUUUCUUCCUUGAAAUAUAUUAGGGUUCUUGAAGUACUGCAGGAGGGUUUUAGGUUUACCUCUUCUCGGUCUCUACGAUGUCGAUUCCAUAGCUGUUUCCCUUCUUCCUGAAAUCACACAAGAUUUAUUAGUCCAUAGCAACCUUUGUUAUGGAAACAUUGGCAGAACCUUGAUGCUGGGUAGCCAUGAAAGCCAUGCAUAAAUACAAACGCUAGUAUUGAACCAGUAAGAGUAUAUGGGGCACUUACACGCACUGGCUCUUGUCAGCGCAGUCGCAGUUGCCGCAGGUCGACAUGGUUGAACGUAAAAACUGGGGAAAGUCGGAAGUAAGACAAGGGUGUUUUUAGAUGGGUUUGUGGGUACUGCUUGCUUGCUAUGCUAUGCCUCCAAGGAGUGAUAUUUAUAGGUGGAGGGAUGGAGAUGAUAAUGGAGAGUGGUGGGGCAGAGGCCAUGAGAGGAGCACACGCCUUUCGCCGGAAGCAUCCGAAGGAAUCUUGAUAAUGGGAGGUGGUGGCCUGUUAUGCUCCUCUCACGUCAACUUCAUUUCUCUUCUGCACAACAUGCCUUUCUGGAGAUAUACAUAUCUUCCGUCUUCCCUGAUCCAUCCAUAAAACGGCCUCUCAGCCCCACACUCCUCACAGUCGGCUUGUGGCACACGCCACCAUGACAUCUCGAUCACAACCCUUCUGAGACUGAUUUUGAGAGGUUCAUACUAUGCUUCCUCGAAAAAUAUUAAGCCCCUAUUUGAUAAUUUUACUUUAUUUUAUUUUUUUAAUUUAGAAAACACAUUUGGUAAACUUAUGAUCUGAAAAUAAUUUUUUUUUCUAUGAAAUAAUGUAAUUUAAAAAAUAUUUAAUAAUAUUUUUUAUAAGCGAUAUUAAUAAAAAUAUUACAUAUUAAAAAAAAUUAAAAUAACUGUCAAAUAGACUCUUUUAGGCUUAUGACAUUGAUCGAGAUAUCAAUCAUUUGUGAUUAAAAUUUGUUGCAUACCGUAGUUGCUUAAUUAAGCUCAAGGAAACUUUGAUGGGAUUGUGCAAUUAUGAGGAAGAAAGCGAUGCUUAGACAAAUUGAGCUAAAUGAUUUUUGCUAAGAUUAGCUGUUAACAGGCCAUGAAGCAAAAUCAUGUUGUGCUUGUCUCUAUAAGCUAUAGUUUUUAAUAUGCAACUUGCAUUUGUACUUAUCUGGAGGAUCAAAUCCUCUUUUUGACUCCUUUUUUUUUUUUUUAAUAUAUAUAUAUAUAUAUAUAUUUUAUAAUAUGAUUAUUAUUUGGAUGGUGUCACACAUAUCAUCAUUCUUUUACCAUCUUAUUAUAAAUAAAUUAUGAUUAAAUAUAAAAAUAAUUUAUUAAAAUUGAUUAAAUACUUCUUACAUUUAUGAAUUUAUUCUUUCAUAUGUUUUUGUUCAAAGAAUAACUAAUUUUUUUACAUAAAUAUUCUUAACUAUUUUAAAUAUUUAAAAUAUGUUUUUUUUAAAUAUUAUUUUUAUAAAAAAUUUAUCAAAAAAAAAAAAAAGAACAAGGGGAUAAAUUUUCGAAAUUGACACCCUUUUAAUGAAAUGACCUUAGAAUAUAAUAAAAAAAUUUAUAUCUAUUUAUUGAUAUUAAAUAAUAUAUGUAUAUAAGGUAGACAUAUAAUAUAUUAAAAAUAAUGGUGAUAAAAGGUGACAUGAUGUACAUUUUUCAUUAUAAUUUUGUUGUUAAAUUUAUUUAUUUUUUAGUUUUUAAAUUGUAAAAUCAUUGCAUAUAUCCCACCAUUAUUCCAGGAUAUUAUCAGUACACCAGGGCACAAAUGCCAAUGAAUCCCCACCACCAAAUGUCAGGCUUCCCACAUCCCUUUUGAAAUAUCACAAAUUUCACUGAUUCCCAGAAGGGAUUGGCUCAAACUGGAAUGGAACACAAUUUUAAAGAAAUAGCAAAAAGAUUUGUUUCAACUGUGAAAGAUAUGGUUGGUUUUAGAAAAAAAUACUAAAAAUUAAGAAUGAAAAUUAAUUUUUCUUUGAUUUAUGACCAAAAAAAAUUUAAAAUUAAAUAAAAUUUCAUAUAUUUUAAAAUUAUUUAAAAUUUAUAUAAAAUAAAAAAAUAAAUUUAAAUAAAUAUGUAAACAUAAUAUAUUGAUUUAAAAUUUAUUUUUUAUUUUUCUUUCAUUUUUUUUUUCUCAUUUUCAAAAGAAAAAUAUGGAUGGAAAACUAGAGAUAUUGUUAACAAAUGUGAAAUUAAAGCAAACAAAAACUUUAUUUGGUAGCCAACCCUUUGAAAUCCUCUAUUUUCAAGCAAAGCACAGCCUUACAUGCAUCCUUUCAAUCUUUCUAUCACCAAUGCCAACAAAAAAUCAUGCGUGUCCUCUUCAUUUUCCCCUCCACUCUCUCUUCCAAACAUGUCCAUAUCAAAAUUCUAUGCGAUAUCCAUGGAGAAAAAGAAGAAUGAAAAGAGGAAACAAAGAAAAAAAAAAAAAAGAUCUGAGUCUUAUUCAACCAACUCAAUGAGUUAAGAGCAAUAUAUAACUCACUCGGAACAUAAGGUGGGAGGAGGCUAUAGCAAUAAUGGAAAAUGAAUGGAGGGUCGGUCCCCUCCUUCCCCAUGAAAGCUGCUUCCAUACCUCUGCCUGGAUAUGAUUGCGAUCGAUCAAUCGAAAAGACUGGAAAAGAUGAGAAUAGCUGACAUUUUAAAGCUUGGACUGGAAAGAAGGUGAGCCCAAUCUCAUGUGAGCUUCACAACAUGUCAAGAGCUCAGUUGUCUGAACCCCAAAACCACAAGUGUUCAACCACUUGUCAUGGGAUUGUCUGGUCAUCAUUCAAGAAAUCAAUACCAUUCAAACAAGUCAAACGUUCCCAAAGAAGAAAAUGACUGAAAAAAUCGAAACGAAACAACCACCAUGGCACCUUUUGAGCUGAAAAUUCUAAAGAUUCAAAAUCUAAAUGGAGCCUUCAGGAAUUAAAGCUUGAGAAAUGAUCCAUCCAGAGAAGAAAGCACAAGAAGUUCCUAUAAAAUUGGACACUACCCAUAUUCUCCUCAUGAAUAAAAUCUGAGAGUAAUAUAUUUGAAUUGAACUAAUUUCCAGUACAGGUUUUGAAUGUUAAUCAGGACUGUAUGACAACUUUGGAGAUUUACCUGUUAGGAUAGCCCAAUUGGUCAGGGCAAACACUGGGAAGUGUGGUCCCAAUAAGUGGCACAUGGUCUUGGGUUCGAAUCCUACUUGAUAUCCUGAAUUUACUCGGUGCUAGUUGUUACGAGGCAAUCAGCACCCCGAGGUUUAGGUAGAUGCACAUAUAUGUGACAAGGAGAAAGUCUAAAAGAUGAUUAUGACCUAAUAGCAUUGAAUCAAGAGAGUUUUAGCGUUAAAGAAAGCCUAAUACGACCAACCCUAAUUCGGAAUUCCUAUUAAAGUUCAUUACACCAUGUGUUUCUAGUUGCGGUAAUUAAUAUCAGAUGCACAACACUCCCAAAAGUUAUGAGACUCAGUGUGAUAUGUGUGUGAAGGUGUUCAUCAUAGUCACAAAAAUGAGAGAAGUACCAAGCCAGAUCAUUUUGAUAGGGCUAAGAAUUAAACGCACUUGAAUGGAAUUGAACUCCAAAUAAAUUUUAGGAGAAUGAAAACACAAAGGCUAUGUAUCCAUAGAUGGAACAUGUACAUUGUACAUUGAGUUUCUCAAAUCCUGAUGAAUUCUUUCCUACAUUCCCGCAAUCACAGAAGAUGAAACAAUGACACGAAAUAUCAGAGAGAGAAAAUGAUAUAUGAUAUAAAACAAGCAUAAGAAACAAAGCUGUGGUUCAUAAACCUGGAGGGCGGUAAGAGCAGCAUGUUUACAAACUGGUAUAACACUAAUAUCGGAUCAUGUCUUGAAGGCAAUCAAAGAAAUGAGAGAUUGCGAUUUUUUCUUUGCCUGAAUAAAUGGCCUCAGCCUCCCCACCAUGUUCUCCCUGGGCGGCCAUUUCAAUUAACAUGUACAGUUUCUUGAUUGGCAUCUGCAAUAGCAACACACCAAAUUAUGUAAGUCUAACAACCGGGGAACAAACACUCCUUUUAAACUAAAGGUCGCUGUUCUAAAAUCCUUCAGGUAUAUUAGCAUUGUGAGAAAACAAGCAAAUAUAACAUUAAAGAAAAUGAAAAUCAGAAGAUAUACAAAUUUCGAUGUGGUUUGUGUGGAUAUACACACACAUACAAGCACAAGUACACAUGAAGUUUAUUCAAACUUACAUCAUUCAGGGCCUCUGCAGCAGAAUCGAUGUCAUCAUCUGAGAAAACAUUUAGCUGUUGUAACACCUGCAGGUGAGGAAAAGAGACAAAAAUCAAUACUUUGAAGCAUAAUUAGAUGGAAGAUUAUCAUAGUAAGGGAUGCCACCUAAACUUGAACCCAUAUAUUCCAAAGUACAAUUUAGCUCACAAGGGCUUUUGCCAAAUAAGAGGGGAAAAAAUCCAAGCUGACGUUAUGCAUUAAUACCCAAGCUGAACCAAAGGAACUUCUUUAUAGGAAUUGGAACACCGAUGAUUCCACAAUAUGGGGAUACCAUUUCACCUAAAUAGCAUGUUAACAGUGAAAUCGGUGCACAAGGUCAAGAUGGCUUUUUAUAUUCAGGCACAAAGUUUGAUAAUUGUAGAAUCCUAGGAGGAGCCAAGACAUGGAAAAUGAAGAUCGAAAAGGCACAUGCUUUAGAGACAGCCUAAGGUUAUAUAGCAGGUAGAGAACAAAUAUUUUCGGUUGCUUCAAUCCUGGAAAGUUCUUAGAUGGUGUGUAGAGUGUAGCAGCUCGCUUUAAAGCCUAAGGUUGAUUCAACAUCCAACAAAGACAGAUGCUACUGAGGCUCUUGUAGUAAGAGAGAUCAAGGAAAAAAAGUUGAACAUUCAUUAUUUUCCUCCUAUUUGUGCUUACUCUGCCUUCCUUUUUUCCCUUUCUGCUUCACAUGGUAGAUGUUCUAAUAAAAUGGUAAUAUAGAACAAUUGACAUUAAACAAUUAACUGUUUAUGAAUGCCAUGAAUACACAAACAAACCACACAGUAAACCAACUACAAUAGCAUGUGCAUAUAAGAAUGCCAACUGCAAGAACAAACUUUCGCACUCAUCACCAAGGCGUGGUCCAAUGGUGAACUAGAAAUUUGGUUAAAGAGGAGCAACGUUUAAAACUUAAUUAGAAAUAGAAAAAGGACUAAAACUAACAAUAAAUACAAAUUGUGAUACUUAUGAACAAUAGAUAGAAAUAUUUAUGUUUUUAAGUUUUACAUGAUUGUUUUAUUAUAAGCGUCAAAAAAGUUCAUUUCAACUAUAUCCAUAAGCAGAGUAAAAACUCAUAUCCGACCCAUCCAAAUCAUAUUUUUUUUUUCAUCUAAAUCCAAGUUAACUCGAUUGCCUUUAGUAAGGCUGCAAAGCAAUAUAGUUCAACUAUGUCUCUCAUCUAAAUCACAUUAAAAAUUUCAGCGUUGGACUCAUUAUCACUCCAAGUUUCCUGCAUCAUCCUGUUACCCUUCUUGGAAUUAGAGCAUUCAGCAACAAUGUGGCCUUAGCCUCCAAAUGAUAGACUAAACAGUACUGUUCUUCUUGGGAGGAUUUGUUCAUUAGUCCUUGGGUACAGACCUUUUUUCCUUCUUAGAGUCGUUUUAUUUUUAUUUUUUUAUUUUUCUGGCCUUUUGUACGCUCAUAUAUUUCCUAAAUUUCUUGGAAAAACAUGGUGACCAUUCCAUUAGACAUGAACCUUGAAUUUUCCUCAUACUCAAUAGAGUCAACCUUAUAAGUCCUUAAGACAACACCUUUAAACUUCUUUUGUAGAGGCAACUUCAUUUCAAAUGUUCGCAAUGAGACCACAAGCUCAUCAACUUGGACAGCAUCAAUAUCCAUGCUCUCCUUGCAGUUACCUUAGGUCUAAACCUCUCAAGGUGAGAUCUCAAUAUAUUUAUUUCUUACAACUCUAGAAUUGAAAAUUUUUUCACCAAGGUUGGAACUAGAAUUCAUAAUAUCACUGAGUUUAUUCAAAAAAAAGGAGGAAAAAAAAGGAAGGAACUGAGUGAACGUUUAUCAAAUUCUUUACUCAUGUUUUCAAACCUAAUGUCAAUCUGUUGCAACUUUGGAUUCAUACUACAAGAAGAUUACGCUUUAGAGAUGAAUUCUUUAUUUACAAUUCAUAUGUUACCAAUAAAAACUUAUUUUUAGUGGUGCAAGUAUAAUGUUGCUGCUAAAAUUAUUACAUUACAAUGACUGUACAUAGCGCAAUCAAAAUGUUAUAGUUAAAAAAUGGCAGUAAUUUCUUGGCAUCAAAUUUUAACACUUCGGGAAUAUGGAGGAAAAAGAUAAUAAAAACAUCGCAUAAUUUUUUGUCACUGAACAUAUAUGAAAUUUUCAAAGGAGUAUUUGCACUUCUCAGGCCCUAAGAAUCAUUUGUCGCUUUCACACCCUCUCAACUAUUUCAAAGCCAAGCAAAACAAGAACACCAUUUUGGUAUCAAAGAGGUUGUCAUAUUGCCCAUCAUCACAUUCUUUUUCAGGGCUUUAAGCACUCAUUUAUGUUAUACCUAUUUAGUAGUAACGCAGGUUCAUGCAUGAUUCCAUCAUAUGAUUUGGCAACCGGUAAUAAUGGUGAUGGAGGUCACGUUUUACCUUUUUAGCAUCUUCUGUCUUUAAUGUUGGAACAUGGUAUGUGACAGAGAAAGCAUCACGAAUGCCAACUGAAUCUAAGAAAGACACUUCGCUUGUUGUCCCGAUCACUAACACGUUUUUGCCCUAAAAGAAACAACAGAACAAAAUAAGACAAUUUUCUAAAGAAAUCAAUGUUAAGUUGCAGUUAGUUCCAAUGCUUUGUAGUAAAUUUGAACACCCACAGAUAGCCAAAAUCGAUCAACAAACUUUACCAUCUAGUCAAACGGCACAUGAAAUGUAUUUUACCUUAUAUAGAAGUAUUUCAAGCAGUCAGAAAAAAAUGAGUGGGCACAUCGCAUUCUUGUUGUGGUGAAAAAUGUAACAAUAUUCUAGUAAAACAAAGGAAGGAGAUGUAGGAAAAACCUUUGGAGGAAGCCGCUUGAUGAGGACCAACAGUGUUUGAGAAAUUAUAUUUGAAAAACGAGGACCGAUUGCAACAUACUCUAUUAACCUGCAUCAAUAGGCAUAGGAUCAACCACUUACAAAGAAAAGGAAAAGGAAGGGUGAUGAGUAUAUCAUUAAAAUAAUAACAAUAAUAAUAAUAAUAAUAAUAAUAACAAUGAUGAUGAUGAUGAUAAAUUACCUUUCAAUGUCAUCAAGAACAAUAAUGCUUAAUUGUGACUUAUAAGCAUCCUCAAAUACCUACAAAUAGUUAAGUCACAAAUAGUUACAAGAAAAGGAUUUUAGUUAUUCAAUACAAGUCACAAAUAGUUAAGUGAGGCAGCAAGCUCCGCAUGCUCUCAUGUGGUACUGAGCAUUCAGUGGCAAUAAUAUCCAGAUAGAAAUGAAUUUAGAUAUUAUUUAAACCAAGUAACCAGCAAGUUUCUGAAAGCACAUUUAAAAGAGUGAUGUUAUAUAUAUAUAUAUAUAUAUAUAUUUUUAUGAUAAGUCACCUUUGAAAGAGUGAUAAAAUUCAUGAAAAUGUAUCAAACCUUGACAAUCCUUGCACAUUUACUGCUUUCGCUAAGGCCAAUCAUUGAUUCUGCAGAAAUCUACAAGGAAUGAUAGAUUGAAAAUAAGAAACAUACAAAAGAAGAGUAAGGACUUGAAAAUUCAAAGAAAAUAAGAAGCCACUUACAAUCUUGACAUAGGGGAAAUCACUGUCAAUACCAACAGUAGCUGCCAGUGAAGUCUUACCACUGUCCAGGACAAAGAACAUUUAGGUAAAUGAACGAAAAGUAGCAAACAAAAAAUAGUGAAACCAUAGAUACCUGCCACUUGGGCCUUCCAGAAGACAGGUAAUAAGUGGGCUUCCUUUGCUCACUUUUACUUGCUCCACCAACAGCAUGGCUCUUUGAUAUAUGUGCUCAUGUCGUGACCCACAUUCAGCCAUGCCAUUAACUCUGCAAGUCAUAUUUAGUCAGUGCAAAAUGACCAAUUUAAUUAAAUAUAAAUUUAUUUUUGGGAAAUGAAGUCUAAAACAUACAAUUAUACUGGCAUGAACUGAAUUUAAUUUUCAGUCAUCAAAUCUCAGAGCACCAACUUGCCAAAGCAUGAUCUGAGAUAAUGAUUCAGUAGAAAGCAUGAAGCUCUGCCUUGUCUUCUAGGAAUUUUUUUUCCAUUUAAUUUCAAAGGAUUCGCCCCUUCCAACUUUUUAACAAGCAAAAAGAUGUAGAAACUAUACAAGAAAAUCUACACCCUAAAAGAUCUUAUAUAUGAGACUUAAAAGUGCCCCUGUUAUACGAAAAUAGAGUACAUGCCGAUAGCAGUUUACAGAACUGCAUUACAAGCACUUGAUUAGCCUACCAACAAUAAAAUCAUCUUAGAUUUUGCUUCUCACUCAAGAAAAGGGGAGUAACAAUCAGCUAUUCUCAAAAUCUAACACUGAAUGAAACAUAUCAUAUGAACAUCAAAAUUAUUUUAGAUAUGCACAUAAUAUAGAACCAAUUUUGUGUUUGUGUAUUAAGUUUGGCAUAACAUCAGCAGAAGUUCCUUCUAGAAGUGCCAUUUGGCACCUUGAGAGAGUGCCAUGAUUACCAACAUGUUAAAGACAAGAGGGACCUCCUCUUAACAGUUUUUGUGUUGACAUGGGAUAAGGCACUGAGAUACCAGAGUCCAGACCAACUUCAACACCAGCCCAUCCAUUCCAGGACAUCAUGGUUCCAUGCUAUCUUGAUCCCAGGUUUUCAUUCUCCCAAAGGAAAACCUUGAUGUUUGGACAGGUUACACCUCCAAACUACCCUACAACUACAGUAGGCAAGCCACUCUAAAACUUGAUGUCAGCCUAGGUCAGGAGAGGAGAGAAGACAGCCAUAUGAGCUGAGUUCUUGUGGGCAAUGGACCAUAGAAGUAUUAUAUUGGGCAAACAUGCUACAACAUCCCGCCAACUGACUGUGAAAAGACUUGACCGAGUUGACUCAGUGCAAAAUCUAUGAAAACAAAGGCAAUUCAAGAAACAACAGUGAAAAGUUUCACUUGAAUUGAGGUUUUUUAUUUUUAUUUUUUUAAUAAGCAUUUGCCACUUUGCAACCAAAUGGUGAGGAAGGCACCUGCCACCAGUUUAACUUACUAAGGGGAGAAAGGGAGGCACUCCACCAUCAUCAUCAUGUUGUCUGACAAGAAAAACACUCUUAAGGCACCCUUUUGUCAGCCUUGCACCUAAGCCUAUAGGCCCUACAGUUGUCGGUCUUAAAUCUUUACACAAAAUAGUUUUUUUUUUUUUACCAGGUAUAAAGCAAAAUAUAUUAAAAAGCGAAUGGAAAAGGCAAACCAAGUACACACGGAGUAUACCAAAAUGCGCUAAAAGCAAUCAAAGAGAAGAGAAACUCACCACAGCCCAAUACAAAAACACUGCCCUAAAGUUCUAGAAAAACAGAGGGCACCCAUAAAUCCAACUUGCAGCCAAACCAAAUCUGCCAACUCUUGACCAAACAGAGCCUUCAUCUCUCCCCCAACCUCCCAGCCACUCUUUACAACUCUAGCCUGAACACUCAGAAUCCACCUUCUGGCUCCUUCUCUAUCUUCCACUUGAUUGAUUAUAAUUAAAGGACCUCUCCAACUUCCAAAGCUCUCUAUCAAAAUGACACAUAAACAAAAGUCUCCUCUUAAUACUCGAGGCCCCCACUGAACAACCCUUUCUGGCUUCUAAAAUCCUCAAUAAGGACACAACUUCCUUCUCAAAACCAUCUAUAGGUAAUCCCAAAGACUUAUUGAAGGAGAUGAAAUUCCUAAAAGAGGAGAGGCUCCCAUCUCCCAGCAUGUCCUUACUGGGGCUGUCCUUUCCUGGGGCCCCUCCUCACUGCACAAAUCAAUGACUGAACAACCGGCAUCUUUGCAAGAAUAGUUAAUCUUCUUACAAAACAAGUCCUUAGGCCUCCCAUCACUUAAAACCUCAUGUCAGCCUUCCCCAGUGGCUGAGCACUCCCAUAUUACCAUACUCCACUCACUAUCUUCAUCUCAGGUUGAUGAUUUCCUCAAAAAAUCUCAACUAUCAACAAUCUAAAAACCUCAAAGCUCCACCUACUGGGUUUCAACUAAACUAAAGCAUAAUAAAAGGCAGCAAACCUACCAAUCAAAAAAUAAAGAAAUAAAAGGUAGCAAACCCAGAGAAAAUCAGAGAAUGCUUGAUAUAGCAGCUUCAGGAUUAGAAGAUCUACGAUGGACUGAACUGGUACCAGCACUAAGCAAGGUACAUUGUCAACAUUACAGGUUACAUAAUUCCUUGCAUUCUGGAUUUGCUUGAAAGAAAACAAAGCCACGGGCUGCUGCCUUUUUUUUCUUCCUCCAGUAUUCAUGGUCAGCAACAAAUGCAACAAACAAUAUCUUAAAUGUAAGUCUAGUUCUUGUUAUGAAUUUAUGCAGCAAAGGCACCAAGGAUUUUCUACCAGCACAGCAAUGCAAUAUUGUAAUUAUGAAAAUCUUGAUUAGAUGUCUACAUUAAUGAAACACGGGAUUGAAAAAAGAGUAUACACGAGGUAGAUUCAUCAUUAUACAUCAAGCCCAUAAGAAUGUAAAAGAAACCAGAGCAACAGUGGAGUAGGAUCCAAGUAGCUUUCAAGAUGAUGACAGCAGGAUAAUGUGACAAUAACUAACCAUUUACAAUACUUUGAACAUGUUCUAUGAAGACCAGGUCUAAUGAAAUAAUCAGUAGCUAAGGGAAAACAUGAUGAGGCAAAACAGAAGUGAAUGCCUCAUUGCUUGGGGUCAGCGCAACUAUCCAAAGUAAAUUUAGUAUGCUUGAAUUAAUGUGUUGAUGUAGUGUAAAUGCACAUAACAUUUGUCAGCCUGAAGAACUGCGAAGUUAUCGUAACCAUACCUGCACCGUUCAAGGUCAUCUGUGGAGGCUCCAAAUGCAGGAAUAAUCUCUUGGAGGGCAUUCAGAAAAUCCUCCAUGGUGACUUUUAUACUCUCCUCAUCCACUGGCUUAGUAAGAUCAUCCAUGCUUAGUUGCCGAUUCAAAGCAAAUGAUACUGCACUUUUUACAACGCCUUCAAGCUCUGCCCCACUAUAGUUCUUUGUCCGAGCAGCUGCAUUAAGAAAAAUGAAUUUCUCUAAGACAUCUAAAUAAGUUCACUGAAAGUCUUCUCAAACAACCUUACAUGACAAACAUUCAAUAGAAUCAAUACUUAAUAAAUAAAUCAUAUAACCUGUCAAAUUACAAGUCUAAAAGUUCCUCUCCU